UAAGCAGGGGUUCUGAGGAUGCUGACAGCUGUCAGCUUAGGGGAAGGCUUCGGGCAAGCGCCGGUGCCCCCACCGCUGCUACAACGACAUGUACGGCCCCAACAGCACGCAUAUCAGCAAUGCGGAGCUACAGUGGCACCUGGCACUGCCGCCCCGUGCGCCGUGCGGCGGCCUCUGUUCCGGUUGGAAGUGGCCGCACUAGAUUGGCGGGAUCGCCCUGCUCACCUGUCAAUCGCGCCCAAACAUCAGAGCCUUGCGUAGCCGUGUACAGUCUGCGGAGGUUGGUCGUGGGUGGGUGGGUGGGUGGCUGGUUGGGUGCGGGAAGGGGUCCAGGCGUGAAGUCACGACAGAAGUGUUUUCAUGCACACCACGAGGAUGUCCACUCGAAGGGGCAGACGAAGCCGACGGGCUUAUGGUAACUAACCGGUUGUAUGUGAAGGCGUCAUCCUUCCCGCAGUCCAGCCGGUCCUUGUAGCGCAGCGUGCUGGGGUAAAUAGGUCCGGACAUGAUAGGCGACGGCAACGAGCGCCUCACGCCUCAGACGCCCCACGCUUCAGAGGCGCAGGCCUGUUUACUGUUAUCACUGAUACCUAUAAGAGGAACGUAGGCAGUGCCCGUCACGUCGUCACGACCGACACUCCGCGGUUGUGUGAUGCAAAGUCCUUUGUGGAUUAUCGUGCACAAUUGCCCGUCGUCGUAAUACUGUGGUGAUUUGUAUGUUGGGCAAUGUGUCUAGAACACAAGCUCACGAAUCCACAGGCGCUCUAAGAAACGGUGCUGCCGUCCCCGAUGCGCCGACAAGCAGCGAUGAGCAGCUGAUAGCACAGGGCGAAUAUCUUGCAGACAUACAACGAUGAAAUCACAGUCGCAAAUGGGAUCAAGGCGACGCUAGAAGCUUGCUCGCAGGUCACUUGAGGCUGUCCACCAACACCAGGGGUGGAUACACCAAAGCAAAGGCUAUGGUCGCCUAACAAAUCAGGUAACACUUAUCGUGGCGAUUGACGCUGCCAGGCAGUGCGCGGGGUGUUUGGGGCGCUCUAAUCGGGGGGAAUCCGGGGAAACCGCGGGCGCCGGGCGGGAGACCACUCGGCACGGUUUCGUACGCAAUACCCAGCAAUGUCACCGGCGUGUUUUCCUAGCCUCCAGUAUCUGCAGUGUAUACAUCGCGUAACUAGUUAAGCGUGCAUAGCUGAUAUGGCGGGCAAGUUGGCUUCAGCCCUCUGCGCGUCGCUUCUGAAUGGUGUUCGCCAAGGGAGACCUUCAAUAUGCGCACAACCUCGAUCAUUGCGAACUGUAUUAGAAUCCAACACAAGCACGUUUGGCGCACAAGGAUGCGACACCCUUGUUCGCGCAUCAGCUCUCGCUGAAUCAUGCACGCUAUCUCCAUGGAGGAGUAUCUUGACAUGCAGCAGCCCUUGCAGCACAAGCGGGCGAGAGCUGGGCUUCGGUGCGGCCGGGCUUCUGUCCGCCAGCGGCCGGACUGGGUAUCGCCCCUGCACCGCCCUGCACCCGGACCGCUUCCGGCACUCCCCGCUUUUAGCGCAGUCGGGCGCGGCGUGGAUGCGCGUCUGGAGUGAAGUGCAGGCGGCGCACAUGGCGACUGUGGGGCAGGUGCGGCGUGACCAGGUGGUUGAGGACGGGCAUGUUCGGCCAUCGUACUCGUAGUUUGCCGGCACCAGGCGGCCAGUCCGGCCAUCCUCCUGCGUUGGGCCAGUCUCAGCGGGUCCUACUUGGGCAGUACCUCUAUUGACACAACUUCUCAAGCGCCAAAUCGCUGCAAGCCUGGAACUGCCCCGUACGCGAUUUCCCAGCUCCUCCGCCUGCACACACCUGGCCCUCCGAAGCCCGGGCCCAACCGCGUACUCUUUACCUCCCUGUGCGCAGCUGCUGGGCGGCGCGCGCAAGGUGGCCAAGACGCGCAAGUGCCGCAUCCGGCAGCUGGAUGGCAGCCCGUUCAAGAAGGGCAUCUGCCUGCGCGUGUACACCACCAGCCCCAAGAAGCCCAACUCCGCCAACCGCAAGCUGGCCAAGGUGCAGCUGAGCAACGGACUCAAGGCCCUGGCCUACAUCCCAGGUGCGUGCAAACGUGUGUGUGGAUGGGUGGAUGGGUGGUUGUGGUGCGUGGGCAUGCGGUGGGUGUGUGCGUGGGCAUGUGGUGAAGGCGGGGGGGGGCGGGAAGCGAUGGAGUGGGGCUUGGGCACCGGCAGCAUGGGCCAUGCACAGGGGGCGCUCGGCAUGUCUCAGUUUGCGUCUGGGCUUGAAACUUACCUGGCCGGCCAACAUGCGGGCCGCAGUGUACGCUUGGGCGUAUAUUACGCCCGCACGUAUCUUACCUCUGACUCUGCCUCUUCCCCGUGCACGGUACACCGUGUCCCACCCACACUGCCGGCUGCUGCCCGCAGGCGAGGGCCACAACUUGCAGGAGCACAGCAUGGUGCUGGUGUCGGGCAACGGCGUGCGCGACCUGCCCGGGGUCAAGCUGCGCAUCGUGCGCGGCCGCUACGACUGCGCGGGCGUCAAGGACCGCAAGAAGAGCAGGUGCGCGGGGGCGGGAAGCGGGUGUGCAGCAGGGAGCGCUGAAGCGGGGCGGAGUGAGGACUGAGGAAUUUGGGGCACUGCGCUUACAUCCACGCUGCCUCCAAACACAGUCAAAAUUGUCCACUGCUCUGCAUUCAACGCCGCGUUUCGUGGUUCUCGCAAGUAUAUGCACAGCGGCCCGUUGGUGUGCGCCAGUUCAGCGCCUGCGCAUCCUCCUUCUCCAUUCCUUUCCUAUGUAAACGACCCUAUGCGUGCCCGUGCUCAGCCACUGCCCUACCCGUCGCUACCUCUGCCCCCAGGUCUCGCUACGGCACCAAGAAGCCCAAGGCCACAUAGACACAGAGGGGCGUUUGGAUAGGCGGCGGCGCCACGCCAAGCGGGCGCGGGCGGCGCUGCCGCAUUGCCGGGCCCCUGCCGAGGCACUUUGCAGUGGCGCCGAGCGGCUCUAGAUCCGUAUGUACGAUGGCCCCGGUCUGAUUUUGCCUGGUAGCUUGCUUCUGCCGGGCUGCCCAGCUACACUCCGAUGCUUCUUCCUCGCAUCCGAGCUUCGUCAUGUGUUUCUUCAGCAGCGCAUACUUGUGUGCGCAUCCGAGCUUCGUCAUGUGUUUCUUCAGCAGCGCACUUGUGUCACGCGUCCUCGCCUCGCGCGCUGUUGGCCUGCUGCACCGCCAGCGCGGUGAGGUCCUCGGGCAUGCCGGGCACGGUGGCCAGGAUGCGCGCGAACAGGCUGGUGAACAGCGCCUUGACGCCGCUGCCGCUGCUGGCAGACACCUGCGGAUAGGUGGGGGCGGGCGGAUGGGCCGCGGUGGCAGCGCUUUUGGUGGUGGUGGCUUUGGUUUAAGUGGUGGUAGUGGGGGUGGAUUGUUGGGAGCAUUGCACGGCGUGGGGCAGUGGGUUAGGCCGACAGACACCCGCCGUUGCGCCCGCAUUGGGUAUAACAUUAGGUCCACAAGGAGUGGAUUUGCCCCCGCACAUGUAAGUGUACAGUGGCGCGCACCUCGAAGAAGGGGAAGCCCUUGGACUGCGCCCACUCGCGGCCCUCCUUCUCAAACACCUUGCGCACCGGCUGGUCCGUCUUGGUGGCAGCCACAAAGACGACCUGCACCGCGGACCGUGGGGAGGGCACGGAGGGGGACGUCAACAGCAGAGCGCAUGUUUAGAAACAGAGCGCGGCGCGGGACCCUGGAGCCGAUCUGCGCCGUAGUGGGCGCCAUGACGGCAGCAGCCCGGACGCCAUGCCCCGUUGCCCCAGGGGCCGUGCUAGGAAGGUCCCGAUCCACCCCAGCCCCCCAGUGGCGGCCACACAUGGCAGCGUAGGUACCGGUACCGGACAAGCAGCCCCACCCAAACGGCCGGGGUGGCAGGACUCUCGCGCUGCAGCGCUCGUUGGCCCUGCGCCCCCUGUCCCGCCGGCCCGCCUUCGUGUCCCAAUCCCACUGCGCACGUGCCUUGCCUGUCGUGACGGCCAGCAACACCCAACACCACCUACCCCAUCCCCUCGGCCUCCGAUAAGAUUAGGGCACCUCUAUGCUCCGAGCUCUGUGGGCUCCGAGCUCUGUGGGCUGGUAUUUACAACCCACCCUCACACCCACCCACCCUCACACAACCUCAUCCUCCCACCCACCAACACACGCACCAUGUUCUCCGCCCCGUACUUGCGGCUCUCCUCCAGCCAGCCCUCCAGCGCCUCGAAGCUGGCGCGGUUGGUGACGUCGUACACCAGCACGCAGCCCUGGGCCUCCUUGUAGAACUCGUUGCGCACCUCCGUGUAGUCCGGCCCGCCCGCCAGGUCCCACAGGUUCACACGCAGCUGCGGUGUGUGUGUGGGAGGGUUGGUUUGAGGUGGUGGUGGUGGUGGUGGUGGUGGUGGUGGUGGUGGUGGUGGUGGUGGUGGUGGUGGUGGUGGUGGUGGUGGUGGUGGUGGUGGUGGCGGGGUGCGAGGGGGGAGGCACGGUGGAAGGUGGUUGGGUGGGGAAGGAGAGAGGGGGAGGAGGCAAGGCGCGUUGGCGGCGCUGACGGCACUGGCCGGCUAAAAGCUGAGCUGGGGCUUUGAUAAGUGCUUGAUACCAAGUCACGGACAACUGCUCCGUGUGUGCCACACUUCCUCGGCAUUCGGUGGGCUAGUUGCUGGUUAUGGGCCUCGGUGUACCCCUACCCCACCCCCACAUCCGCCCCACACACCCCUACUACUCCCCACCAACCGCACCUCGUAGUCAUUGUACUUGUUGGGCUUUACGCCAUAGUCCACACCGAUGGUGGGGAUGUACUUGGAGACGAAUUUCUCCUCGCAGUACCUGCCGGCCACGUCAAGACAUGUCCGCCGUGUGAGCUCCCGGCCGCGGACAUGGCGCCCACAGCCGCGGCCCGUCGCUUCUUACCGCUUAAUGAGGCAUGAUUUCCCGGCAGCAUUGUCUCCCAUAGAGAUAACCUUAAUCCGGUAGAGCUUCGCGCGCUUAUUUUUGCCACUCGCUGCCUUCGCUGCCCGCAUUCCUCCUGUUCCUCGAAAGUCAGCACUUGUGCUAAAUGGCUAAUACAUGUUUGUGGCUUGUCCUAUGCAUAGCAAGCUUCUUUCUUCGUUGUGACAUGCUUUGCAAGUGCGGUCAACCGGAAGGGCCAAAGGCAAAGAUAGCGAGGAACAGCAGCGAGAUAUGCUUACCAGCUGCAGUGCAGUAUGUUUUGUAAAUGUGUUACCGUGACCAUUUGCAUGAGACUGCUACCAGUGGCAGUGCAUCCCCGCGUGCCCAACCACGUCCCACCACGAUGUGACCCUAUGUGACAAAGGUCACCUGCACUCCUAGCAUGACGCGUAUAUAUGUCCAUUACGCCAGUAUGACGGGUGUACCCCGCACAUUUCAGAAAAUGGUGUCAGGGGAUGCACCUGCUUUCUGGUUGCCGGAAUCUGGAUGUGGCUCCACGCACAUACCCUGCCCUGAUACUCCCCUCCUGGAGUAAGCAAUGAGGGUGGUACCCGUGGGCGCCGCGGCGUGGUUGUCUGGGUGAGGGUGUGGGCGUGGGCGUGUGUGCGGGUGUGGGUGUGGGUGGAGGUGAGGGUGUGGGCGUGUGCGUGUGCGUGUGUGUGCGUGUGCGUGCGUGUUUAGUGCGUGCUUGUGCGUGCGCGCGUGUGCGUGCGUGUGUGUGCGCGUGCCUGUGUGGGCGCUUCUGGGCCUGCCUGGCUGUGUGGCUGCUGUGUCAUUUUUAACGCGCGUGCCUCUGUGCCCCCGGGGAGCUCUUGGUGAGCCCGGACUCCCUUAACCGUGCGCACCAACUACUGACUAGGCAGCUGCUACAGACCGUACCAGUUUCACUCGCCAGCUGUGCCCGCCGUCCCCGCCUCUCCUGCCAGCUAACCGCCUCCUGUGCCUCACAUUUCAUAUCUGCCUACAGUGUUCACACUCCAGCGCCAGCUCCAGCGCCAGCUCCAGCGUGCGACGCCAGCAAACUUUUUCGCGCACCCGCACUCGGUCCUUAGGGCGCGCGGAGCAGCAUUCUCCCGAACUUCAGCCGCGACAUUCCCAAUCCAACCCGCGGCGCUUCCUCACACUCCGGUUGUGUUUGUCUCGCACUCGCAUUCGACUCGCCCGCCACUCAUCCGUACAUUCGGGCUCCCUUUUCUGCCGCGCCCUGUUUUCGCCCCUGCUUGUCAUACUGUCGCCCGGCCAUUGCUUUGCUGCAUACUGUUGCAUUUUCUCUGUGUUGCAUUUGGUGCUCAUCCGUGGACGCUGGUCAUCUUCCUGCAGGUGCGAUGCGGCACUGCCUCGCGAGUGUGGCGUUGCGGUGUGUCUGUGUGGUGCUAUCGCCUGGCCGGGCGCCCGGAGCGUGAGGAAUGCGCAUCAGCAAACUUGCAGCCAGCCAGCAACUCGUCGGUACAGUAACUCCGGCGUUCGACCGGCCGCGUACUCCUGCCCUGCCGUUGCAAAUUGUUUGUCAUCUGCUGGGUUCUGGGAAUCAGCUGCACCCUACGGGACUUCACCAACCUGCCUUGACACUGUCCCAUUCACACACCCUGCCCUGAUACUGGCCCCCCUUCAGGCCACGACCCGCCGACUUCUCGACUUCGGUGCGGGCCGGAUCGCCAUCCCCUUAUUUCGAUGACCAUUCGAGAUUCAUGGCACCCCUAACGGUUACCUACAAGCGCAGAAAAGAGCGCCUGCAAACGUUGCACCUGGUACUCGAGCCUUCACCACCACGUCCCCGCCCGUCCCUGCCACCUCCCAUGCAUGAUGCAAGCGGCAUCUACCGCGGCUGCGGGUGCGUCAGGCCCGGAGGCGAGCUCGUCGCCGCCGUGCCGCCCCCAGAGCGCCCAGCCGGCCGCCCCAAAUCCAGCGGCGCACCGGCUGCUGGCGCCUCCUCAUCCUGCAGCUUCUGCGCCCCACCCCCGGUGGAGCGCCUAUCAAUCAUAGCCAGCAACGCCACCUUCUCCCCAUCCACCGCCUGCGCUGGCGUCGCCGCCUUGGUCCCUGACCCCCGCGCGAGGGCCUCCUGCUGCUUCGUCGCGGCAGCAGUGACGGCAGCCGCCUUUGCCGCGUCCGCCUUGGCUGCGUUGGCAGCUCUGCAGCAGCACACACGGAGACAGAUGUCCGUUUAUGCAGCACGUGCAAAAGAGAAGACCGUAGCGAAGCGGCAGAUCCCCCCGUCCACGAAUGGCUCACCCCCCUCCUCCAUGGCGGCGUCCCUACAGCGGGCAGCAGACGGCGCAAGCAGCCCCCCUUCCCACACAGAGCUCCCUAGACGCUCACCUCAAUGAAAACACGCCGUAGCCCACCAUGCCUACGAACGCCAGUGACAUGCCUGCAGACACGCGCGCACACACACAGACAUACAAACACACAUCAGCGCACAUAUACGGCAACUUAGGGGCCCGGUCAGCGUCCGUGUUGCCUAUCGCAGCUCCCCAGACGGAGGUCUCCAGCACAGCCACGCAUCAAGCAUGAGGGCGAGUUGAUCACACCCGCCGCCCCCCUGCCACCCACGACUCACCCAGCACUUUGCGCGGGUUCAUCUCCUCAUCGAACAGCAGCCAGCCGCCUAUGAGCACCUGCACAGCGCGGGGCAGGGCGUGCGGCUGUCAUCGGCAGCUGCAUGCGUACGCGCAGGUAGGAAGGUGCCCGAGCCAGCCGGCCCGGCGCACAUACUGUAUGACGGUGAUGGUCACGCGCACCUGAGGGCCGCGGCGCCGGCUGGGUUCUCACGCAAUUUGUCGUCUUUGUGUCCUAUGCAAUGCACUGGAGUCAUUCUGGAAACCAGUAACGACUCGCUUUGCUGGCUCCUCGUCUCGUUGGACUCCUGCUUGCAUCGCUUCUCAUCAUACACACGCACGCGCAUGUUCCAUUUUCCGUGACAGCCCCCACCCCCACCCCCACCCCACACACGCGCCAUUCAUCCACCUCAUCUUCCAACAUGGUCAUGGACGGCUACCUACCCACCCACCCACCCGGUUUAGUUUGGGCUGGUAUUUACAACCCACCCAACCUGCCCCCCUGCCGCGCCCUCACCAGCAGCGUCUUGGCGUGCCCCAGCACCUGGAAGCUGGUGGCGCUGAAGCGGCCCAGCACCAGGUACUGGCUGGCGUUCACCGCCACAGCCAGCAGGCAGGACAGGCCCAGCAUCUCAAUGCCCGGGACACUGGCCUGCGGGGGAGGGCGGGCGGGGCGGGCACGUGUGUAGGUGGGGUGCGGUGCGGUGCGGUGCAGCGGUGUGGGCGAGUGGGCAGUGUUGUGCGGUGUGGUGUGCGGACUCGGAUUGCUGUGGGCCUCAUUCGGCUGAGGUCACCGUGUUUGGCUCGCAAACGAGGUUGGCAUUACCGGUAGCUCCUGGCCAGGCGGGCCCAGACGGGUCAGCCGUGCCGGCGGCGAUGGAACGCCUCAGCGCUACCACGUGCGCGGGGCUGUUGCACGUGGGUGGUCGUGUAGGUUGCGGGUUCAGACGAGCUUGCUGCCGUGGUCUGUCUCCCGGGUGCUGCCCCGGUGCAUCCCGCAACCCGCACAGCGCCCACAGCACACGCACACGACACACGCACGCGGAGGAACACAUGCACGCACCUCCCACUCCAUGAUCCACUUGCUGCUCGCCAGCUUGUCCACGAAAGGGCCCACAAUCAUCAGGAUCAUCCCCUGAGAGCGUGUGCGAUGUUGUGAGCGGACCAGCAAGGAAAAACGUGUGAGGCAGCAGCGGCAAGAAAGCGGUUGGGCUGCCGCUCAGUUACGGUCACACCAGCACUCGCCCUCGCUGCCACGCCCUAUGCAGCUUUGCCCCGGCCCAGCCUCCCCUUAGCCUCAUACACACAACCGCCGCUUCGGCUCUAGCAUAACAGUGAUAACACACAUGCCCUCAGCCACACGCACGCACACACGCCUGCCGCACCUGCAGGAAGCUGGUGUUGCUCAUGAGCUGGUGGCUCUGGAUCUUGAGUGUGGCCUGCAUGUGGCCGCACAGGAUCUGCUGCAGCCCGCCGCUUACGAUGAACAGCCCCGCCAUCACCAGCCCCGGCAGCUGCACCGACACGUCACUGCGGGAGCGCGGAGCGCGGGGAAGGGGUUCCAAAGAUUGGUACAGAGGAGUGUGGCGAAGUAGGGGGGAGGGAUUGCGGACUUUAGGAAGAGGAGCAGAACCAGAGCAGCGGGUACCAGGGCACUUCGAGGUGAAUGGCCUCGCACCAAUGCCGUGCAGGUUUGGAUACACGUUGUGUGCACGUGUAUGCGGGAGGGGUGUUGGUGAUCCGGGGCGGGGGGCAUGGAGGCGGGGUUUGUACACGCCUGUUCGCAUUUGGAAGCAUCUGCACAUGGAAGCAGGGAGCUCGCAUCCACAAACGACCAAAACCCCAUGACCGAUGCAAGCCUCCGUGUCUCUUCUGCCGACACACUCGCUCCUGCUCUCCUGGAUUACCAGGUUGCGCCUUGGUCCACUGACCGUCAUGCGCCAUGCGCCCCCGGCGCCACCCUGUGUACGUGCACGCCCAGCAACCAACCGCCCAGCAGUCCGCCCUUUCGGCCGCUGUCCACCCCCGCACGCCCCGCCCGCGCCCCCUACACGCCCCCCCUUGCAACCCCACCUGACCGUGACGAUGCCCACCCCCGCCAGCACCACCACGAUGCAGGCCAGCACGGCGGGCGGGAAGCGCUUCUUGAGCCACAGCAUUUCCACCGCCGCCACGAAGGGGCUCAUCAGCAGCUUGGCGAUCUGGUAGAAACCCACCUGCAGGGGCCCGUGCCGGGUGGCGUGCCGCGGGGGGACGUGUUGGAGGGCGUGAUGAAGGGCAUGCUGGCAGCGUGUUGGGGGCAUACGAGGUGUUGGGCAUGCUCAUAACGCCAGGCCUAUGACGCACGCAUGCACCAGAUCCAGAACCCCCGCGAGAGACUGCGGGUGCUCGUGCCUCUACGGCUCCACACAGCUCCGAAACAACACGCCACGCCACAGUCCGACACGCCGCUCCAGCCUCCGCCACCACCAGCGCGGUUCAGGCCGGGCAGGGCCCCCGGGGCCACCCCCUCACCGAGUUGAGCAGCAGCGACAGGUUGGCGGUGCCGAUGGACAGCGCGCCCACGCACGCGAACAGCAGCGAGGAGCGCAGCGGCAUGUCGGCCUGCUCCGCGAUGCCCGCCCGCUCCAGCCCCCACACCGCCCAGGCGCAGCACACGAAGUGCAGGCCAGACACGGUGGUGGCGUACUGCGGGCAGGUUACAGUCAUGAACAUUCAGAGGAAGCGAAGCUGUGGCCAGGCACGCGGGGGCGGGAGGGAAUGCGGGAGGGGAGGAGGGGAGGCGGGAGGGAAGGAGCGGCGCCCCGGCGUGCGUGGUCUGGCGGACAGUUGGCACUACGCGGUACCGGCACGUCCAGCCAUUGCCAGUUGCGGGGCAACACAAGCAGGGCCCCGAGCGAGACACACGAUCCCUAGUGGCAGAACAAGGGAAGCACGCAACGCACCUUGAAACGGUAGACGCUCAUCAACGCUUUGAUCACAAAUAUCUGUCGGCACAGCACAGUUCACAGGUCGUGUGUGUGCGUGCGUGUGGUGUUUAUGACUGACAUGCAGCCCCAUGGAGGGCGUAAGCGCUGUCUGUAACUCCUCCAAGGCCCCACUUCUGACACACUGCAGGGGUGCAGCUCGGGCCCUGGCCGGGCCCUCCCCGGACGGCCUCAGCACACAGCACACAGCGCUGGGCCGCCAGCCGUGCCGCUGGCGGCCGCUGGCGGCUGCCUAUGUUGCCUGCGGUGCCUGUGGUGCUGGCAGCAAGCGCGCUAGGCCGCCCUGGGGGCACCGCGGCGGCCGCCCGCCCGCCUGCUCGCGACAGCGGCCGCGUCGCCCACGCCCAUGCACACACACACGCACCGUGACCACGGACGUGGACACAUUGGCCGUCCAUGCGAACACGUUGACCAACAGGUCCUGUGGGGUAUGGGGCGUGUGGAGGUGAGGAGAGGUGGGGGAGGCCGGGGAGGGAGGAGGUUCGGCCUGGACAGCACUUGCACCGUAUGCACUGAUGUGCAUGCACAGGUGCGUGACACGCGAUGUCGUGGCCCAAGGUUUGCGAACGGGCGCCGCAAGGCGGCUCAGUGCACCCGUGCCCCAGUCAACGUUUGCUUACUGAGAUAACCCCUGAAGUGAUCUGCCUGCUGGGACACUGCCACCAGCGAGCGCGUCCCUAGCGCUACACUUUGUCGGAGGGGUUAACCGCCCCCCCGCCGUGGUCACAACGUACCCGGCUUUCCUCCGCAGCAGUCAUUGCUAUUCCAAGCGUGAUAAGUGUGUCCAGAUAUGCUUGCUAUGUCCGGGACGUGCCAGCCAGAGCUGAUGUGGGGCGCGCUCAAACUACCGCAUCGGCUAGAGCUCGACGAGGUCCAUUUCGUCUGCUCUGCAUUUCUUUAGCUGAUGAUGGGUAUGUAAAGUGUUUAAGGUGAAGCCUUAAAACAAAGGUACGUGCUUUGGGAAUGCCCGCCUCUUGCGCAAACUGUUUAUUUGCAAGCUGUAGAGUAACAAUCCAAAGGCAAGAGUUUGAGGUGUGCACGAAUGUCUCUUAUGCCCAUAAUGUUGUAGCGGAUGGCCAGAGGUGGGCAUGCGCGCGCUCCAACUACGCAACAGGUGCAAUCUGACGGGCCAUACUUCCAGGCAACCCUUGCAGCCGUCUCACCUGCCUACAUUAUGGGUGCUUGACAGCCGUGUGAUGGCGAGGUCGGUAUAAGUGCGUGCAUAGCGCCUGGGCCGUCUUUCGCGGUUCGGGGGCACUGGGGGCUGACACGCUGUUCGUGUCUGUCCGUGGAUGUUCAGCCCGCCCAACGCCCCUGGCCGUGCAACGCCCCCCUGGGUGUAGAGUCCUCAAAUCAUUUGUGCUCGACAUGUUUCUCAUAUAGCCCGGCGGGAACGGAGUCAACGGACUCGCUGUGUCAGCAUUGGCAGCUUUCGGUUUCAAGGCGCAUAGGAAUGGGCUCCUAAUACAAUAGUGUCACGCAUGCACGCACACUGAAAAAUAUAUGCAUCAUGCGCCAUCAUCAUGAACGCGAAAGACUCUUUCCGCAGCUGUUUGCCCGGCUUCAAGCCGCGGUGCCUUACGUGUCUACCGCUCUAGUCGGUCUGCUGGUGCUGUACAUACUAUUGUGGAAUGCGGCAAAGGUGAAUAGCUGUCCACUUGCCUUGGCGACAAGCAAAAGUCAAUCGAUGCUUCGGGCAUGUUUGCAGGCACGUCGUCGUCGUGCAGUCCCGGGCGCUAAGGAGCUACCAGGUGACCACUUGUCCCCUCACCCCAACCAGGCGUCGCACUAGCCCCUCCCAACCCUCCUAAUCCUUCGUCCCAUUUGCUCCACCCCUGCCGCGACGACCCUUAAAACACACGCAGUGCCGCCCGCGCUGCCCCUGCUCGGCCACUGGCUCGCGCUGCGCGCCCGCGGCCGUGGCAGCGAGCCCGGCGACACGCACCUGCGCACGCUGCGCCGCUGGGCGGAGGCGCACGGCGGCGCCUUCCGCCUGCUGCUGCCGCGCGCCUGGCUGCUGCCGGGCGGGCUGGGCCUGGGCCUGGGCGGCGGGGGCGGGCGGGCGGCCGGCGAGGUGGUGGUCCUGAGCGACCCGGCCGCCGUGCACGCGCUGUUGGCCCUGGGGGAGGACGUGGCGCCCAAGUCAACUGCCUACUACCGCUCGCUGGAGCAGGUGCGGGCGAGAGGGGGGCGGGGGCGAGUGGGAACAGGGGCGCAGGGUUCGGGGGCAAGGGUUCGGGAGCAAGGGGGCGCUGGAGGGCGACGGGGGGGGGGUGACCAAUGCAGGGGAGCGGGGACGGCGGGACGGCCGUGUUGUGCGCAGCAGGGCGUCACGCAGCGCCUUUGGCGUGAGCCCUGCAGGAGGGGUGCAUUGUGUCAGUCUGUGGCUUGGCUCGUGUGGCCGCCUGGCGGGCGCUAGGGCGCGGCGGCGGCUACGCAUCCAGCACGGACGGGCUACGGUGCAGCGCGCAGCGCUACAGUGACCCGGCAGCGCCCUCACCUCCUCCUGCCGCCUGUAUAAACGGCACCGCACCUACACCGCGCUUUGCCACGCCCCAUUCUUCACAUGAACGGCUACCCCGCCACCACCCCCACCACCCACCACCACCCCACACAGGUGCUGCACAGCCCUCCUGCGCCCUCGCUGCUGACCAGCACCGCGGCGGCGCAGUGGCGGGCGGCGCGGCGCUCGCUGCUGUUUGCCUUCAGCCGCUCCGAGCUGGAGCAGGACUUCGAGGUGAGGGGGCGAGGGAGGGGGGGGGAGCGGAGGAGGAGGUAGUGGAGGAGGAGGAGGAGGAGGAGGGGUCAGAGGUAGAGGAGGAGCGCGGAGGCUGGAGGGGGCGCGGGGCGUGAGGUUGCAUGGUUUCCAGUUGCGGUUUUGGGGUGGAGGGGCGGGGGCAACGAAGCCCCAGGACGCGAUUGCGGACUGUCAUAGGGGCCUUGCUGCAUGGACCUUUCCGUGUGUGGAUGGACUUAUGCUGGACUGGGCUUGGCUGUAUGGUGGCCCCCCCCCGCCCCCGCCCCCUAACCCCCGCCCCUCCCCCCACCCCCCCGGCUGCCAGGUUGCCAAGGCCAAGGCUCUGUCGCUGGCCUCUGUGGUGCUGGGUCUGGGCCCGGGCGUGGUGUUGGACGUGGACGACGCGGCGCUGCGGCUCAGCCUGGACGUGGCGGGGCUCAGCAAGCUGGGCUACGACUUCCAGGUGGGGGCGGGGGCGGGAGGUGGGGAGAUGGGGGGAGGGGGGAGGGGGGGAGGAGGGGUGCAAAUACCAGCCCAAACCAAACCAAACCAAGCGAAACAGGAGCGCAGGCAGCGGCUCUAGGUGCAAGCGAUAUGGGAGGGGCCGAGGCGUCGUGAGGCAGCAGGGCGAGCGGCGCCGGCGAUUACCGUCAUGUCGCCGCCCGGGCUCGGUGGCGCACGGUGGGGAAGGGGAGGGGAGGGGUGGCGGGCAAAGAUGGGGAAGUGGGGGGUUAUAAGGUUAAGGCAAUGGGAAAAUGGAAACGGGGUGGAGGGAUGGAGGCCGGGUGCGGCGUGCAAGCAUGGCGGUCGCGUUUGCAGUCGCGGCGGCGGCUGGUCUGCGGUGCAAGGCGCUUGCAGGAGCGGCCACGGCACGACACGCCCGUUUGUGCCUGUGCGUGUAAUGCAACGAAUCACAACGAGGCCCGCUUAACCGUGUGUGUGUGUGUGACUGUGACUGUGACUGUGGCUACGACUGUGUGUUGCUCAGGCGGUUGAGGCCACGGGCCAGGUGCUUCUGCUGCGGCUGCUGGGCGAGGUGGCGGAGGAGUGGGACGCGCGGCGGCGGCGGCUGCUGCCGGCGUGGGCGGCGCCGUGGCUGCUGGACUCGGCGGCGGAGGCCAGCAGCAAGUGCCGCAUACUGCAGGACUUCAUUGAGGGGGUGAGCGGGGCGGUGGGGCGGCGGGCACAACGGAAUGUACUUGGGGCGCAGAGUAGCUGGUGGCACACCUUGGGGUCUCUAACGUGCUUGUGCUUCACACCCGGCAGGAGCUGUGGGAGGACAUCGCCAGCCGCGGGCCGCCGCCGCCCGAGGACAUCACUCUGGCGGCGCAGAUCGUGCGGCUGUGGUGGGUGGCGCGGGUGGCAGAGCGUGUGGGGCGGUGUGGGGUUGAUGAUAUGGCUGCGGGUGCGGGAGCCCAGGUGGCGGCGGCGUGGGCCUGUGCCUGUUCUUGGGGGCGCUGGGGCGGCACCCGUUCGUAACGUGAUGUCGUGGCCUUGGACACAGCUGCCUUGACGGCGGCGGCGUGCAGAUCCUCCCCUACCCCGCCGCCUCGCCUCCCUUGCUGUGCAGUCACUCGCUGAACCGCGGCGGCGUGUCGGCCCGGCCUUCCGGCGCCGCGGCUGCCGGCGGCGGCGGUGUGGCUCGCGCGCUGUGUGAGCUGACGGCCCAGCUGCUGCUGGGGCACGAGCCUGUGGGUCACAGCCUGGCGUGGGCUCUGGGCUGUCUGGCUCGGAACCGGGCGGCGCAGGACAAGCUGGUGGCGGAGCUGAAGCGGGAGGGUGAGGGCAGGGAGGGAGGGAGAGGGAGGGAGGGGGGACAGGGAGGGAGGGAGGGAGGGAGGGAGGGAGGGAGGGAGGGAGGGAGGGAGGGAGGGAGGGAGAGGGAGGGAGGGGGGACAGGGAGAGAGGGAGGGAGGGAGGGAGGGAGGGAGGGAGGGAGGGAGGGANNNNNNNNNNNNNNNNNNNNNNNNNNNNNNNNNNNNNNNNNNNNNNNNNNNNNNNNNNNNNNNNNNNNNNNNNNNNNNNNNNNNNNNNNNNNNNNNNNNNAGGGGGGGAGGGAGGGAGGGAGGGAGGGAGGGAGGGAGAGUGGGAGGGAGAGCUGCACGGCCUAGCGGCCCAUGCGGCGGGCGGGGCUUGCGGUGCAGGGCGGGCUAGGCGCAGUGAGACACACGCUGCGCCACGUGUCCCGUCGUCUUAAAUCCUCCCCCCCCCCCCAAUAAGCAUGCAUGUAACCUCCCGCCCUCCUGCUCCCCGCGCUCGUGCCCCCCGCCAGGCGUGUAUGACGCGCCGCACACCGCCCUCACCUGGACCAUGCUGCACCGCCUGCCCUUCCUGGACUGCUGCGUGCGCGAGGCGCUGCGCCUGUACCCGGCCCAGCCCUGCCCCGCCACCGUGCGGCAGCUCAACAAGGUGUGCUGCGAGGGAGGGCGUGGAGGGAGGGCGCCCCCAGGUGCAGCGGUAGCAGCGGGUUGUGGGUGGGUGCGGUGGCGUGCAGUGGGCACUGGGCCCGGGUCGUGUUGCCCCCCCCCCCCCCCCGGGCCCUGCGUACUCCGACCGCACCGUCCGCCGCACCCUGUCCAUUCACCCAACCUGCCCUGCACACAUUGCCUGCUGGGUCAUGGCUUUGAUGGGAAGGGGCGGAGAUGGGGGCGCGUGACUGUGCCUCUCUCGUGUACAUCUCUCCUGACUAACUAGACAUGCCAGGACCUCCCACCAACGCCACCGGGUUAAUCACUCCGUUCUUCACAUGAACGGCUACCCCACCCCACCGUAACGCGCCACAAUCUGCCUAGCAGUAACUUCGCUUCUUCUUGAUUAAUCAUGCAUGUACACCCCACCCCACCCCAUGGCUUGCAUUGGCCUGGUUUGGGCUGGCAUUUGCAACCCCCUGUGUGGUGCCGCCCCUGCAGGACGUGGUGCUGGCGGGCUGGUCCGUGCCGGCGGGCGCCGAGGUGUGGGUGGACGUGCAUGCCAUGCACCGCAACCCGCAGCUGUGGCGCGACCCCGACCGCUUCAACCCAGAGCGAUGGGCCGAGCACGUGGCGGCGCGGCGGCAGGCGGCAGAGGCGGAGGCGGCGGGGGCGGCGGCGGCCGCUUCCAAGGGCCAGGCUCAGGGGAAGAAGGGCGGAAAGAGGCAGGGCGGCGGCGAGGGUGGUGCCGCGGGCACAGGCUACGACGGCAUGCACACCGUCGAGCCAGACCCCUCGGACGCGGUGGCGGCGACGGGCACAGACGAAACCCGCGCCAGCGGCGCGGCAGGCGCCGACAGGCAUCAAGACGCGGCGGCGGCGGCAGCCGCCGCCGCCGCCGCCGCCUCUUCCUCUGCGGCGGCGGGCGGCGAGGCCUCUGAGGCUCCGCUGUGCAGCCCUCUGGCCUUCAUGCCGUUUGGCUCGGGGCCCCGCAGCUGCCUGGGCCAGCAGCUGGCGGCGGCGGAGCUCAAGGCGGCGCUGGCGGUGCUGCUGUGCUUCCUGGCGCUGGAGCCCACGGGCGACCCCGCGGACGAGCCGCGACCCGCCGCGGGGCUGUUCCUGCGGCCGGCGGGCGGGCUGCACCUGCUGCUGGUGCACAGGCAGCGGGGGCAGCGGGCGGGCGCGGCGUGAGCGCGGGCUGGGGCGGGCGUGGGGAGGAGGAGGACAGGGAGGCGUGGGCGGGCGGCGUGGGGCUGGGUUGUGCGGUAUGGCCGAGCGCAACGAAUAGGAGGGCGCGGGGUGAGGCGGGGGGAAAGGUGUGGUGCUUUGGAGGUUGGGCGAGAGCAGGAGAGGGCGGGGGGUGCAAUGCCCAAGCCCAACGAAAUUGGGGUCCCACUUGUCCAGGAAUCGGCGCCCAAACCGGGCAUGCAGUGUGAGCUCGGCGUACAGCCUUCAGUCUCCGUCAUCUGGGAGGUGGUGUCGGUAGUAGACUGUGGGCGCCGCGCCGCACCCACAAUGAGGGCGAAGACUGUCGAGGUGGAUGGUGCUUUGUGGUGGGUUAGGAUCGAGCGGGCAGGCGUGCUAUACUGCUUCCUUUAAGCAUCUUCGAUAACUGCUAUAUCCGAAGCAAGGCUGUGGGUAUUGGCUGGCUCGACCGUGGAGGGAGGCGCGGUGGUGGACUUUUACACGCUGAGAGGGAGAGGGCCGGUUGUCCUCACGCCCAUGCAGACCACAAGGGCAAGGAGCGUGCCGGGUGUAAGGAGUGCGUGAGCAGGCUGCUCGCAGGCCAGAUGAGCGGUCUGGCCGACAGCGGUGUUGGUGGUCGUGGGGGGAGCCGCAGACGCGUCAACGGGCCAAGUGCGGCGCCGUAGUGACCAGGGGCGGAGGUUGCCAGACCCAACAACCCAGUGCAUGGGCGUUCGAGCGUUACACGCCAACGGCCCCACGCAUCGUCAAUUCGUCACCUCACCCAUCCAGCGUGGAGCACAUAACUGCACAUUCCACGCUGCCCCACUGCUCGGCAUUCACAUGCAUGACCAGCUGUCUCACACCUACGCUGCUAAGCACACACAUCUCUGCUCGGGCCCAACAGUCAAAAUCGCCCCCUUGCAAAGCUGCCCAUUGGCCUGCCCACACAUGCCACCGCUCGCAGCCCAGCCACCCAGCACCCGUCACAGGCCGGCGAGGGCGCACACACCCCGCUGCGACCCGGGGCCCUCCCAGCGGGUCGGUGGGUCACUGCCCCGACUUGAUGAUCACACACAUCGCCACUCGCACGCAUGCAUGCGGAUCAGAACUCCCAGAAGCAGAUGCGGUUGAAGCCGUGCGGCCAGAUGAGGCCGCAGCAGUGGUUCAUCCACCUGCGGGUGCACGCGGAGCAAGUGCCGCGUAUUAACACCCGGAGCUGGGGGGCAGCCAGGGACUACAGGGCGACAGCACGCGAGCGCUCGUGACUCCAAGUUUUAAGAACACCAGUACGGCACACCCACCGGCACACCACGUGAGCAGCAACCCACAGCCGCACGCGGCCACGCGAUCCCUCCCCAUCACACCCAGCCUCCCAGCCCCAGCCCCCGCCCCAUCACCCAUGCGGCUCUCCCCCAUUGGCCCCCCGCACCCAGCCCCCCCCCCCCACUUACUGCUGGUGCGCAGCCGAUGCAGUGCCGGACAGGUCGGUCACCUGCACGUUGGGGUUAAAGCCCAGGAGUCAGCCAGGUGCGGAGUCGGGGCUCGGGGGCCCGACCCCAGGAGCAACACACAUGCCACACGGCACUGCAGCAGUGCACGCCGCCCUCGCCCCCCAGCCCUUCCCUACCUCGCCAUCGCCCCGCACCCACCAGUCCAUGUGUGAGCGCCGGACAGCCAGACAGCCCGACAGCCGAACAGCCAGCCGCCGCACACUCCAGCACACACACCCUGCCGCGGCUUCUCCCGCCAGCCCCCCCACCUGCCCCACCCACCCGCAUGGGCUUGGUCAUCCACACCACCGGCGCCUCGGCCGCAACGCCCUUCAGCGCCUCCCCCAGCUGCGCGCUGGUCACAUUCAACACGCCGUCCGGACCUGCCGCCGCCGCCGCCGCCUCGGCCGGCAGGGUCAACACGUUGCCCCCGGGCCCCGGCCGCAGGGCGCGCGCCUCCGGGUGCAGCUGUUCCAGGAAGUGCUCCAUCUGGGGGGAGGGGGCACAUUCAUGGUGUAAUCAAUGGACGGGGGAACGCGGCAGGAGGCAGGGCAGGGAUUCUCCCAGAGAUUCUCCCUCCCGCCCGCCCGCCCGCCCGCCCGCACCUCUAUGGACAGCAGCAUGCGCGCCGCGACGUGGUUGUCGCCGUGCCCGUGUGCGCGCCGCUCCGUGUGCAGCGGGCCGUGCAGGCAGCCUGGAGGGCGGGGGCGUGUGGGUGGGUGUGGGGGUGUGCGGGCGCGUGUGGGUGCAGCGAGGCAGGGGUGUAAACGGCAGGCAGCGAGCAUCCCUUGGUACUCUUCAACAAAUACGCACAUGUUCCUCAAGUGCACUCUAGCACGCACACAGACACACACACACACACACGUACACACACACACGCACGCACACACACACACAGACACACACACGUACACGCACACACAUACACGCACACACACACACAGACACACACACACACACGCCGGGGGCCUCACCGUGCUGCACCCAGGCGAACCACUCGCAGCUCAUGUUGGAGAUGGAGGGGCCGUAGGGCGCGAAGGCGCCGCCGUUGAGGUAGCGCCAGGGCACGUAGUGCGAGCCGUUGUAGGGGAAGGCGCCGCCGCGGUGCAUCUGGCGGGGGAGGAGGCGGGGAGGGAGGGAGCACGCGGCCAGGCGGUGGGCGGGAGCGGAGGCGACACGGUAGUGUGUCAUGUCAUGGGCACGGCAGUGCUGACGUCAGCCCCGAGCUCGGCGCUAUCCCCCGCAGGCAGCGCAGGCCCCGCCACGCCCCCCAGGCCCGAGCCUGCCGUGUGAUAGGUCCCGCGUGCCCAGAGGGAUAGAUGGUGCGGCGGCGGCUCCCCAACUCUCCCGCCCCCUCACCCAUGGGAAGUCGCAAGACAGCUGCGGCACCGCCAGGGUGCGCCCCGCCGCCACCGCCACAGUGCUCAGCGCCGCCACCAGCUCCACCAGCUGCGGCUUGCCGGCCAGCACCAGGGCGCCGGGUGGCUCGCCGGCGGCGGUGGGCGUGCGGCUCACCACACCGGGCGCCAGGGCGAUCACGCGCGGCAGCGGCACCUGCGGCAGGAGGCGGGAGGCGGCAGGAGGUGGCAGGAGGUGGUGGGAGGUGGCAGGAGGUGGUGGGAGGUGGCAGGAGGUGGCGGGCGCAGCAUGGGGAGAAGGGAAAGGAGGCAGUGGUGGUGGUGGUGGGGGGGGGGUUGCCGCGUCGGCGGCAGGCGGGUGCAGGCUGCGGCCAAGGCAGUUUGACUGACGCGUGUGGCUGCACUCACGUGCUGCCCCAGUCGGCUGUGGUGCAGCCCCGCCCCGGCGCGCGCGGCGUGGUGUGCGCCGCCGCCGCCGCCGCCCGCAUGCACAUUGGUGGCGAAGUAGGCGCCGCCGGGGCCGUGCAGCAGGUGCGCCAGCGGGAAGCUGAAGGCGCCGUUGUGCAGCAGCUGGAAGCGUUUGCCCAUGGGCUUGUCGGGGGACACCACGAAGUGGCCGGCCUGGGGGUUGUAGCCGUUCAUGUGAACAACGGAGUAACUCAAUCACAACGGAGUUAUUAAAUCACAAGUAUAAAGUGCUGACAUCCCGGGGGGACAACAGGGAGUGUGGCAUGGGUCCGGGUGAGAGCGGCAGCAAGAGUGGCGCCCGGCAGCGCGCGUGAACACACACGAGGCCUUCAGCAAUACGCAUGCACACAAACGCCUUUGGGCCCACGCACCACGUUGCACGGCUCCGUGCCGUUGGGCCUCAUCUGCGGCAGGAACAUGCCGUUCAUGCCGCAGCCGCUCCUGCAGGGCGGCAUGAGGGCGGGAAGGAGGUUACAGUUACAGUGUAUGAGUCAUGGGAGGCGUUUUUGCAAGCCGAUUGUGUAUGUGUGUAUGUGAUGGAUACGCGUGGGAGGAGGGGAUUGCGCUAUUGGGGAGGAGAAGUGGAACACCAGGCACGAGGGGCGGGUGCGCUCGCUCACCAGUCGCACACGAUGUGGGCGGAGAAGUAGGAGAACUUCUCACUGGGCACUGCGGCCGCCGCGGCCUGUGUGCGGGGUGCAAGGCGCCGGUGUGGGGUCCAGGACGGGUUCAGUCGGUGCCUCCAGUUGAGUAUCAGGUGUGGGUGUCAGGUCAGCAGUCGAGGUCAGGCGGCGGUGCAACCGGGUGCCCUGCACUGCACGCAGCCCACUCCGCUCCCCCCCUGCACUCCACCACACGCCCAUCCAUACACCGCAUCCCUCUGAUCCGGCUGUCUGCCUCCCCCCCCUACAUUCCUCCCCCUCUACAUUCCUCCCCCUCUACAUUCCUGGGUUGGGCGGCAAUUCCUUGACUACUGGGACAUCUUUUUCUUUGGGCUCGGGCACAUACCCCCGCCCCGCCCCACCCCCUGGCCCACCUGUGUGCCGGGGUCCUCCAGGUCGGGCCACAUGGGUGUGCCCGCCUCCGCCAGCAUGGCCAGGAAGGCGCGCGCCACAGGCGUCAGCUCGCCCAGAGCCCUGCAGGCGGGGACCAGGGUGUGCGUGUGUGUGUGUGUGCGUGUGUGUGUGUGUGUGUGUUAAAGAGCACAAGGAAAACAUUACGCGUAGGACAGUGUGUGUGUGUGUGUGUGUGUGUGUGUGUGUGUGUGUGUGUGUGUGUGCGANNNNNNNNNNNNNNNNNNNNNNNNNNNNNNNNNNNNNNNNNNNNNNNNNNNNNNNNNNNNNNNNNNNNNNNNNNNNNNNNNNNNNNNNNNNNNNNNNNNNACACACACACACACACACACACCCUCUCCCCCCCCCCCACACACACACACACAGCCGCAGUCGCACGCGCUCGCACCUGCCGCCCAACGCCUCCGGCCACUGGCCGCCGAAGUGCGGCAGGCGCAUCAGCCCCUCCUGGUUCUUGAGCCCCUCCGGCCCCGACGUGUGCCAGUGGCAGGCGGGCCCGGGCCGCUCCAUGGAGAAGCGGCGCGUGCGCAGCGCCGGCCCAAUCAGCGCUGCGUGGGCGGCCUGGAACGCCUGCGGGUGGGUGGGUGGAGGUUCAUACAGGUGCGUGUGCGUGUAGCCUAUGUGUGUGUGGAGUCUGUACACAUCUUUUCAACAACCCCCACAUGUGUGUGUGCAUUGUGUGCGUGUGUGUGGACGGCGGAGAGGGCGUUUGCGUGAGCAUGCGUGUUAGGGAGCACAGGGAAAGGGGCCGUGUGGGCAUGUGCAUGCUAUCAUGUAGAUAUGAAAGCAGGGUGGGUUUGUUGCAGAAUCAGCCGCCCUGGGUCGCUGGUCCCUGCCAUACAUGCCACGCCGCGCUUCCGCUUUUAUCACUCCGUUCUUCACAUGAACGGCUAAACACCCCCCCCAAAGAAAAUCUUUGCAAACCCCACCGACCUUGAGGCCGUCCUCCCGGAGGUUCCACAUCCGGUCCAGCGGCCUGCGGGGGAGGGGGGCGGGGUCUUCAACAGACAGCAACCAACGCGGCACAGCAGCAGCAGCAGAGCAGCAGUAGCAGCGAGCCGCGUACGGCAGCAGCACCCAUGCCACCAAAAUCCACCAACCACCCUUGUCCCUGUCUCGCCCCCCUCCCCCUCCCUCCCCUUCCUCCCCCCUCCUCUCCCCCUCACCUUAUGUCCAGGCACCUCCAGAACACGGGCCUGCCCACCAGUGCGCUGUACACGGUGUCAGUCAGAACGGACUGGUCCCAGCAGUAGGCCACUGGGGGUGGGGUGGGGGGGGGGGGGGGAGGCAGGAUGGGGGGAGACAGGAUGGGGGGAGGCGGGGGGGAGGCAGGGGGGAGGCAGGGGGUUAACUUUGAACCAUUCCCGUGAGGAAACAGUCGCGCUGCAAGGAGAAACUGGGUGGUCGCAGGCGUUGGGGCGCGCGGCAGUAACCCCAUACCAGCUGCCAUAGUGCCCCCCCAAUGCCCCCAGUGCCCCCCAGUCCCCCCCCCAGCAGCUCACUGGAGCCGUUGAAGGCCGCCACCACCGCCGGCUGCUCGCGCCAGCGGAUGUUGCGCAGCAGCGCCUCAGCCAGGGACCAGGUCACCGGGCCAGAUGGGGAGGCGCCGCGCGCGUACUGCGAGCGUGUGUUUAAGAGCACAAGGAAAACAUUACGCGUAGGACAGUGUAUGCGAUGCGAGCGUGUGUGUGUGUGUGUGUGCGUGUGUGCGUGUGCGUGUGUGUGUGUGUGUGUGUGUGUGCGGGCGGGUUCCGCAGUGGUCACACGGGUUGGACGGGAGCAGGCGGGGAGGUGGUGGGGCGCGUGCAGCCGCCGUGCCGCCCUGGCGGUGCAUGCCAGCGCGGUCGUGGCCCGGGGCAGGUCCCAGCCCCACGUUAGGGUGUGUGGCAGCCCAUCACUCGUCAGUCCGGCGGCUGCUUGGCCGCACCACCUCUCCCUGCUGCCCCUCCCCCUCCCUCUCCCCCCUCUCCCUCCCCCUCUCCCCCCCCCUCCCUCUCACCAUGAAGCCUAUAUUGAGUGUGCCCAUGCCGUCCACCUGGGACAGCAGCUGGUAGUCUGCAGGGCGGAGAGCGGGGGGGAGGGGGGCAGGAGGGGGGGGGGACAUUUAUGAUUAAUUAAGAAGUGGAGGCGUAGGCAGGUACAGUAGCAUAGUAGGGGGGGAGGGGGUGUAGAUACCAGCCCAAACUAAACCGAACCCAAUGCACGCGCUUUGGGACUUGUGCUCGCAACCCCCGCUCCCCCCCACCCUUGUCCAGCUGCCCGUCCUCCGCCCCGCCCCCGCCCCUGUCUUUUACACACGGCUGUUCCCACCCCCCGCUCCCCACCGCACACACCCUUGUAGUCUGGCGUGUUCAUCCAGAAGUAGAAGUCGUCCAACAUGAGCGUGUCAGUGUCCAUGGCCUGUGAGGUGAGCGGGGGGAGCGGGGCGGCAGCAGUCAGGGGGGCCGGGGGGGAGCAGCAGGCGGGCGGGUGCAGCAGGCGGCACUGCGCUGCGCACCUGACGUACCUACCCCUGCCACGACACCCCCACCAUCACUACUGCCACCACCACUGCUCCGCCUCGCCUCGCGACCACGCGGCCCUACUCCUCCCCUCCCCAGGGCGGCGGGUACGACACCUCCUGGUCGAACCACACGCAGCCCGUGUAGGCGCCCAGGAUGGCCCUGGCGUGCGGCGGCGGGGGUUAAGGGGGCUUGCAUUAAUGAUUAGCUAAGGAAGUGCGGGGGUUCAUGCAUGACAAGGUAGCUAUGAUGAACAGGGGCGUAGCCAUUCAUGCGAACGGUUUGUAAUAAACAUGGAAGUGUCGACGCCCAGAGGCACAGCGGGAACCCGCGCCGUCCAGGGGAGGGGUUGUAGAUACCAGCCCAAACUAUACCGGGGGAGCUGGAGGGGCAGGCAAGCUGACAAAGGGUGGGCGGUUACGAUGGGCUGCAGGGCGGGAGGCCCUGCCCCCUGCCUCCUGCCCACGACCUGGCUCUGGCCGCCCCUCGGCUCCCCACCGCCGCACCUGAGCGCCUUGCAGCUGUGCUCGCCGCGCAUGAUGACCACCGUGUGCGCGUAGCCCAUGCGCAGCUGCCGCCAGCUCCACUGCGCCGCCUGGUCGAUGCGCGUCUCAGUGGUGAUGAUGAUCUGCGCACGUGGAAUAGGGGGGUUGGUUGGGUGGUGGGGCCGUGGGAGGUGGGUCAGGCACUGGGGUGCGGUGGCUGGUUGGUGGCAGGCGGCGCUAAACCACUUCGCACGAGCCUUGGUGGUCAUCAUUAAGCAAAGCCCCAGUGCAGCACCCCCACUCGCAAUCUAGCAUUGCUCCGCACGUCGUGUGUCCGAAGGACCGCGCUGUGGGAUGGCUGGCCGGCCCUGGUGUUUCGGGCCAAGGUGCGCCUACCUCGCUGUUGUGGCUGCGCGCCUUGAGCAUUGCCCUCACGUCAUCCCACGUGCUGAUGGGCCCCACGAACGGCAGCGUCUUCUGUAGCGAGCAGCUGCCCGUGUCCUUAGCCUGCACGGGCGGCGCCGGGCAACACGUGCGGCGGGGUGCUCCGGAAACCGAGGAUGGUGGGAGGGGCGGUUCGCAGGGAGGUGCACUCCCAGGAGCCCGACCAAGUUCAUGGUGACAAACUUGUCUCAGGGUUUUAUCACUGUACCUUUGGAUUGUUCACAUAGAUAUCUUCACACGUCUUCGGAAGCAGUUCUGAUGCUGCUCCCUUGACACUCGAGGCUUCGCCCGCUUGCAGCAAGUCACGAGAAAUAAAAUCUAGAUGCUCUCGGGAAUAGUCCUCAUACGAUCCUGGAAAAGCGCUGUCCGUCGAGGGCUCGCCGAGCCAUUCGCGCCAGGCGUGCCGAGCGCCUUGGCACGGAGCAGCACACACAAAUGCUAUAAGGGCCACUAAAAGACUGAUUGAGUCUAUGCGCAUCAUUUUAAGGAGGUUGGGUGUUGCAGUUGCGCCUUGCGAGCUCAACCCCGAGCUGCAGUUGGUCUCCGCAUUCUUGAGGGCCUGAAAAGAGUAAAGAUUGCUACAGUUCUGCUAACAAGUGACCUGAGAAGGCAAGUUGAGAACAGGAGUGCCGCGAACCGGCAAGCGGGAUGGGGGCCGCGAAACGGACACACUAACCCCAUGCAGGAUUGGACCUCGGUCGCCCCACCAUCGCGUGCUCUGCUAGCCAACACAGUUCAAACACGCAGCAAUGCCUGGACACAGCACUCCGGCUUCAGCACCAAGCCACCAACCCCAUGCAGGCAUGGCUCUCCACCUUCGCGUGCUCUGUUGGCCAACGCACUUCAAACCCGCAGAAAUGCCUGCACAUGCUCUGGGGGUAAACGCAGUCCUGCUUCAGUUUCCACCCCGGCAGAUGCCCCUUGUAGAUCUAGUCUGCACCCCAAAAUGGAUUCGCGCCCCUGGUCGACCCGCCUCAUACAGCGCACGCUCGCGCACCCUCGGCAGGACCCAGUCCUGCAAGUUUAUCCAGCACAUUGCCUGCUGCAUCUGGACCAAUGCCUUUCCUGACGCUACUACGGUAACCUCCAAGGUACCUGUGGGCCUUUCCCGUUCACACAGUUCACUAGAUCACGUCCAUGGUCCCGCCCAGGCGCUUGCUGCCAAGCCGGUCCACACCGCCGCCUGGCGCCAUCCCCGCCGGCGCCCCUGCCGCCGCCGCUGCAGCAUCGGUCGUAGGCAGUGUGUCCGACACAGCUGCCGCCGCUGCCGCCAGCGCAGCACCCGGCGUCAGCGGCUGCGGCGACGGCUCCCGGCCGCCCCCACCGCCCCCACUGCUGCCGGCGUGCGGAAUGGCCAGCGUCAGCCGCGGCGCCGUCCCCGACGUCGACGACGCCACACGCAUGCUGCCAGCGGGCGUCAGCGUCACGCUUCCGGCACCGCUGCCGCCGCCGCCGCCGCUCCCCGCAGCACCCCGCCCCAUCCCUGCAAAGCCGCUGCGCUGCGGCUGCAGCGAACGCAUGCGCGCCAGGGCCAGGGCCGCGGGCGCCGGCGGCGGCGGCGGCGGCGCGAAGCCCAAUGGGCCGCUGCUGCCGCCGCCGCCGACGCCGCGGAGCUGCCCGCUGCCGCUUGCCUGCGACGUCAAGCCGCCGCUGCCAGAGGCGACGAUUCCAAAGGAGGCCGGGUUGCUGUUGCCGCGGGGCGGCGCCGUCAGCCCAGGUAUGGGCGGCAGCGGCCGCUCACCCAGUAGCUUAAUGCCCAGCGAGCUGACGGCGCUCCCGCUCGGUCCGGCGGCAGCAGCAGCAGCGGCGUUGGAGGCGGCACCAGCUGCUCCAGCAGGCGCUUCGGCCCCGGCGGGGGCUGUCGGCGCCGACGGCGGUGCAGGCGCGCCACGGCUGAGUGCGGGCCCUGGCGCCGCUGACGACGUUGCUGUGGUCGCCGGCUCCAGCUGCUCCACAGGUUGCAUCGCCGCCAGCGCGCCGGCAGGCAGGAUGGGCCGCAGGCAGAAGGCGCAGGUGGCGGCGCCGCAGGUGCUGCACGCGGGGCCGGCAAUGACCAGGCCGGUGGCAGCGGCGGCGGCGCCGCCGCCUGGAGCCGCCGCUGGCGGCUGCGCCGGCGGCGGUGAUGGCGGCAGUGGCACGCCGGCGGCCAGGAAGAUCUUGUUAAUGAAGGAAGUGUGGCCGCCGGAGGACAUCCGGCGGUGGCUGCGGCCGCCAGCGGCGGCGGCAGCGGCGGCUGCGCCGCUGUUGCUCACGCCUGGCAGGUGCGCCUGAGGCUGCGCGCCCAGUGGUUGCGGCAGCGGCAGCGGCAGGUGCGGCUGCUGCGACAGCGUCAGGCCCGUUGCGGAGGCUGCGCCGCGGCGCGCGAGCAGCAGCGGCGGCCGCGGCAAAGCGUCCCAGGCCGUGUCCACGCCUCCGCUGUCGCUGUGUCGCUGCUGCUGCUGCUGCUGCUGCUGCUGCUGCUGCUGCUGCUGCUGCUGCUGGUGUGACGCCAGCGACGUCUUUUCAAGUGAGCGCCGGGGCCCGGCGGCGGCGUCGCCGCCGCUUGCGACCGGCACGCCGCCCGAGUCCGUCACACGGCGCCGCCGUAGCUCGCCGGACACCGCCCUCCCGCCGCCGCCGCCGCCGCCCGCGGCCCUCGGGUCGACCAGGUCCCGCUCCCGCGGCGGCGACGGCGGCGGCGUCAGCGGCCCCGAGCCGCCGCCGUCCGUGCCGCCGCCGGUGCUGUUGGUGUGCCCGCGGCCGCCGCCGACACUGAGGCUGCCUGACAGCAGCCGACUCAAAUCGGACACGUCCCGGAACGCCGCCCCAUCGCCACCGCCACUGUGAACGAUGGUGCUGUUGGCGGCGGCGCUUGCAACGGAAUCGCUUGCGUUGUAGCCGCCUGCGACGCCGAACCCCGGCGGCUCCGACAGGCCCAACUCCUCCGCGAUGUCGCCGCGUUGCUGCGGCCCCCGCCGCGGCAUGGCUGCCGCCUCCGGCGCCGGCGCCGCCGUCGCCGCCGCCUUGGUUGGGGUGGUCCGUGUAAGUGAGCCCGACAGCACCAGCGGCGGUGAGCGCCGCUCCGGCGGCAGAGCCGCCGCACCAGCAGCCGCCGUAGCAGCGGCUGCCGGGGCGGCGGCCAUCGCCGCUGACGCCGUCCUCGUGGGCGCAGACGCACGCCCCGGCAGCAGCACCGGCGGCGUGUUGCCGAAGCCGGGCCGGCCGCUGAGGGAGCUGAGGCGGCCUAGGCGGGCACUGGAGCCCGAGGCCGCCGCCGCCGCCGCCAGUGCCGCCGCCGCCGCGUUGCCGCCGCGCAGGCUGCCACCGGGGCUCCCGCUGACCGUGCCUGCCCUGCCGCCUCCACCUGCCGCCGCCGCCGCCGCCGCCGCCAUGGCUUCCAGGCCGGCGGUCCGGCCGUGGCCGGAGGUGGAGGGGUUGGCGGAGGUGCGUGAGCUGGCGACGCGGUAGAAGGAGUAGGGCACGGAGCCGCUCUCGGACAGGAAGCGGGAGGAGCGGGCGCGGCCGGGCGCACGCAGCUGCAUCAUGGCCUGUGGGGGUGGUGCGUGGUCGGUGUGGUGUGGGAUGGGGUGGGGGCUGCAGCGGGAGACCAGGGAGUCCGGAGGCGGCCUGAUCAUGCGGGUGCGGGUGCUGGUGCUGGUGCUGGUGCUGGUGCGGGUGCGGGUGCGGGUGCGGGUGCGUGCAGCCCCAACACCCGGAAGCGGAUCAGCCAGCUGCGGGCACACCACACGCAAGUCUUGGCACACCCACAAAUGCACGCGCGCGCACACACACACACACACACACACACACACACACAUCCACGCACACACGUACCUGCUCUCCGGGCGUGAGCGUGCGCGGGAUAGCCGCCUCCAGAGGCUCAGCCGCCCCGCCCGCCUCAGCCCCGGCCCCAGCCACCCCCACCGGCGCCAGCCCCGCCGCCGACCAGCGCCCCGACGCCGCGCGGCUCAGCGGCGGCGCCGGCUGUAGCAGCUCGCCGGAGCCGGACGGCUGUAGCUGCGGCUGCUGCUGCAGCUGCUGCAGCCCUGUUGCUGACGACGAGCGCGGGAAGGCCGACCCGUCCGUAGGCAGCUCGCUGUGCCGCUCAAUCACAGGCGGCAGCAGCGGCCGCAGCGGCGCGCCCGCAACCCCGCGCACCGACAUCUGGUGCGCCAGCCGCCGCGCCGCCGGCAGCGACGGAGACGUACGGCCGAUAACCGCCGCCGCCGACGCGGCGCUAACCGCCGCCGCCGACGCGGCUGCGGCCGCCGACCGUGGCAUGGGCUCCGCCAGCUCCCCGCCCUCCGCCGCCACCGCCACCCACGCCCCCGCGCCGCCGCCGCCGCCGCCGUCCGCCGUCACGCUCACGGCGCCGCCGUCACCGUCAACGCUGCCGUACCCGGAUCCACCGUACGCCAGCGCACUGUAGUGCGAUCCGCCGUACUGCGAGAAGAUCGCCCCGGCGGCGUCACCGACGGCGGCGGCGGCGGCGGUUGGUACGGCACCGGAGGUGGGCGGGCUGAGUACGGACAUGGGCGUGGCUGCGGGCGUGGGCAUGUCGCCUACGGAGGGGGUGCGGCGGUGCGGCGCGUGCGAGGCGUGCGGCGGCGCGGCCAGGCCGGGCAGCAGGCGGGAGGUGCGGUCCAUGGCGCGUGUGGCUCGGGCCACAUCCAGGCUGAAGCGCUGGGAGGUGCGGUCCUCGGGCUGCGGGCGGAGGAGGAAAGGGGGGGUUCACAUUCAUGAUUAGUUAAGUGGUAGACGGUAGACAAUCUUGGGGAGGGGGGUUGUAGAUACCAGCCCAAAUUAAACCGAAUCAAAUGCAGGGGGCGAGAGGGGCCCCGGGAGGUGGUUGGAAGGGGGUCGUAGGUGCGGGGAGGCGAGGGGUCGGGAGGUCAGGCGGCGGCGGCGGCAGCGGCGACGGCACGCAACAGGCAGGGGUUGGGUUGUGGUGGCCACGCACAGGGGGGGUCACACGUGGCGGGUCAGGCUGGCCGGCAAGGCACGCAGACAACGGCACGCAGACAGCGAGCCGCUCGGCCUGCCUCUGCCCCUGCCUCACCUCGGGCUGGUCCGGCCCCGCCGCCAGCUCGCGGCUGACAGAGGCGUCCAGCCAGGCGCCCAGCAGCCGAACCAGGCUGCCGUCCUCCACAGCGGCCUGGGGGAGGGGAGGUGGGGGGAGGCGGGGAGGGGGAGGGGAGGGGAGAGAGGGGGUGUGCGGGGAGGGAUGUGCAGGUAUGGGGUGCCACACACGGGUGCCACAGGUGAGCCGGACAUUGCCGCCUGUCAGCCUGACUGUCGGCUGGCCGGCCUGCCUGGCGAGCUGCGCCAUGCCGCAUGAUUACUGGUAAUGAUUGGGUAAAAACACAGACAUCGCCAGCAGACCGCCGACAUUUUUCUGUCCCCCCUCCACGCAGCUCUCCCCCUCCGCCACCUUCCCCCGGCCCCCCUUCCCCCGGCGCCGCCCUCCCCCUGCCCCCCCCCUCCCCCCCCCCCGGCCGCCGCCGCACCAGCUGCAGCGCCAGGUAGCAGUCGUGUAUGCGCUCCCGCAGCGGCCCCAUCAGGAAGGAGCGCUUCAGCAGCUGCACCACCUCGCACCAGCCCAGAUCGUCCUGGCGGCCCAGGGCGUGUCCCAGGGUGGUGGUGGGGGUACAUUCAUGAUUAUUUAAGAAGUGAAGGCGUAGCCAGGUACAGUAGUAUAGUGGGGUUACAUUCAUGAUUAAUUAAGAAGUGAGUGGGGUGGGGGAUAGCCGUGCAUGGAGUGGAUCAUAUUACAGUCAGUCAGGGAGGAGGAGUGGAACACGCGCGGAAGGGGGGCGGCAGCAGCAGGCGCUGCAGGCGCAAGGCAAGCAGCAGGCGAGGAGCAAGACGAAGAGAAGCACAAGGAACCCAUGGCAACAACAGACGGACAGACGCACAGGGUAGGUGGGUCCUGCCCACCGCGCCGCCGCGCCGCCCACACCGUCCGCCCGUCUAACUGCUCAUGCCCGCCCCCCCCCCCCGCCGCCGCGCACCUCCUCCUCCUCCGCGCUGCCCGCCAGCCAGCCCAGCAGCCUCGUGCGCACGUGCGCCAGCGCCAGGCGGCUGGUGGCGGGGUACAGGCGCUGCACGGCGCGCAGGGCGGGGCCGCGCAGCUGCCACAGCCGGCAGGGGCGCUCCGUGCGCAGGCUCCAUAUGCGCGUGCUGCAGGGGGGGGCAACCACGAAUAGCGCGAGUUACGAAAGCACAAGGAAGGAAACGGGCAGGACAGUGUAGGCGGUGCGCAGAAACGCCCUCUGUCUUGCAAUCUUGCAUGGACGUCUACCACCCCCCCCCUCCGACGUCGGCGUGGUGAUACUCGUGAUUUAAUCACUCCGUUCUCCACAUGAACGGCUACCCCGCGGGCCUCUCCCCCCCCAUUUAUAUGUUCCUGGCUACGCCUUCCCGUAUUUAAUAAUCAUGAAUGUAGCCCCCCAUUUCACGCCCCCAAUUUCCUGCCCCUCACCUGCAGGCCGGCACCAGCUCUGCCAGCAGCGCCGCGUCCCCCAGCAGGCACGGCGCCAGCAGCCCGGUGGGGCCGGCGGGCGCCUCGGCGCGCUCCUGCGCACGUGGGAGGAGGAGGAAGGCGCGUGCAUGUGUGUGUUUGCACGCGCAAGUGUGCAUGUGUGUGUGUGUGUGUGUGUGUGUGUGUGUGUGUGUGUGUGUGUGUGUGUGUGUGUGUGUGUCUCCCCCCCCCCCGCCGCCUCACCAGCACGUCCCGCUGUGUGCCCUCGGGCACGUGGCCCUCGCCCAGCCACUGCCGGAUGUGACUCAGCCGCUUGCGCGCGUCAAACACGCGCUGCGCCUCCGCCUGCAGAGGCAGGGGGGGAGGCAGGGGCAGCGGCAGCACAUGUACGGGCGCAGCAGUGCGGUACCAGGUGUCACGCGAGGGCGCUGCUGAUGUCAUCCGCCCGUGUUGCCGCUUCGCCUGACAGCCCCGCCACCGGCGCGCCGCCUGCUGCGUGCCCACAUACACGCGCGCGCACAUACACACGCAGACCCCCUACAACUUUACCUACACACACGCCCCCCACCUUGCUCCGCAUCUGAGUGCCCUGCCCCCCGCCCCCCCGCCCGCCCCCGGCCCCCCGCCCGGCUGCUGCGCACCUGCGACCUCUUGAUGGUGUUGCCGAUGAGCGCCACCACCGCCCCGAACACCAGCACGCCGUUGAGCAUCACCACGUUGGUCAGGACCUGAAGGGAGGCGGUAGCCGCUCAUGAUUAGCCAAGUACAUGGUAGACGGUAGGCAAUGGUAGACGACAUUCGUGAUUAACAAGUAAAUGGUAGACGAUGUGUAUCAAAAAUGGAAGUGCCGAGGGGGGCGGGCGGGCGGGCAGGGGGUGGUGUUGGGGCGUGGGAGGGGCUUGGCAGGAAGGCGAGGUUUGGCACGGAGGGGUAGGGUUUGGCGGGUAAAAUGGAACCACGGGAACAGUAGGGGGUCCAGGCAUAUCGAGCUAGACAAUGGCAAUGACGCAUAGGCGCUAGGGAAGGCGCUGGCUCACCUGGCUGCAUUAAUUACGCUAGCUCGUUUGUUCGUUUGUUGUAUGUAGGCAGGUGCACACAAUACGCACGCACGCACGCACGCACGCACGCACGCACGCACGCACGCACGCACGCACGCACGCACGCACGCACACACCUGCUCGAUGGGGCUCUUGGGCACAAAGUCGGCAUACCCAGUGGUAGUCAUCUGCGGUGUGUGUGUGUGGAGGGGGUUGCAUGCAUGAUUAAUUAGGAAGAAGUUGUAGCCAGGCACAUUGUAGCCAGCAGGCGCGUCGUCGCCCGGAGGGGUUGGAGGGGGGAGGGGGGUGGGGUGGGGCGGGCAUGACAGCGGGUGGGUUGGGGCAAGGUGCUGGUGUGGCUGCGUGGGUGCGUCCUUGGCGCGACCUCCCUCACGCCCUCACGCCCUCUGAGGUUGCCUCACCGCUCACACGACUACGCGCCCGUAGCCCUCCCCCAACAAACCCGUCUCCUACUUACCGUAGUCCUGACUGCAAACCUCACCCACCCACACCCACACACCCACACCCACACACCCACACCCACACACCCCACCCACACCCACCCACCCACACACCCCCACCCACAAUGGUGACCACGAAGUACACGGCGCUCCACCACUGCCGCGCGCCGCUGCUGGCUGCCACCGACAUCCAGGCAAUGCUGUCCAUCCAGGAGGCGCGGCCCGCCGCCGACUCGUAGUGGCUGAUGAGCAGCAGGAUGCAGGAGUACAGGUUCACGAACAGCGCGCACUGCGGCAGGGUGGGGUGGGGGAGAAGGGGGAGAGGCAGGGGGAGGAGGAGGGGGAGGAGGGGGAGGAGGAAGGAGGGUUUUGCAAAGGAGGGCGCGGUUUGUAAAAUUUCCAGGAAAGGAAACAGCAAAUGCUAGGGGGGUGGCGAGGACAGCAGAGGAGGCUGGGGCUUGCGGCGGGAACCCAGAGCUCGCCGCCCGCCACUCGCCGCGCGGCUGAGGCUGAGGCAGAGGCAGAGGUUGAGGCAGUUCAAGGCGGGCAGGUCCAUCAGGCCGCCCCCUCCAUCUCACACCCCCCCCCCCCCACACACACACACACACACAUCCAGCUCUCCCCCCUGCCUCACCACGUAGCACAGCAGCACCAUGUAGACGGAGGUGAUGGACACGUUGUCGGCCAGCCAGCUGGGCUGCAGCUCCGAGCCCACAGAGUGCGUGUAGAACGUCUGUGUGCGGGUGUGGGAGUGUGUGCGGUGUGUGUGUGGGGGGGGGGGUUACAUUCAUGAUUUUUUAAGAAGUGAAGGCGUAGCCGACGCGUGGGGGGGAUGCGGGUGGCGGGUGGGCGGCAUUGUGGGGUUGAAAUUGGGAUCUGGGUAUGGAGUUUUGGAUCGAUACAGGAGAGAGAUGGCGAGGAGUGGAUCAAGCGCUGAGGGCACAUCAGGGAUGCGUGCGACUCCCCUGAGGUUCUGGAAUGAACUACCCCCUCUCCCUCUCCCUCUCCCUCUCCCUCUCCCUCUCCCUCUCCCUCUCCCUCUCCCUCUCCCUCUCCCUCUCCCUCUCCCUCUCCCUCUCCCUCUCCCUCUCCCUCUCCCUGCCCCCCUCUCCCUCUCUCCCUCUCCUCCCUGUCCCCCCCCCCCCUCACCGAUAUGAUGCUGGCCACUCGGAACAGGCGCACCAGGCGCAUGAGUGAGAUGAUGGACACGGUCUGGUUGCUGGACACGGAGUCGUCCAUGCGGAUCAGGACCAGCUGCAAAGCACGGCAGGCGGGCAGGCGGGCGGAAGGCGGGGGAGGGCGGGGGAGGGGCAGAAGGCGGGGAAGGGCGGGCGGGUGGGGCGGUUACAAAGCUGAGAGGUGGCGCCGUCAGGUGGGGCGUUUGAAAGGCUGAGAGGUGGAGCGGUGGCGCGGGGUGAUGGGGCAGUGGAGUUGCAGUGAGGGCAAGGGGCAGGCAGAAUUCCUUUGCGCCCCUGCCCCCUUCCCUAAUCCCUCUCCUAGCCCCCUGCCCCUCCCUGCCCCCUGCCCCCCCCCACCAGGUAUAUGAAGGGCGCUAUGGCCAGCAGGUCCACCCAGAAGGUCCAGGUGCGCACGUACAGCGCCGCCGUGUCGCGGCCGUCCGUCACCACGCGGCUGCGGUAGCCGGCGGCCAGCGUCAGGCCCACCUGCAGGGGAGGGGGGUGCGGGGGUGGGUGCGGGGGAGGGGUGCAGGGGAGGGGUGCAAGGGUGCAGGGGGUGCAGGGGGUGCGGGGCGGAGAGGGCGGGCGAAAGACGUGGGCCGUGUGGGCGGCGUGUGCCUUUGUGCGCACGACACGUCAGAAGACAGUUGCCAACAUCCCAACAGCACACAGACCCACGCGUGAAGGCACGCAACACGCACAUGCACACACACAACGCACACACACAGACGCACACACACCUGGAAGCCCAGCAGCAGGUUGAGAAUGUAGAUGACGCCUGGCACACAGGAGGGCAUGAGCGAGGUUGUGAGCUGGUGAGGCGGCGUCCGCACAUCCGCUCCCGCCCGACAAGCGCUCCCACAUUGCAUGCCCCAUUCAUCUCACACCAUCCCAUGACCAAGACCCUGCGGCUGUCCGUCAACGACGAUGGGAUCUGGUCUCGGUGCACUGGGGACUUCUUUCGAUUAGCCCCGCCCCCUGCUGCCCCGCCUCCCGCCUCACCUCCCGCCAGGUCCACCUGCGUGCAGCUGGCGUCCAGGUCGCCGUACUGCGCCAGGCAGAAGGCGGUGUUGACGGGCACCCAGAACGCCGUGUACACCAGGUCAAAGCACAGCAUGGCGCCCGCCCAGCCCAGAGCCGCGCCGCAGUGCGGGUGCAGCAUGGGCAGCAGGAACACGGAGCGCCUGGGGGGGAAGGAGGGGGGGGGGAAGGGGAGGCAGAGGAGGGCAAAGGACUGAAAGGAGGCAAAGCCGGAAGUGGGUACUGUGUUGGAACAGCACCGGAAUGUCGCAAACCGUGUGCCGUUUCGCCCCUCUUCCAGAACGGCUUCAUGCCCGUGUGCAUCUAGCAAGCCCUAUCUUCCGAACCGACUCUUGUUCGGAGUUCUCAAGGAAUGCAGCAGAACAAGUCGGCCCCCUGCUCCUCCACCCGUGCCCUCCUCUGCUGCUGCUGCCGCCCGCCGCCCGCUGGCCGUGCUCACCGCGGCGCCGCGCGCCCCUCCGCCUCCCGGUCCAGCAGCUCCUGGCCGUACGCCUCGUAGGCGGGCAGGUCCACGGGCAGCUGCCGCGACACCAGGCUGUACAGCACGCCUGUCAGGGGGGGAGGGGGAGGGGGAGCGAGUGUCGGCGCAUGUGUGCGUGGGGUACGCACCGCAACCGUGGAUGGCUACCCCCCUCUUCUGGCUUGACAAUGCCUUUCUUGACAUGGGAAUGGUGAAACUCACCGUGCCCUGACAGUGAUUUGGCGGGUGCGUCAAACGCCCAGCGCCUCGCCGACUUGAGCCCCGUCCAGGCGGUAGCGGCCCAGUGCCGAGCCACGUCGGCAGCGCUGGGUGGCACGUACAUGCUCGCCUCGCCGUCGGGCGCGGCCGCGGCUGCCACCACAGGCCGCGGCGGUAUGCAGGCCUCCUUGAGCCGCGCCCACAGCCCCCGCGGCUGGUGCUGCCGAGCGAAAGCCACUUGCAGGGGAUUCAGGUGCUUGGCAGGGUGGGCUGCAAAAGCUCCCCCCUUGACGCCCGCGGCCACGCCGCCACCGGUCCCGGCAUAUGAGCCGGUGUCUGUGUCGAAGGAUGUGCUGUCGCCGAUGUUCGCGGCGACGCUGGCCGCAGCAGGGCCGUGCUGACCAUCGGAGGGGGGCCCGGCUCCGGCAGCGUGGCUGGUGCCAGCGUCGGCCGCAUACUGCGGGAAGCUGCGGAGAUCCUCGAGCUGCACGCCAACGCUUGGAAUGACAGGCAGCGGCAUUCUUCUCCACUCAAGCUGAGGCUCCGGCGCCUGUCACGCCAAAGCGACGGUCACGCCCUCGCGAGCGGGCAGGCACACGGUCGCCCGAAUGCUGCACGUUGAAUUUCAAGAUGCCUACACAGCAGCAUUGCUAGCUGCGAGCUACGGUGUUGGACACCAUUCGGACAUUCUCCAUGAAUCGCUUCAGGGGCUCCCCUUGUAGCUCUGCGCACAAUAUAUUGCUAUUAUUGUAUACUGUAUGCGUUAUAGUUUCCUGCACACACGGCGCCUCCAUAUGCAUCCAAUCGAGUCAAUGGACUUUACGAAUGCUUCUUUUAGUCUUGCGCGACACAGUGACAUUAUGAGUGUCGAUUUACACUUUUUCAGGAAUAAUUAGCUGUCAGGAGGCGACGGCCCAGCAUCGCGCGGCUAGAACCCUGGUCCGGUCGCCGCUCAAAUGCCCCUCACGCUGGCACGGCCACCCGUCCGGCCCCAGUGCCACCCAGCCACAGCAGCUCGCCCACAGGCCGACCGUUGCUCAUGUACUAGCUCUGUGGCUGUGUCUUAGUUGCAUAUCGACUGUGCUGCACCCCGGCCCGGCCAGGACCUGUGGCACGUGCCAGGACCGGCUGCACCAGGGUGCACCUGGCCAGCAACGCCAGUGCGAGGGCUCGGUAAUUGCUAGCAAGGAACCCGAGUACGCUGCCGCACCAAACGGCAUCGGUCGCUAUGUGAUAGAUGAGUCCGCCGCAGCUCACGUUUCGGCUAUUGGACGCCAUUUCGGCAGAGCAUAGCAAGGUGGAGUACCUUGGGUAGCUGGUCAACGGGACUGGGCAUUGUAUGCAUGUCAGUACGGCUAGGGUUCAACCCAGUGUUGAUGUAGCAGGACCGCUGUUACCAGGACAAGCCAGACCCUGUUUGGGAGUUGGGAGUUUCCCGGCUUCCCGUAGGCUUUCCCGUAGGAGUUGUGAAAGGUUUCCACGCCACAGCAGUGCUGCGCUCUGCGGCUGUGCACUGCGCAGUGCGCCCCGAAUGCCACCGUGUGGCCCAUUGCCAACACGGCCCGUCCCUGGGCAUAGGGGCUGCACAGACUGUGAGCUUCGUAGUAUUGCAGGCCCAGGCACUCUGUCGAUUGCUGCCGUACGGCAGCGCAGGACGCCAGGACGGAAACACAGCAAACACUCCUGGGAAAUCGGAGGACUUGCGCCGGGCGCUCAGCCUUCGCCUGUCACUAGUCAGCCAUGCCAGUCGGGGACACUGGUCGUCCCUAGACACUUGCCAGGGUGGAUCGGUGCGGACUGCGCGAAAACCCUCUCUAAACUCCAUCCGAGCAGAGUAGUAAAUUGCUGCACUCAAGACGCACAUCAAAUUCAACAGUAAACGUCACAACGCUGCUGACGGAGACUUACACAACAGGCACACCUUGCCAACACUCGCAGAAUGCUUUGCAUCUUCUUUAAAACUGCGGUGCAAUAGAGCAGAUGUUCUGCGGGACAAAUGUACCUAUAAUAGCGUGACUGCGAGGAAAGGUGUAUACCAAUUACCAGCCAGGAUCGCGCCAAGCGCGCUUCUGUCACGCGAUUUAGAAUCCAUGGGGACCAGUCGCAACGCAAGGGGGUCCCUUGGUUUUCGUGGUGGUGUUGCAUGUUUCUUGAUCGUCGCAUCGUGUCUUGCGUCGCUAAGCGCGGUCCAGGGUGCGGCACAGAGCCCUUUCAAAGAGGAGAUAAAGACCUGCCAUCCGGACUGCACAAAGUGAGACCUCCGCCGAAGCGGGUGUCCCCAGUGAAGGCCGUCAGUUAGGACUCACCACGCGGCUGCUGACCUAAAUCCGUGCUCGCCCUGCAGGUUUGGGAACUGCAACGGCGAGACGGGACAGUGUGACUGCCCGUUCGGGCUCACAGGUGAGCGUGGCGGGGUUUUGUGGGGCUGGCUGCUGCGAAAGCAUUUUCUGCAGAACCGGGGAACUACUGCUGACCGGGGUGCGGCUUCCCCAACCCGCCGCCCCAGGCCCGUCCUGCCAGGAGCGGCUGUUCCCGGCCUGCCACUCCAGCAAAGACGAGGGCACAGUGCCGCACUACGGCACCUGGUACCCCAAGAAUUGCGAGUGCAUCAAGUGCGUGGCGGGCCGGGGCUGGGGUAACGGGCAGGGCCACGCGGAGUCGCCUGCAACAGUUGUGUGCAGGCCGUGGCCAGCUCCGUGCAGCACGCUCUCUUCAGUCCAUGCAGCUCAACCCCCUUCCGCACGUGCUCGCGCUGUACAUGACGCAGGCAGCUGCGUGACUGGCCGGGGUCCUGCCCCGACUACCUACACUAUGAGGGCAACAGCGCCGCGUUCUUGUCGCCCUGCUUCUACGACUCAGUCACACACCACAACGUGAGUGCAAAGCAGCUAGCCCGCACCACCACGUGAACGCGUGCUUGGCUGCGCAUAAGAUGCCGGUUCUGCUUCGGUCCCUCUCAUCCGCCGCAUCGCAAACACCGCACAUGGUUUGAGGAGGGGCACGAGAACCCCAGCACAGCAAAUGCGGAUGCCUGUUGUGCCUUCUGGUUGUUCCCUCCCUGUCGCUCUGCAGCUGCUGUGCUUCAGCUACAAGGGCCGGGACCCGGCGGAGCAGCUGUCCGACUCGCCGCCGCUUGACGACCCCAACGUGGAGUGGUUCCACAUCACGGGCUACCCGCGCGUGCUCAUGACGCCGGUGCCGCCCGCGCAGUGGCCCAAGGUAGUUGCGGUAUGCGAUAGCCCGCGCGGGCAGGGCAUGCUGCGGUGCGACACACCAGCAUGACUUGGAUCCGGCGGGCGGGGCUUGCAGAGACGCUGCGGUGACGCUGCCACCGGUGCGGUGCGUGCGCCGGCGCCACGUGACGUGCCGACCGCAUUCACGGCCUCGCCCGCUGCUGGCCCGCGACCGUGCGUGCAGGAGUACAAGACCCCCGACGGCGGCCAGUGGCGGCCGCUGAGCGAGUGCCCGGACCGCUGCAACAACCGCGGCUGGUGCCAGAUCCAGGGAAGCAACUACCAGGUGGGAUGGGGUGGGGCGGGUGGAGGGCUAAUGCACAAUGUUCGCCCACAGAACCUUUCGGUUCGCUGCGCGUAACAGUUGGCUGACGUGUCUGUGUGCGCCCUCAAACCGCUGUGUCUGCAUAGGGCUUUCACGAGGACCCCAAGGAGCGCUGGUGCAACUGCCACGGCUACUACGAGGGCAAGUCCUGCGAGAUAGCCGACCCCGGCCACUGCUACCGCAACUGCAGGUAGGGCCGGGGCCCGCUGGCUGCGGAGCAGUUAGGCUCAUACCAUAAAAGAGCAUGUAUGCUACCCUCCUGAAAGCCACAAAGAUAGCGGUUGACCACGUGCGCGGCUGCUGCAAUACUUAACAUUAAACACGUGCUCUUUCCACCGCCCUCCCAUCCUGCCUCGCAGCGGCGUGGGCGAGUGCGUGGGCGGCUGGUGUCACUGCAAGCCGGGGUACUGGGGCCACGGCUGCACGCGUACCAAGGCGUACAGCAGCAGCGUGGGUGAGAGCUGGGGGGGAGGGGGGGGUGGCGGGGGGCGGGCGGCUCAUGGGGUACAGGAACGUGCCUGAGGCGGCCGUCUCCCGGGCCCUCGCCCGGGCCGACUGACCCCACAUCACCACGUACCACCGCUCCACGCAACUCAGCCCCGCCACGCCUCGCUUCCACCCGUCCUACUCGUAUGGGGCAUGGGGACGUGCCUCCGGCGGCGGGGUAAUGGGGACGGCUCAUGGAAUAUGGGGACGGCUCAUGGGGUAUGGGGACGUGCCUCGUGGACGUGCCUCCCGGACCAACUGACCCACAUCACCGCCAUUCACCUACCGCCAACUUCACGCUCCUCCCGCCCCUGUCAGGCUGGCGGCCCAACCACGCCGAAAUCAAGGUGUAUGUGUACGACCUGCCCAACAAUGUGGUGCACCGCCGAGAGUUCAACGACCAAUGGUGCGUAGUCGAGCACAGGAGCACGACUGCACGACGGGACGUGAGGCCGCGGCGAGCGUCUGCCUGUUGACGGCAGGUUGGAUCAAUAAUAACGCAUGCGUAACUUACAUGUCGCUCGCGCACAGGGCCCUGAUCGACCUGAUGUACAACUCGGAGCUGGAGUUCACUGACAAGCUGUUGGGCGACUGGGGGGUGCGCACCGAAAACCCUUGGGAAGGUGGGUGAUGGACAGCUAGGCACGGUAGCUGCCAGCUCUCGUGUCGCUGGGUGCUCGUGCGCGCAGCUGUGACAUGUCUUUUUCGCUGCGUCCUUGCACAUUGCCCUCCUCAUCGCCCAUGCUCCCUCAACUUCCCGCAGCUGCGCUGUUCUACGUGCCCACCUUCACCUACUGGUUCACUGGUAAGAGCGGCUAAAAUGAGGGAGGGAGGCGGCAGGGUGGGAGGAGGGCGCAACACAGGACUUGCGCUCUACGGGAGGGGCGGACGAGAAGGGAGGGAUGGGGGGAUGGCGCACAGGCGCUACAUCAAUCGUGCCUGUGCCUCACUGCUGAUGUUUGGCAGAAACCCACGGGCACCUUCACAGGUAACGUGGGCCACCCCUACUACGUCAUCCAGCAUGCCACCAAGUGGCUCCAAGAGAACUCGCCCUUCUUCAACCUCACCGGCGGCCGCAACCACAUCUUCUGGUGCGCCGGAAACACGGGUCGCGUUGGCGUGCUUGGUUCUGUAGCGCUGCACAAGGCCGCGUUCCGCAGCGGAAUCCCGGGACAAUGUACCUCACGGCUUGACGCGGCCUUGCUCCCUCCCCCUCAGGGCCACCAACGACCGCGGUGUGUGCAAGCUGCAGCUGGCGCCGCCGGAGAUGCAGCACUCCAUUAAGGUGUGUGCUUGGCUGCUCAUCGAGCGCGGCAGUGUUGAGAUUGAUAUCGUGCAAGGGCAACCAGGGCUGACAGGAGCAGACGGCAUGGCUGGGUGGUCAUGGUGCACCCACAACGUAUUUCUCGUGAGAGUGUUUAUGACAACCCUCCCCAAACCACCAUUCGACACGCUCGCACACACGCAGCUGGUGCACUUCGGCCAGUCGCCGCGGCGGCCGUACGCGCACCGGCUCAAGGGGCAGAUGGACGCCACCGCGCACCUGGGGGUGAGGCGCCGUGGGGGCCCCGUGACACGGUGUGUGGCAGGAAGCACAAGGGGAAGGGUGGACGCCGCGCAUGCAAAUGCGCAAGCAAAGCGUAUGUACGCACACCACGCAUGCGUAUGUACGUGUCACCAGCGCUCCAUGAGUCUGCCAGGCUCGUCACCACACACCAGCGCGUUGGCUUGGGCCUUGUGACCUGGCGCUUGUGUGUGUGUGUGUGUGUGUGUGUGUGUGUGUGUGUGUGUGUGUGUGUGUGUGUGUGUGUGUGUGUGUGUGUGUGUGUUUGUUAAAAAACGAAACGAAAGCCCGCCCAAUGACGCGUCGGAGUUACUUACCGAUACCCACCCUUUUACCGAGCGUCGCGUGACUGUCGUCACCCAGGUAGUCAUACUUACCCGCGAUAAGCCUGGAACCCCACGGGCGACCAUUCGGCCUGACCCCGCGAUGCACCUGGAUGCGUCCAUGCUCCGCACCCUGGGCGCGCUAAACAACGUUUACCCAGCACGCCUAAUUCCCAGAUUCCCGCCCGCUGGUCGUAGUCGAGCUCACCUUUAGGCAAAAGUGGAAGCAUGGGCAUAGGGCGGCAGCGAGGAAGUGUCACGGGCAUGUGAAUGGCAACGGCGACAAGAGAGGCGGCGUGCAGCAGACAAGCUAGGUAUCACGCGUCCCAAAUCCCGCCCACUAAGUACAUUAAUACUAUGGGAAGAGGGCGAGUUAGCGGUGGCACUGCGACUAAACGGGGUCAAGGCUGCAUGGGGGACGUGGCGGGCGGCGGUUGCAGCGCGUGUGUGUGUGUGUGUAUAUGUGUGUGUAUGUCCGGGCACCAGCGCUGCCAGCCCUCGCCGAGCCGUCGUGCCUGGGCGUCCAUGGCACCCCCUAUGUCCCCUUACCGUGGCUGCGCAGCGCACGCCUGCUGCUGCCGUUCUGCUGCCCCCUCACACGACCUCACACGCCCUCGGGCCUCGGGCUGCGCUGCACCUGUGUGCCCACCCGCUCACCCCGCAGGGUCUGCUGGGCGCGCUGCCGCAGCCGGGCAGCCGCUUCCCCGACUUCCCCGAGUUCAACGCGGGCGACAUCCUGGAGGAGAGCGAGAUCUGCUACAGGUAGGUGCGGGCGGCAGCAGCAGCAGCAGCAGGGGGGCACAUGUGUGUUGCGCACUCGCCAGCGCACAGGGGCUUGAAGGAAGAGGAGGGGAAGGGGUGCGCACUCGCGCAUGAGCCUGCUGUCGGCAUGGGGAGAGAGUGCAGGCCAGGGUGGCCCGGAACGCAGAGUGGGGGGACUGACACCCAGAGCGGCCAUCCCAUUCCCAGGCAGCCCCAGGCCCUGUCCGCAAGAGCACGAACGGCGGCAAGGGAACGCCGCCUGUCAGGCCCAGACGCUCCUUCGCCAGCAGCCCUGCACACACCAUCUCUCUUCCACCGCUGAACCGCUCUCCUUCCCCUUCUGCACCUCAGGCCGGAGAAGGACGUGGUGGCGCCCAACUACCUGCACAACGACUGGGUCAAGCCCGACAGCUACAACAAGGUGUGUGUUGCAUUGUGUGUGUGUGUGUGUGUGUGUGUGUGUGUGUGUGUGCACGCAGCCUUCAAGAGCUGCACGGGCGCAGGGGAAGCGGCACGGGAAUCACGACAAGGGGCGGGGCAGGACAUGCUCAUUGACAAGUCGACACGGGCCACAACUGCGGCCACAGCCGCGGCCGCUCGAGUCUUGACACGUGUCCGGGGCGUUGUCCUGAUGUCCACGAAGGGGCGCCUCACCCUGACGUGAGCGGAGCCGCCAGUGCCCUGAGUCGCCGCCCUGUCCCGCUGCUGCACAUACACACAGGUGUGGGUCACCACCACAGAGGCGGACGGCACCCGCGUCGUGAAGCGGAAGCCCGACGCGCCCGCGCGCACCACCACGCUCUACUUUGGCGGCUACACCAAGUAGGUAGCGGGACAUUGCUGUUGCUCGGCUUCUCCUCGCCAUGCGGUGCUAGCCACAUGCGUCGUGUGUAGAGGCGUGCGCCUGCUGCCGGCACCGCCCUGCCAACGUACGGUAUGUUGCGCACCCUUGCCGCGGCGGCCCCACUGUGCAGGCCCAUUAUGGCGUACAGCCAGGGUGUGCGCCAGACCAUCCACAAGAUGUUUGGUCCGGGCGGGAAGUACGACCCAGAAGUGAGUGCUUCCGAAUUUCCAGAGGGCUGAAGGGGGCUUAGGUGCGGAGCGGUCGGCACUCGGCAGGCACUGUGGGAGUAAGGCUCGGCUGCGUGACUUGUGACGCUGCCCUAGCCGUGUGUCCUUGUGCGACGCAUCCGUUGUAGCACGCGAUGUACUAUCUAUACUGUCACACCUACCUCUGGAUCCCGCUCACGCACCCGGCGGCCUGUGUGCGCCUGCAGGGACCCAACGCGCGUAAAGACUUCGUCAUCGGCGGGCCUGCAGGUGCGGCGGGACGCGGCGGGGUGCGGUGGGAUGGGAGCGGAGCAGCGUCAGUGACGGAACCCAUAAGAAUUAAGAACCCGUGUCGGGGGCUUCACAUUGGCACCACACGAGUGCUAACGUCCGCUCGCUGCUCGUCUCUUCACCCUGCACACUUGCACACCAUCACGCCGGGGACCACCAGGCGGCGCCGCUGUGGACAGCAUGAAGCUGGCCAAGUUCUGCCUGGCACCCAUGGGCGCGGGCUGGGGCAUUCGCCUGGCGGAGGCGAUGGUCAGCGGCUGCGUGCCCGUGAUCAUCCAGGACCACAUCUACCAGGCGCACUGGGACAUCCUGCCCUUUGAGGAGUUCUCCAUCCGCAUCGGCCGCAACGAGCUGCACCAGCUGGUGGACAUCCUGGACGACGUCAGCCCGCAGCAGCUGGACAGCCUGCAGGCCGGCAUCGAGCGCUACCACCGGGCCUUCUUCUGGGACGCGCACUGGGGCGGCCUCGCCUACAACUACACCGUGCAGGCGCUCAAGCGCCGGGCCGUCAGCCUGUGGAGCGCAAACUACAGGCGGCACCGGAGGAGGCUGCAGCACGAGCGGGAAGCGCUGGAGCAGGACUGAGCCGGCGAUGGGUGUUGGCGUUAGUGAUGCACAGCAGAAGUGAUAGCUUAGCUUUGUGUGUGGUGGCCAAACAGGUGCCUGCACGAUGGCUGCUGACAGGUGCAUUCUUCCGUUAGGCAUGCUGGCAGGAGUGGACGUGUUUGCAAACCUCACGCGCUGCGUGUGAGAACAAACAAGAUAACGGUACUGUGACACUGCGCAAUUGGGGAUUGUGCUUAAUGAAUGAGGUGAAGCGGAGUAAACUGUGGCAGGUCGUAAAUACGAGUGCUGAGGGACCCAGCCGCGUGAGCGCGACGGAACAGAGCACGCGUGGCCAAGCUUCGAGGAAAGGUUCAACGCAUGGGGGGCACCAUGCGGAUACUGAGGCUGGAUGCGAUGGGGCAGGGUAAGGGCAGGUUGGCGUAGUCGCGUAGUGUGCAGCGUAUUGCCAGACCCCAACAUUUGACAAUCACGUCGCGACGUCAAUGCAUGAGCACACGGCUGGGGGGAAUGCCGGAAUAGUUGUACGGAUGCGUUGCGGUGGUUGCUGGCGUCCUCGCAGGCUGGUACUUUGCUGACGGAGCAUUCCUCAUGCAGUCAUGCUCCGGGCGCCCGGCCAGGCGAUACUGCGUAACUGCGAUAGCACCCAACACACACACACACACACACACACACACACACACACACACACACACACACACACACACACACACACACACACACACACACACACACACACACACACACACACACACACACACACACACACACACACACACACACACACACAUACCGCAACGCCACACGCGUGAAGCAGACGCGCAGCGCACCUGCAGGUACCCGCAUAUGGGCGACGAUGCGUGCCUGGGGUAACCGUAACACCGUGCAGGCGCUAAAGCGCCGGGCCGUCAGCCUGUGGAGCGCAAACUACAGGCGGCACAGGAGGAGGCUGCAGCACGAGCGCAGGAGGCCGGCGCUGUUGUAGCCGCGAGCGGGCGACAGGCGAAACGCCAGAUUGAAAUUGCCAGCUCGUCGACAGCUAGGAGGGUGACUUCCAGUCUGCGUGGCGUGCCGAGCAUGCGUCGACAGGGGUAUAGUGUAAUCAUUCUGUGACCAGGUAGUACUCUAUAUAAAAUUAAGUCGCACAUGUGCAGCAAGAGGUCAUCCAGGACCCAGGAAGGCAGGAACUGAACGUGCAAGCUGCAAUGCUGUUGUGCAUGUUCAAAUAUUUACAAGUAAUGACACCAAGAUGCUGCUAGAGAAUAUACAGAACAAAGACAAGGAAACCCCGACAAAUGGCACUCGGCAUGUUUGGCGUCCUGUUGCUAUGCGGAGUGCUUUGCUCCUCAGCUAUUAGUCCAUUUAAAGAGCACCUCAAGGCAUGCCACCCAGACUGCACAAAGUAGGUGUUGCGCGGAGUGGGGCUUCCCCGGCUUGGCCGCUCCCUGCUCGCCAGGCCCCCGGCGUACCGAACUGCACCCUCGCCACGACGCCUUGCAGGUUUGGGAAUUGCAACGGCGAGACGGGGCAGUGUGACUGCCCCUUCGGGCUCACAGGUGCGGCGCACAGCUCACGGGUUCUCCUAGCUCCGGACAGGUUGGCUCAACUGCCCGACACGCCCUCCUGGCACCUCCCACCUCCCACCGCUCCCGCCCCAGGCCCGUCCUGCCAGGAGCGGCUGUUCCCGGCCUGCCACGUCAGCAAGGACCCCGGCACAUUGCCGCACUACGGCACCUGGUACCCCAAGAACUGCGAGUGCAUCAAGUGCGUGUUGUUUGGCCCCAGCAGCCUCGGCCACACCGCACCGCAACUGCACCUGAACACUCCAUCCCCCCCCCGCCCUCCAGCUCAACUCCAAGCAAACACCACCCUCAGCACACAGGUGUCCCUUCGCUUGCGCUCUCCACACGUGUUCCGUGCUCGGUCGCGCGGGGCCGCACCCCUUUUACCGACCUUCACGCCCCCAUGCCUACCCACGCUCCUCCACACACCCGGCCCCGCCCACCCGCUCAGGCAGCUGCACGCCUGGCCGGGCUCCUGCCCCGAGCACCUGCACUACGAGGGCACGGGCGUGUCGGGCGCCAGUCCCUGCUUCUACGACCUGGUCCUGGCGCACAGGGUACAGGGCAGGGGGAGGGAGGGAUGGGGAGGCGGAACGGGGAUGGGGGAGUGGGGUGGAGGGGGUUGGGCGGAUCGGAGGAGAGGAAAGCAAGGGGAGUACGGCGGAGAUGGGAGGGCGCGUGCCAUCUGUAUGUGUUUGCAGCAACAGCCUGCUCCCUCGUGUGUCCUGAGCUCACACGUACCUCUGCGUGCAGUGCCAGGGUAGGGGGUUCUUAGGAAGGUGAGGAAUGCAGUUAGCCUGCCUUGCAGCAACCUCUCCCGCCUCCCAUCCCUCCCAUCCCUCCCACUUCUCCCACCCCUCCCCGCUGCACCCUGUUGCACCCCACCCCGCAGUUCCUGUGCUACCGCUACCAGGGCCGCGCCCCCGCGGACCAGCUGUCCGACUCGCCGGCGCUCAACGCCAGCGGCGUGGACUGGUUCCACGCCACCGGGCACACGGCGCGACACAGCCCGCCGCAGGAGGCGCAGCUGCCGCCCGAGCAGGUGCCGCAGGUGCGGGGGGAGGCGGGGCGGUAGGCGGGGCGGGAGCGGGGCGGGGUGGGGCGGGGUAGAGCGGUGCAGUGCGAGGUCGGGCGGGAGGUCGGGCGGGAGCGGGGCAAGGGUUGGGGCAUGGCGGUGCAGGCAAGCGUUGAGGCGGGGGGGCAGGCAAGGUUCGGGGCGGCCCAGAGUUGCGGCGGGGCGGGGCAGGCAUGGGUUGGGGCGGGGCAGCGGGAUGGCUGAGUGCGGUGUGUGGGAGGUCCUUGGCCGGUGCGCUGACCGGUGUGGUGUUGAUGGUUGGUGUACAGCCUCGUGUGUGUGUUGAUGCCCGUGCUGCUGCAUGUGCUCCCUCGCUGCUGGCCCGCGACCGUGCUUGCUGCAGGAGUACAAGACCCCCGACGGCGGCCAGUGGCGGCCGCUGAGCGAGUGCCCGGACCGCUGCAACAACCGCGGCUGGUGCCAGAUCCAGGGAAGCAACUACCAGGUGGGAGUAGGGGAUAGGGCGGGAGGGGGAGCGGGUAGAGUGACGUGGACGGGUUGUAGGCCUCGCCAUUAGCCCACAUGAAAACAUGCGUCACAGGACGUCACCCGCACCUGCUGCCGCGCAGGGGCGGCACUACGACGCGGCGGAGCGCUGGUGCAACUGCCAGGGCUACUUCCGCGGCAACAGCUGCGAGGUGGCGGACACGCAGCACUGCUACCGCGGCUGCAGGUGGGAGGCGCCGCACACAGAGAGAGCCCCCGGACCCCGCGUGCGGGGAUGAGCGAGUGGCGUAAGGGGGGAUGAUGGGUGCAGUCGGGCGCAGGCGCGCGGUGUUACCAGGGCUCUCAAGAAGUGUUGUCCGGGCGCCAUCGCUGCCUGUCGCUGGAUCCUGUUGCCGUUCCGAGUGAAGCGCUGGCUCCACCUGCUUGGACCCGUCGGGCUGGGCCACCUGCACCCUGCCUCGCAACCGUCUCACCUUGCAGCGGCGUGGGCGAGUGCGUGCGCUGCUGCUGCAAUACUUGACAUUUAACACGUGCUCUUUCAACCACCCUCCCAUCCUGCCUCGCAGCGGCGUGGGCGAGUGCGUGGGCGGCUGGUGUCACUGCAAGCCGGGGUACUGGGGCCACGGCUGCACGCGCACCAAGGCCUACAGCAGCAGCGUGGGUGAGAGCUGGUGGGGUGGUGGUGGCGGGGCGGCAGGUGGGGGGCCGGGCGGUGCAGGAGGUACAGGGACGUGCCUGAGGCGGCCGUCUCCCGGGCCGACUGACCCACAUCACCGCCAUUCAACUACAACCAACUUCACGCAACUCAGCCACGCCACGCCUCGCUUCCACCCGUCCUACUCGUCGUUUUCCCGCCCCACCCGUCAGGCUGGCGGCCCAAUCACGCCAAGAUCAAAGUGUAUGUGUAUGAUCUGCCGAGUAAUGUGGUGCACCGCCGAGAAUUCCACGACCAAUGGUGCGUGCGUGUGCAUGUGUGUGUGUGUGUGUGUGUGUGUGUGUGCAUGUGGGUAUGCUUCAUGUGCCCGCCACGAUGCGCCCGGGGGGGGGGAGUAGCCGGUCAUGUGGAGAACGGGCGGGUGAGGGGGGACGGGCUCGUGUUGUUUGCCGCCGCAAUGAAGACACAGCUGCACAGCGGCCCGCACCCAACCGUUGCGACCAUCACGUUAUGCAUCUGCGUUAUCCCUCGCCUUGUUUCAAGUACCAGUAUUGCCGCCACCCGCUGCCGCCACUUGCACCGCCCCUGCCGCCACUCGCGCCGCCGCAGGUCGCUCAUUGACCUGAUGUACAAUGCGGAGCUGGAGUUCACGGAGCUGCUGUUGGGCGACUGGGGGGUGCGCACAGAAAACCCCUGGGAAGGUGGGUCAUCGACAGCUAGGUAGUUCACUUGUCAUGCUGGUAAUAUCCUAUUACAAGCAAGAGCAGAGGGUGGUGAGAAGCAACGGUUGUGAUGCUUUCAUGUUACCGCCCGCACACGCGCAACCUCUUCCGAGUAUCCUGUCACCUCCCCCCAAAAAAACACAAACCCGCACGCACCCGCAGCCGCGCUGUUCUACGUGCCCACCUUCACGUACUGGUACACGGGUGAGCAUGCGUGGCCUUUCUCUCGUGGCCUUUCCCUCGUGGCCUUUGUCUUGUGGCCUUUCCCUCGUGGCCUUUCCCUCGUGGCCUUUCCCUCGUGGCCUUUUCCUUGUGGUCUUUCACCCGUGUAGCUCACGUCUGUCCUGCACCACGUGACCUGUGGACCCCACCCGCGCCUCGCCGUGCGCGCCGCCACCACAUCUUCUCACAGGCAACGUGGGCCACCCCUACUUUGUCAUCCAGCAUGCCACCAAGUGGCUCCAAGAGAACUCGCCCUUCUUCAACCUCACUGGCGGCCGCAACCACAUCUUCUGGUGCGCCGCAGACGCCCUGCUGUCUCGCUCCCCCUCUUCCCGCUCUCAGACCACUGGCGCCGCUCUCGCUGCUUGCUGCCUCGCCCUUGCCGCCCAGUGCAGUGCCCACACGCGCCGACCCACCCACCCGUGCAUCCACGUGCCCCCUGCCUCACGUGCCUCCCUCGCGCCCUCCCUCCCUCCGCCUGCAUUCCCGCCCCUCCCCUCCCUCCCCCUCAGGGCCACCAACGACCGCGGGGUGUGCAAGCUGCAGAUGGCGCCGCCGGAGAUGCAGCACUCCAUAAAGGUGUGUGAAUGUGUGUGUCUGUGUGUGUCUGUGUGUGCGUGAAACAAGAAGGGAAGAAGAACGUGUGUGCUAGCGUGUGUGUGUGCGGCCCCGUGGGCACUGAGGCCCCAGCUUGGCGGCCAGAGGGCCGGGGGUGCGCCCGAACCCAACUGGGUCCCCUGCACCUGCACCUGCGGUGGCGGGCCCCAGACACCUCAAGGCCACCAAUGGACUUCGCUGCUCAGUACCACUAACCUCCCGAGUCCCCUGCCAUCCGACAUCCACCUCGUCUACAAAUUAUUUCUCUCCACCCCACGCCCCUCACACGCUCUCACACACACGCAGCUGGUUCACUUCGGCCAGUCGCCGCGGCGGCCAUACGCCGCCCGCAUGAAGGUGGGCCAGACGACCGACCCCACCGCACACCUGGUGAGAGCGCGGGCGGGGCGGGGUGGGGCGGGCGGGCGGGUGGUAUGGGGCGUACGGUAUGUGUACAUGUGGGGAUGUGGGAGAUCUUGCCUGGCUCGUGCUGUGGGUGCGGGUGCGGGACGUCCGCACCUGGGAUACACCAAAUGCCAUGGCGUCCACCCCGGCGUUUCCUGUCUCCAGCGUCUUCAGAACUCUCUCCCGCAACACGCUGUCUCACGUACAAAGUCACCUAUCACCCCGACACACACACACACACACACACACACACACACACACACACACACACACACACACACACACACACACACACACGCGGACGACACACGCUCCUCCCCUUGCAGGCGCUGCGCGGCGCCCUGCCCCAGCCCGGCACGCGCUUCCCGGAGUUCCCGGCCGAAUUCACGGCCAUGGACAUCCUGGAGGAGAGCGAGAUAUGCAUACGGUGCGUGUGUAUGGGUGUGGCGGUGGGUGUGGGAGUUACCAGCCCAAACUUAAUCAAACCAAGCCAAACUAGCGGAGCGCAGGCAGAGGCGACAGUUUCAAGCAAGGGGGAGGGCAGCGGGAGGAGGAGGGGGGAGGCAGCAGGCGUGCAGGAUGGAGGGCAGCGGGGUGAAGACGGAGGCGCAUGUGGGAGGGUGGGAGUGGUGUAUGCCAGUACGGGUGUGUGCCCGUACAGUAGCGGCUGCUGUUACAGUUGGGGUUGCGCGCCUGCACGGCCCGGUGUGAAGCUCCGGCCAGCAGGCCUCGCAUCAGCCACCACACCUGCCACCACACGCUGCCCGCACUAGCACUGCCCCCACACUUACACUGCCCCCCUCCUAUACGCAGACGCACACGCGCCCGCACACUGCUGCGUGUUGCCUCGUCCUCCUCCCCAAUAAAUCAUGAAUGCAACCCCCACACACACGCACGCACAGGCCUGAAAAGGACGUGGUGACCCCCAACUACAUCAUGCCAACCUGGGUGGAGCCACACAACUACAACCAGGUGCGCGCGGCAGUAGCAGCAGCAGUGGCAGUAGCGGCAAGGGGGAAGGCAGUGGUGGCAGUAGCAGCAAUAUAGUAGCGGCAAGGGAGGAGGCGGGAGGGAGGGAAGGGCAGGCGCCUGUAUACCUCGGGUGACAGCACGCACGCAAAAUUGUCAGCCGGCAUCCUGAAGACGCAUGGCGCUACACUCCUCCCAAUCAACACCCGCCACCUCCCAACCCGCCGCCUAGCCCACACGCUCAACCCCGGCGUCCAAAACAUCCUUCCUCCGCGCUCUGUGGGCUGGUCCUGGGUCUUGGUUUCUUCGGGACUGGAACAGUAACCACCCCCUUCCCCCACACAUGCACGGCUACCCCCCUCCCCGCACUGCCGCCGCCGCCGCCUGACAGGUGUGGAACGUGACGCAGCUGCCCGACGGCACGCGGCAGGUGACACGCAAGCGCGGGCCGGACGUCCCCGUGCGCAACCUCACCCUCUACUUUGCCGGCUUCACCAAGUGAGAGGCCGGGGGAGAGGAAAGGAGCGCCUGGGCGGGGUUGAUCGGCGUUGUACGGGGUAACGGGAUUGCGCACGCGCACAUGUUCAUUACCGGUACACAUACACACAAUACUCUGUACCUAAGGAAAGCUCUCUGCCCGACACGCGCCCCCGCCGCACAGGCCCCAGAUGUCGUACAGCCAGGGUGUACGGCAGCUGAUUCACAAGCUGUUCGGUCCGGGCGGGAAGUACGACCCCAAGGUGUGGGGGGUGGGUGGGCGCUGCAGGCAGACACGUGGCCGUGGCCGUGGCUGGGUCGGUCUGCGGCUGGGUGGCAUGGGUGAUGGAGCGCAUGAAGGGGGCGGGGUGGGGGCGGAACUGCUGGCGGGCUGGUCACGUGCGGCGCGUGCGGUGCUCUGUGCCGUGCGUUCGCCAGAGCACAGGGGUAGUGGGCCGACACGGUGCGUGCUGUGUAUGUGUCGCCAACGGGCUCGGCGUGUGCCCAUGUGCCACCGCCCCCCCGCAGGGCCCCAACGCGCGGCCCGACUACAAGGUCGGAGGUCCGGGAGGUGAGGCUGUGGUCUCAUUUUCAAACCAACAAGGACAGCCGGGCAGUCAGUCACACCCUGCAUGGGGCGACCACUGCACAGCCCCGCAUGUCUCCACACACACCUAAACACCCAGACCUGACACACCCUUCUCCUACACACACCAUGUCUCUUUGCGCUUAGUUUAUCUUGUGCUCCUUGACACCAUGCCUCUCCGCCCAACCCACACUCUCCCGCCUCUCCCAUCCCCUCCCCUCCCGGGGAUUAAUCAUGAAUGUAACCCCUCCCGGCAGGCGGUGAGGCCGCCACCUACAUGCAGCAGUCCCGGUUCUGCCUGGCGCCCAUGGGCUCGGGCUGGGGCAUUCGGCUGGUGGAGGCGAUGAUCAGCGGCUGCGUGCCCGUGAUCAUCCAGGACCACGUAUACCAGGUGGGGGACUGGUGGUUGGUGGGGAGGAGGGGCAAAGGAGGGGCAAGGGAGGGGGGAGGGAGGGGCAAAGGAGGGGGAAGGGAGGGGAAAAGGAGGGGGAAGGGAAGGGGUGGGUGCAGUGCGAGACCCGCCGUCCACGCCCCGCCCACCCAUGCGGCCAUGCUGGUACGCCGUGUAACCCCGUGCAGACCCAACCAACGCAAUCAUAACAAACAACACAACAGCAAGCACCGCAACCGCAACCAACAAACCGCAGCGCCCACCCCUCGAACCUAACCCCCACCUCCCCCCCCCCACACACACACACGCACCCAGGCCCACUGGGACGUGGUGCCCUUCCCCGAGUUCUCCAUCCGCGUCGGCCGCCACGACCUGCACCGCCUGGUGGAGCUGCUGGACGACGUGGCGCCGCAGGAGCUGGAGGAGCUGCAGGUGGGAGGAGGGAGAGGGGGGGAGCUGUAUGGUGCAGGUGGGGAGGGCGGUGCGCAAGCGACGGGCGUUCACACCCGGUGCACAUAUGGACCGGUGCAUUAUUGACGCACAGCCACACAUAUACACACACAUACAUGCACACACAAACACAUACAUACACACACGCAAACACAUAACACACACAUACAUACACACAUCUCCACAGGCCGGCAUCGAGCGCUACCACCGGGCCUUCUUCUGGGACGCCCAGUGGGGCGGCCUCGCCUACAACUACACGAUACAGGCGCUCAAGCAGCGCGCGCACAGCAUGUGGAGCGCAAACUACAGGCGGCGGCGGAGAGCGCAGCAGCGACGCCGGCUGUUCAGUGUGGGGCGGAGGUCGCGGCAUGGGUGGUGAUUGGUUGGGGCUGGAGGUGGGCGUUUGUGGCGGCGGGAUCGGCGUGGGCGCGCGGCAUGGUAGUGUGAUGCUCACAAUGUGCCAAAUGCCCUUGCAUCAAGAGCUGAGGCCUUGGCAUAGGCAGUGGCCUGUUGAUUACGUAAGGAGCUGUAAGGUUGGCUUGGUAAGGGUUAUGACGCAGAGUGGUCGGACAGAGGCUGGCGCCUGGGAAGGGAAGGGGCCCUGCACGAGGGUGGCUGGGCCCCCAGGCUGGGAUGGUGUUUUUCUGAUUCAGCACGCUUUAAUUAUGUGACUCGGGCCGCGAACCUGCGAGUCUAUGUCCGCCUUUCUGUAAAAGCGUUGCACGCUCAACAAUUUGGCACUGCGCGAGUGUAAACAGAACCCUAGUCUGCGGUGCCGUUAGACACAGUCUGCUAACCGACCCAGGCUGUGUAAAAAAUUUCUAAACGUAGCUUAGAGUUCGCCAUAAGCUUGGUGCGAAUGGCAGAGGGGCUCGGUGUACAAAUUUCGCCCGAAGUGCAAGCCGCACUCCGCGAGGGACGCCCAGUAGUGGCGCUAGAAAGCACGAUCAUUAGCCAUGGCAUGCCUUGGCCCGAUAACCUCAAGACGGCCCUUGAGGUGGAGGCCGUGGUCCGGGAAUCCGGGGCCGUGCCCGCCACGAUAGCUAUUAUCGCCGGCGUCCCACACAUCGGGAUGGAGCGCCAACAGCUGGAGCACAUCGCAAAGCGCGGUCUCGCGGUGCAGAAGGUCUCGCGCCGCGACCUGCCCGUCGUCCUCGCCAAGCGCCUCGAUGGCGCCACCACCGUCUCCGCCACAGCCGCGCUGGCCGCGCUGGCGGGGAUACACGUCUUCGUGACGGGCGGCAUCGGCGGCGUGCACCGCGGCGGCGAGGUGACCAUGGACGUGUCCGCCGACCUGGUAGAGCUAGGGCGCACGCCCAUCGCGGUCGUGUGCGCCGGCGCCAAAUCCAUCUUGGACAUCCCGCGCACGCUCGAGGUGCUGGAGACGUGGGUGAGUCCCCGCGCCCCGAAAUUUAGCUGGUUGGUUUUGCUGCCGUCUGAACGCGCUCGCGUUGCGAGCUAGGCGCUGGCCCACUGUUACCGUAACCUGGGUUGGGGGCCCGGACGUGCGCAUGUGCGGCCGCGGUUGGUUCCUGCUACCCUCACGUGCAUCGCUGAUUCAGUCUCUGUACUUGAUCCCCCACUGAACACAGCCCCCACUAUCCACCCCUGCAACAACCACCGCCCCACCCUUUUCACACACCCCACAUGCCCAGGGCGUGGCGGUGGCGGCGUACGGCACGGACGAGUUCCCCGCCUUCUUCACGCCGCGGAGCGGCUGCCGGGCGCCGGCACGAGUGGACACAGCCGCCGAGUGAGUGUGGCGGUUGUGGUGGCGGUUGUGGUGGUGUGGUGGUGCUGCUGGUGGUGGUGGCGGUGGUGGCGGUGGUGGUGGUUCAGAGAAGGGCGGGGCAGGGCGGGGAGAGCUGGCGCCGGCGCAUCCCAGCGGUGGGCCGACCCCUACAAACCCACGUGCCCACUCCCGGGACCUCCUAUACCAGCCCCAAACCCCCCGAACCCCUUUCCCUGGAUGCCGCCCCCCUAGGGCUGCCUCCAUGUUGGGCUGUGUGCGGCGGCUGGGCCUGGGCAGUGGCAUGCUGCUGGCAGUGCCCAUACCCGCGGCGGCGGCGGCGGAGGGCGAGGUGGUGGAGGCCGCCACCCGCGCCGCGCUGGCGGAGGCGGAGGCGCGCGGGGUCAAGGGCAACGAGGUACGGGCGGGGAUGGGUGGGUGUGGUGGGUGGGUGGGUGUGGUGGCGUGGUGUGGUGUGGUGGUGGCAUGAGGUGUGGUGGCGGGCGCGGGGCCGCAGGCGGUGUUGCUGGGGAGACGUGCUAGGGGACCGCGGCAGGGGGCUCCGUGCGUGUCGGGCGCGUGGCCACCGGCCAUGACUGGGAGUGGGAAACAAGUCAGCACCACAAGAGCACUCACCUGUACCCACGGCCUGCUGCCGCUGCCGCUGCUGCUGCUGCCGCUGCCACUGCCACUGCUGCUUGCACCCAGGUGACGCCCUUCCUGCUGGAGCGGGUGCGGUCGCUGACGGGCGGCCGCUCGCUGGCAGCAAACAUCCUGCUGGUCAAGAACAACGCACGCGUGGGGGCGGCGGUGGCGGCGGCUUACGCCGAGCAGCAGCAGCAGCAGGGGGAGAGGGGGGCGGUGCCCGCGGGGCUGAGGAGCAAGCUAUGAAGAGGAGGAGAGGAGGGGAAAGGCGGUGUGAGUAGCCUUGGCUGCGAGGGAUUUGUGGCGUGCGUGGCGAGUCCAGUGCAUGGGAAUUCAGCAUGCACCCAAUCAAUGUAAUGCUGUUUCCUGUUUUGUUCAAAGAGGUUACAUAACUGCUGUGUUAGGCAGAAGCUCUCAACGGGUCAACUCGGCCGGCAUUUAGGUCGCGACCUGUGAAAUACCAGCCGUCGCUCGAAUUCGCUUUCAUGUACCGCACUUAAAUCUAGUAGAUGUCAUUUGAGCCUGAAUUUGAGCCUGAAUAGCCAAAUGGCUGCAUAGUCGGCGUGUCUGGGGGGACAACUGGAACGUCGGCACGCAGACUCGACUCCACGAGUGCCACUUGUAGCCAUCUUACCAACACCAGACUACGUCAAAUCGUUGCAAUGGCGUCGAUGCAUGUGGGAUGCAGCUGCCGCCGACUGGCGCCGGAAGGAGGGUUCUCGACGACGCGGCCGCCGAGCACGUCGGUGCUCGGCGGCCGCUGCCCCGCCCACCCGCAGCAAACUCCCCAGCGUGGCCCCUCACUCGGCGCCUCGCUGGCAGCCCCAUGCGCCCUCGCGACUCGGCCCACGGCCGGCCAGCUCAGCAGCAGCCUGCCGCUCAAAGGAGCCGCCGGUCGCGGCCGGCCGGCUGCUGCUGCGGCCGUUGGCGAGCCCGGCGAGCCCUCCGGCCCUGCCAACCAGGGGCCUUCCGGGGCACGCCGCCCCCGCAACGCCGGGGCCAGCAGCUCACAGCCGUCCAACUCCGAAACUACAGCUGCAGCCACUGACACCCCCAGCACGGCGGCAGACGUGCCGGCACGCGGGCAGCGCGGCAAGGGGCCACGGCUGCAGCUGGUGCACGACAGCGCCGCCGCCGGAGGCGCGGCGGGCAGAGGCGCCGCCGCCGUACCUCGUGACGUACAGCGGCGCGAGGACAACCCCUCGUUGGACGAGAUCGUACUGGACGAGCAGUACUACAGGGAGAUGGGCAUUAGUAAGGAGGAGCUGGUCGACACGCUGCGGGGGUACGACGCCACGGAGCUGGAUCCGUACGGCGAGAACGUGGGGCCGGCGGGGCCCAUGCAGCUUGGAUCCGGAUCCGGAUUCGGCGAUAUGGAUGGGGCCGAUGGCGGCGAUGACGGCCGGCCGCUGCUGGAUCUGGGGCUGCUGGGAUCUGGAUCCGGCGCGGAUGGCGACGGAGACGAGGACCCGCCGUACGGUCCGGAGGCGCUGGUGCUGGCGGGGUUUCGUGCCGAGGAGCACGGCGUGGUGCGGGCGGUGCUGGACUCGGCAGGCGGGCACGUGGUCAAGGUGAGGGGGGAGGGAAAGAGGGAGAGUUGGGAGAAGAGGGACAGGGACAGGGACAGGGACAGGGACAGGGACAGGGACAGGGACAGGGACAGGGACAGGGACAGGGACAGGGACAGGGAGAGGGGCAGGGAGAGGGAGAGGGACAGGGACAGGGGCAGGGGCAGGGGCAGGGACAGGGACAGGGACAGGGACAGGGACAGGGACAGGGACAGGGACAGGGACAGGCACAGGCACAGGCACAGGCACAGGCACAGGCACAGGGAACAGGCACAGGGACAGGGACAGGGACAGGGACAGGGACAGGGACAGGGACAGGGACAGGGACAGGGACAGGGACAGGGACAGGGACAGGGACAGGGACAGGGACAGGGACAGGGACAGGGACAGGGACAGGGACAGGGACAGGGACAGGGACAGGCACAGGCACAGGCACAGGCACAGGCACAGGCACAGGGAACAGGGACAGGGACAGGGGCAGGGGCAGGGGCAGGGGCAGGGGCAGGGGCAGGGGCAGGGGCAGGGGCAGGGGCAGGGGCAGGGGCAGGGACAGGGACAGGGACAGGGACAGGGACAGGGACAGGGACAGGCACAGGCACAGGCACAGGGACAGGGACAGGGACAGGGACAGGCACAGGGACAGGGACAGGGACAGGGACAGGGACAGGGACAGGGACACGCCUGUGCGGGUCAAUGCUUCUGGCUCCAUGCCGCCACAAUACACCCAACCCACCACACCACACCCGCACCACUCGCCGCCUCCUCCCACCCCGCACAGGUCCUGCCUGUGACCCAGGCCAUGCUGCAGGGCAGUGUGGACGCGGCGGUGGCGGCGCCCGAGGUGGACUGGGCGGCGCCGAGGCCCGAGGACUGGGCGCGCGGCGGCGGCUGGGGCGCGCAGCGGGCCGUGCUGUUCAGCGGACUGGGGUGAGCAGGUGGAGGGAGGGCGUGUGGGUGGGUGUGGGUGGGCGGGUGGGUGGGUGGGUGGGUGUGGUAGGUGAGUUUUGUAAAUGCGCAAGGCCCCGCAUCCCCGCAUGCGUGAGUGGGGGCCGCUGAUGGACUGAAUGACUGUCUGGUGCAGAAGCCUCGCACGCCCCCCCCCCGAUCCUCCCCGAUCCUUCCUAACCUCUGCUCCCUGCCCUCUGUCUGCCGCCACUGCCGCCACGCCCACCUCAGCCUGCGCGCGCAGCUGACGGUGCUUGAGCUGCUGGAGGCCAGUGGGCUGCCCGCGGUGUGCGCGGCGGCGGCGGCGCCGGACAACGGCGGCCGGCGGCUGGGGGAGGUGCUGGCGGCGGCGGUGGCGGUGAGGGAGCGUGUGUGGGGGGGGAGGGCACUGCGGGGAGGGGGAUUCUGGGGGAGGAGGGGCGUGGCAGCUGCGGGGCUCACGUAAGGGACUGAGGGAAGGAGGGUGGGAGGGAGACAACAUGUGCUCAUGUGAGACGGCACUUAGCGGCAUGGACGCGGUAACACACGAUGGUGGCUUGGAUGGCUGCCGUCAACGCGCAUCCCCACGGUGCAUCCCCCCUGCAACUCACACACCGCCCCAACCCCCACUCCGGCUCAGGCCCAGCGCGGCGCGGCUCGGCGGCUGCCCAAGGAGGAGCCGUGGCGUCCUGGCGCACUGGGGGGCCGCAUGGUGGACACACGCGGCGGCAGUAGCGGCGGCAGUAGCAGCAGUGCCGGCAGUAGCACUGGGGCUGCAGCCGGCGCUGCCGCUGCAGCCGCGGCGGCGGCGGCUGGCGGCGGCGGUGGUGGCUUGGCGCCGCUGCAGGACCUGCUCGGAGACAAGGCGGCGGAACGGCUGCAGCAGCUGCGGCGGCAGCAGCAGCAGGAGGAGGCAGAGGCCGAAGAGGAUCAAAGCCGAGAGGAGGGAGCAAAGGGGGCGGCUGGGAAGCAGCAGCAGCAGCGGCGGGCGGCGCGGGGUGCGGUUGCGGGUGGUGUGGAGGUGGAGGAGCCGUUGUUGAAUCCGGAUUUGGCGACUGAGGUGGCGGCGGAGGCGGCGCGAUGGGCGGCCUGGUCACCACCCAUGCCGCAGGCUGCUGCUACUGCCGGCGCUGCUGCUGCCGGCAAGACCCCUGCAAAGCGUGCUACUGCGGCUGCUACUGCGGGGCCAUCAGCGGCGGCGGGCGGUGCUGGCGGGCCGAGUGUGGGAGACCUGGGUAUUGACAUGGAGGCGUUACGGCAGGAGGUGAUGCAGCACCUGGAGGGCUUGGAUCCCGAUCAGCUGGAGCAGGUACUGCUGGAUUCACCGUACGACAUUAAUGAUGACGCGGUGCCGUACAAUGCAGCGGCGGCGCGCAGAGGAGCUGGCGCUGAAGGCGCCGCCGCCGCCGCCGCCGCCACUGGCGCCGCCAAGCCACCUACGGGCUGGAGGAGUGAGGAGGACGAGGCGGCGGCGGCGGCGGGUGGCGCCAAGGGGCCGACGGUGGAUGCGGUGGCGGCGGUGGCGGAGCGGCAGCGGCAGCGCUGGGCGGAGGCGCGUGCGAGCAUGGAGGCGGCGGCGGCGGCGGAAGGGCGCCUGGUGCUGGAGGCGGAGACCAGUCCGUUAGAGCAGCAGCAGCAGCAGCAGCAGCCGCGGCGGCCUGAGGCAACGCGAGGCAGCAGCAGCAAUAGCAGUAGCAGCGGCGGCAGCGCUGGUGGUGCGGAGGAUUUCGGGCUGGAUUUCGACUCGGCGCUCGAUGACGUGUUUUCCCAGCUACAGCCGCCGCCCGCCGGUAGCGCAGCUGCUCCUGCGCGCGCUGCUACAACCGCCGGCGUCGGCGUCGCUGCUACAGCCGCUGCUCCAGCCGAUGACGGCUGGGACGCAUUCGGGCUGGAGGACCCCACCUCCGAGCUAGAUGACCUGCUGGGGCAGCUGGGCGGCGGCAGUAGCAGUAGCAACGGCAGCGGCAGUAGCAGCGCCGCGUCGGUGCGGCAAGCUGCUGCUGCUGCUAUUGCCGUCAGCAGCGGUAGCGGCAGUAGCAGCAGCAGUGCUGCGGGGCCGGGGCCGGGUGCGGGGGCGGUGCUGGAGGCGGUGCAGCGGGCUCUGCAGGGCGGCGCCUCGCCGGACGACGUGCGCCGCAUGAUGGACGAGCUGAUGUACGGCGGCAGUAGCAACAGCAGCAGUAGCAGCAGCAGCAGCAGCAGUGGCGGUCCUGGCAGUAGCACUGGCAGCAGUAGCCCAGCUGCCGAGUCCGCGGCGGCGGCGGCGGCGGCUGAAGGCGGCGACGCGGCCGCAGGCACCUCGCGGCGCCGCGGCAGCCUGUUUGCGCACUUGAAGAAAGACAAAGACAACAAAGGCAAGCCCAAAACCGCAAACGCCAACGUUACCAGUGACGCAUCGGCUGCAGCCGCUGCCGCGAACCUGCAGGGCGAGCCGGGCGGCGGCUCGGGCGCGCAGGGCGGCCGGCUGCCGGCGCCCCGCGCGCCGCUGGGUCCCAGCCCGCCGCCGGAGCGCGACCCCGCCCUGCAGCCGCUGUACCAGCUGCGACCCGACCUGGCCAAGGCGGUGGAGGGUGGGUGCCCGCGGGGUGGGAGUGGGGAUGGGCGUGGUGGGCGUGGGGUUUGGGAUGUGGCGGGCCGGGGUUUAGGAGCAGAGGUGCGUUUCAUGCCACUUGCACACAAGCGUACUCAAUUGCAUGCGCACGUGCUGCCUCUUGUACACGUGCAUAUGCACACGCAUGCACGCGCAUGCGCACAUGCGAAUACGGGGUGCCUUUCCUUGGCUUGUGCUUCCCUAACACAUGCAUGCAGACAAGAAGGUCAAGUUCCUGGACCUCAGCCGCCUCAACGACAAACAAAAGCGCCAGUUUGUUGACUACCAGGCGAAGCUCAGGCAGCAGCAGCAGCAGCAGGCUGUAGCGGGCGCGGCUGUAGCGGGGGCGGCAGGAGCUGCUGCAGCGGGGCGCGAGGGGGAGGAGGAGCGCAGGCGGCGUGCCGAGGCAGAGGCUGCGGCUGCCGCGGAGGAGGACGCGGAGGAGUAUGGGGAGGAGGGCGAGGACGAGGUGGAGGAGGAGGAGGAGGAGGAGGAGGAGGAGGAGGGCGCGGGCGUGGCGGUGGAUGCGGGGCGGCUGCGGGAGCUUGUGGCGGCGGCGACGGCGCAGGGGCUGGAGGUGGAAGAUUGCCUGGCGCAGGCAGUGGCCAUGGGUACGGGGGGGGGGGGGCUGGGGGGAGGCUGGGGGGGGGGGAGGUACCACGAGCCGGUCCGUGUGUCAAGAUUGCCAGGGCUGGGCAGCGCUUCCUGUCGGCCUGUUGUGGUGCCCACCACACUGCCGAUGUCAAGCUGUGUUGACGCGGUUCAUUAGCGCGCUGCUGUCGGACGCACACAAACCCCAACCCCCCAACUGAGGCAUGCCAGCACCCAACUGCUCAUAUGCCGCCCCCCCGCCGCCGCCCCCCCCCCCAGGCGUGCACCUGCCGCAGUCGGUGUUGGCGGAGGUGGGGCUGGCGCCGCCCGGCGAGGCGGCUCUGGAGGCGGCGCGGCGGCAGUACGAGGGCAUGUUCGAGCAGUGGGCGGCGGAGGCGGGUGAGGAGGCGGCGGGAUGGCGUGUGCGUGUAUGGGGGCUGGCGUGUGCUGUGUACGCACCGCUUGUGCGGCUGCGGCGUGCACAGCACAGCACAGCGCAGCUAGUCCCCACUUGCACACCUCGGCUUUCGCCUCGGCGUCGCCACACCCACACAUCCCCGCCUCCCGCUCUCACCUGGCCCCCCUUAUCCGCCCCACCCUUCACCUCACCUGGCCCCCACCCCCCGCUGCCCCACCCGCCUCACCUCACCUCGCCCCCACCCCCCGCUGCCCCGCAGGCUUCGACCCCUCCAGCCUGGCUGAGCCUGUGGACCUACACGCACCCGCGGAGGGCGAGGAGGGCGAGGAGGAGGGCGAGGAGGCGCAGCAGCAGCAGCAGCAGCCGCCGCGUGGUCCCACCGCUGCAGGCAGCAGUAGCGGCAGUAGCACUGGCGGCAGUAGUGGCAGUAAUGGCAGUAGCACUGGCGGCGCUGGCGGCCGCAUGUCGCCGCUGCCCGGUGGCCUGGCGCCGGGGGCCCCGCGGCCCUGGGGCGCGGGCCUGGCACGGCCGCGGCGGCGCGACGUGGCGUAGUAGGAGGGAGCUAGCGUGUGUCACAGGACGGCGGGCGUAGGGGCACGUGGUUGAGACGGGGAUGCUUUGUUGGAGCGGUGGAGUGGAGGAGUGGUGGCAAGGUCAGCUGGGCGUAUUGGGUUGAUGAUGGGGCUUGUGUGGCUGUGGUGCGGGGAGGCGAGGGAGCGCGCGGGGGCGAUUGCAGGCCACCGCAACAUCCCUACACACAAGGCACCUGCUGGGAACUGGGUUACUGGAACUACGAUGCCGAGUCUGUGGAUGGGUCUGCGGAAUACAGUACACCCUUCCCGGGACGCUGCGCGGCAGCACAUGUCUCCGGUCCUCACGUCUCUGGUUUCCACGUCGCCUCCAUGACACUCGCACGCCGUCCAUGCGGACCUUCAUCUGCGAGGUGUUGCGCAACUGCGAGUGCGUGCCAUUCUCGCCUUGAGCUGUCACUCGGGGUCGCCCUCAGAGGCAAAGCCGCUGUUAGCAGCGCAGCAGCAGCGCCAGCACCUCUCCAGUCAUCAAUCAGUUCAAUCACUCUCAUGAGCAGCCCCGGCCUCCGCGCUCACACACCGCCAGCAGCACACGCCCAUGCCACAAGCCGCGCCGGCCGCACCGUCCGCAUCGGCCGCCCACCUCACACAGCCCCACCCCCACGACAUCACACCCCCCAAAACAAUACGGCAGCCAUCUAUCACGACGAGCUGCAAUACACCAGCACCACGCCGGAUCACUCCGUCCUCUGCCGCGUCCGCCUCCCACCACUACCACCACCACCACCACCACCACCACCACCACCACCACCUCCGCCCCCGCCUCCCGGGCUCCUGCCCUGCGGCCGCUGCGGCGGCGCCAGCGCCGUCGCCCACUCCUCCGCCAGCGCCGCCACAUCCGGCGGCGCCGCCAGCCCCAGCGCUCGCAGGCAGGCGGCCAUGUCGGCGUGCAGGGGCGCGGACAGCGCGACGGCGCGGCCGGUGAGCGGGUGCGUGAAGCGCAGCGCGGCGGCGUGCAGGGCUUGGCGAGACAGCCAGGGGCCCUGCGUGCGUGUGUGUGUGCAGGCGUGUGCGGUUGUUUGCACCAGUCCCAAUCCUCGUCACGGAAUCGCUGGGAUGGGGGGGGGGCUCAAGCAAACACACGCACGCAGCUAGAUCACAAACCCACACCCUCCCAGCACAAGCCGCCUCUUUCAUCAGUCCCCAGCCGCCCCAUGCCGCCCCCUGCCUCUUUCAUCAGUCCCCAGCCACGCCCCCAGCCGUCCCCCCGGCCGCUCACCGUGACGCCGUAGAUGUCGUCGCCCACGAUGGGGUGCCCCACCGCCGCCAGGUGCACACGGAUCUGGUGCGUGCGGCCCGAGUGCGGCGCACACACCACCAGAGACGCGCCGCGGGGGAUGGCGGCGCCGGCGGCAGCAGCAGCAGCAGCCGCGGUGCUACUGCCGUUGCUACUGCCACUGAUGGGGUAUGUGCUACUGCCGCCGUGGGCAGCUGCCGAGGCGCGGCCAAAGUCGGAGAAGAGCAGUCCGGGUGCGCCGCCGCCGCCGGGCCCCACGUCUGCGUGGGGGUUGCUGUCCAGGACUGCGAAGGAGGUGGACGCCUCCUUGCCUUUGGGGCGUGAGGGAGGGAUGAUGGGAGGGAGAGGCGUCAUGCGGGCGGGGUGGAGGGGGGGCGGCGUGCCAGGAAAGCACAAGGGAAGGUCCUGUGCGUGUGUAUGUGAAUCUGGGGCGGCGCCGACGCCCCAGCCUGCACCCAGGCCCGCCACCCCUCGUGACCCACACCCGGCCCCACACGCCUUUAGCACCCUCCACACUCCACACACCACCCCACGCCUCCAUAGCCCUCUCCCCUCACCCGUGUCCGCCACCACACGUGCCACAGCCAUGUGCGGGUGCCGGUCAAUGGGCGCAUCCACGUGGAACCUACAGCCACCGCCGCCGCCGCCGCCCGCCGCAUCAGCGCCGCCCGCGGGUGCCGGGAAGCGGCCUGUGGCGCGCGAGGCGGCACUGCCUGGCAGCCCCACUGCAGCGGCCAGGUAGAACUUGGAGAGCGUGCGCUCCCUGCGGGUUUGUUGUUGGUGUGAAGGUGGUGGGAGAUGGUGGGAGGUGGGGGCGGGGGUGCGCGGUGGGGUAGCCAUAGGCCCUGUGCAACACGCCCCGACCCGACCCGACCCGACCGAGAGGCGCUGCGGCUGUGCGAGUGCAGACACACCCAACCCGAGGCUCACAACCGCCCUCCCCCAUGCGCAGCAAGCCCCAGCAGCCCCCCCCCCUCUGACCCCACCCCUACCCCCAGCCCCACCGCCACCCCCACCCACCCCCAACCCCAACCCCUACCCCCAGCCCCCUACCGCCACCCCACCCCCGGCCCCCCCACCUGAACUGCCUGUGUAGCCCCGGCACCCCCACCCCCAGCCCCCACCCCCACCUGAACUGCCUGUGCAGCCCCGGCACCACCUGCGGCCUCUUGGCCAGCAGCAGCAGGCCGCUGGUGUUCAUGUCCAGGCGGUGGAGCACGUAGGGCUCCAGCUGGGGCGGCGGCUGCGAGUGUGAGAGGGCGGCAGUGGUGGUGCAAGAGGAGGAGGAGGAGGAGGAGGAGGAGGAGGAGGAGGUCGGGGAGGAGGGUGGGGAGAAGGGCGGGGAGGAGGGGCGGUGUGGAUUGCCGUCCAGGAGAGUUCUUGGGACAGCAGCAGCAGACACGGUCACACACGCACGCCAACAUUUAACACAUACACACACAGGCGCGUGUGUGCGGGGAGGAGGGGCAUUGCGCACCUGCGCCUCCCACGCCUGCGGCCCGAUGGCGCCCUCGCCCUCGCCGCCGCCUGCCGCCUGCAGGCUGAAGGGCGGCGGCGGCGGCAUCAGCUCGGGCACGUAGCCCCACGGCGGCGAGCCCGGCGGGCCCAGGCCGGGACCCGACAGAAGCGUCACCUGUGUGUGUGUGUGUUUGCGUGUGUGUGUGUGUGUGUGUGUGAGCGUGUGUGUGUGUGUGUGUGUGUGUGUGUGUGUGUGUGUGUGUGUGUGUGAGCGUGUGUGUGUGCGCGCAUGUGUGUGUGUGCGUGUGUGUGUGUGUGUGUGUGUGUGUGUGUGUGUGUGUGUGUGUGUGUGUGUGAGAGAGCGUGUGUGUGUGCGCGCGUGUGUGUGUGCGUGUGUGUGUGUGAGCAUGUGUUAAAUAGCACAAGGAAAACAUUGCGCAAAGACUGUGUAUGUGAUGCAGUAAAGCGACGGUUUACGGAUGUUACCUGAAGUUACCUCGCAUACCUGCUGCGGUGCGGUCUUACCAACCGGAAAUCGCGCAACCCCCGCUACUCUAACCUCGAGGGGGGAUGUGAGCAUGUGUGUGUGCGCGAGUGUGUGUGUGGGAACACGAGGAAUGGGAAACGCAAAGCGUGCAUGAGCGUGAGCGUGUGUGUGAGCGUGUUUCUGCAGAUGCAGCCAGCGCCUCACAACUGUCACUGCCUAGUGACACACAGGCGACACACACGCGCCCCCACACACGCCCCACCUGCGGCGCGCCCUCCUCCUGCGCCGAGCUCCUGCGGCCGCCCCGGCCCCGGUUGAGGUAGCCAAUGACCUGGUUGACCACGGAGCCGCCUGAGGAAGGGGGGUUAGCCGUUCAUGUGGAGGACGGCGUGAUUGGGUCACAAGUACAAAGUGCCUACGGGGGCGGGGGGACCGGUCGUGAACACCACGAGCCACCACGCACCAGCGCUCCUGUGCAUUGGCCUCCCUCCUCGGCACCUUCCCUUCCAAGCCACACGCCACAAGAUCCAUGCACCCGGCCUCUACCCAGCCGCACCCUCACACCCCACGCCCGAUCCCCUCCUCGCACCCGCGAAGCGGUGUAUGGGCGCUGUGUGGUGCCCCACCGGCUUGUUGACGGCCAGGAAGUCGGCGUCCUCCCACACCACCUCCAGCUCGCAGCCGCUGCUACUGCCGCUGCUGCUACUGCCGCCACUGCUGCUACUGCCGAGCUCGUCCGCCACCAGCGGCACCGCGGCCAUGGCUCGCUGUAGCAGUGACGCCGCCCUGCGUGGUGCGUGCGUGUAUGUGGCGGCAGUAGCAGCAGUUGCGGCAGUGGCAGUAGCAGGUUAAGCGGCCAUGCAGCACCGGCAUGUGGUGGCAUAUUGCUGUAGUGGGGUAGGGUACCUGACAGGGAGCUUGGCAGUACUCACCAAGCCGUAGGACCCCUAUCCACCCACCCACCCACCCACCCACGCACCCACCCACCCACGCACCCACCCACGCACCCACCUGGUCGGGGGCAGUCCCAGUGCCGCUGCCGCCGCUUCCGGACUCAGCCGCGCAGGCAGCCCAGUGUCGGGGUCGAGCGGGCCAGACCUGUGUGUGUGUGGGGGGGGGGGGGGUGCGUGUGUGUGAGGCGUGUGUGGGUUGUGUAUGUGUGGCGUGUGGGGGGUGAGGUGGUGGAGGGCACCAGGUGGGUAAGAUACACGCGGCAGGCGGACAUGCACCGCGCGGGAGCAGAGGCACUUCGCCCUUCUCCGUAAUCAACACAUGCAGCCACCCAUCAAUGGAGCCUCGUGGCUCCUACACUGACCGCCCAAACACACAUGUGCACACCCAAACACACCCAAACACACACGCACACACACACACACACCCACACACACACACCAGAAGACGGUGGUCAGCACCCGCCGCCGCAGCGCCUGCUCCCGCGCCCCCGCCGACAGCAGCAGCGCCACCACCAGCUCGUGCUGCGUGGAGGCAGUAGCAGCAGCGGCAGUAGCAGUAGCAGCAGCAGCGGCAGUAGCCCAGGUGGCGGGCGGGGGCUGCGCCAGCGGGUCACCGCGCGGCAGGCUCUCCAGCUGUGAUGGUGAUGGUGGGGGGCAGUAUGCGGGGAAAGGGAGUCAAGGGACUUGUUCGGUGGGUGGUGGUGGGGUGUGGGUUGGCAAGUGGCCCCGGGGCAAGGAGUGAAUCCGGCCACUCCUGAGUCAGCCCACUGCAACUCGCUCCACCAUCAUCCGCCGCGGUCAUACCGCCCACAGACUGCCCCCUUGCCCCUACCCCAGUCACGACCCCAGUCGUACUCGCACAACCGCACAUUCCCACACAUUCUACACACACACACACAUUCCCUCCCACCCACCCACCCACACCCACCCACCCACCCACCCACACACCCACCCGCUCCCAGUGGUGUCGGUCUGGCUGCGUGGUGACGUCGGGGCAGCAUCGCGCCACGUGGCGGGCGAUGUUGGCGGGGGUGGCGGCGGAGAUGGAGCAGGCGGGGCAGUGGUACGACACGCGGGUGGCGCGGCGGGCGCGGGAGGCGGCGAUGCGGGCGGCGAUGACCUCGGGAGGCGUGGAGGAGGAGGUGGAGGGGGAGGGGGAGGGGGAGGAGGUGGGCCUGGAAAGGGCGUCAGAGCCAGUGCUGCUGGUGCAGGGGUCGCUACUACUAGCGUGGCGUGGUUCGGGCGCGGCGGGACUCGCCGCCGCCGCCGCGGCGGGGGCUGGCGUUUGGGCGGAUGAGGACGCCAGGCAGCUCAGCGGCCGAAGGAGUUGGAGGUGGGGGUGGGGGUGUGGCGACGGGUGUGCUGGGCCGCUGCCGGUCGGUGACCGUGCCGCUGGCGUGCCGUUGUGGCGUGGGCGCGCCCAGGCGCCUGCUGGCCCGCAGGGUGUUUGCGUCCCCGCGGCAGUAGCAGCAGCGGCAGCAGAAGCGGCGGCGGCAUUUGUGGGAGUCAAGAAUGGAGAGGCCGCGUGAGGCACUCGGGGCAGCCCCUCACGGCUGGUGCCGAGGCGGCGAGGCGCAAGGGAUGCGAACGCUGCGGGUGGGCCACACGCGAGUGCCUGAGCGCGGCCUGUGGAGGGCCACGCGGUCGGCAGGCUGCAUGGAUGCCCAAUCACCAUAGUUGAGGAGAUACUAUAAGCGCACAACCCGAAGCCAGGGCGAGGCGCCAAUGCAAGCAAGAAUCCGCGCCGUCAACUUAAUCCUAGCAAGGAAGUCUGUUUAUACAAAAUUGAUGGCCGAAUAUGUAAUAUGUAUUGCUUAAUGCGGACAGAGAGCGAGCCCGUCUGAAAUGCACGUUCCUCGCGCAAAGGCUGGAGUUAAGGUCCCGCAGGACAGACGCCAUAUAAUUCAGCUCUAUUACAAAGCCAAACAAGGCGUACAAGGUGUGCAAAACCAUACCGGCCUGCCGGAUCCAAGGGCGAUCGCGGGCGCGAGCGCACGACGCUCGCCGGCUCGCCGUGUCGAUAGAAGGUCAUCAGCCAGCGAAUCUUGAGCAUGUAUCAUAUACAGCCACUGUUUGACAGGCAAGCCCGCCAGUCACGACGUCAAACGUCGUUAGACCAGAAGUCAAAGCGACACGGUGCGCCGUAACCGGCCGGCGCGGCUGCAGCCUGCAGGGCGCGCAUUCCAGACCCAAUGGCGACCUCCUGUAAGCGCUCUAUAGUACUUAUAGUCAUCGCGACUCUUUGCGCUGCAAUGGGCGCUAGCGGCUGGCGUCUAAUGGACAAUCCAUCUCGGACAUCUUCCGGGCGACCUCCUGCGCCUGCUGCUUCCGCGGCUCAACAGCUCCCGCCAAUUACGCUGGUCGUGUUCGGCGACUCCUUGUCUGACACCGGUAAGGAGCCUGCUAGGGGUCUCAGCGUGUGUCAACUGGACAUAGUGGACAGGGGUUGACGGGCGAGGAUGGGCGCCACGCGGCCACGCCCCUGCCAUUACUCAUCGCCAACCCUGCCGUCGACCUGAGCCGCCCUUUCAUCCCUCUCCCUUGCUGCCUCCCCUCUCCCCACCCAAGCCUCCACCCCUUACCCAUCCACCCAACAAUCCCCCCAAAUAUUUCCUUGUCUUUGCAGGCAACGUCUUUUCUGCCACACACGGCAUGGUGCCCAACCCCGACGUCUAUUUCAGAGGCCGCUUCUCCGACGGCCCCAUCUGGGUCGACCACUUAGCCGCCAUUCUCAGCGGCGGCGGCAAUAACGGCACUAGCAACAGUAGCGGCAGUAGCCGCGGCAGUAGCAGUACAGUCACCGGGCGGCGGGAGGUGGUGGUGCGGGUGUUCGCGUACGGCGGCGCCACGGCGUGUGCGGGGCAGGGGCUGUCCCGCCAGGUGCCCGACCUAGACACGCAGGUGCGCAGCUUCCUCGAGGGCCGGCCAGGCGCCGACGCCAGACCCACCACCACCACCACCACCUCUACCCCAGCCACCUCACAGCCCAGCACUGCCGCCGCCGCCACCGCCACAAACACGACCACUGCCGCCGCCGCUGGCCAACCGGCAGCCGGCGCCGGCGUGGGGGCCGGCGACCGCGUCUUUGUGGUGUUUACAGGUGGGCGGCGGCAUGCACACGACGUGUGUGCUUGCCUCUGAGAGAGCGCAAGAGGGAUUCACUCGUCGGGACUGAAAAGGCGCUCCUACGGCUGCCAGGGCGCUCCCCUUUGAACAACCGACGAGACCAACCCACCUCCCGUGUGCACCCCCGCCCACAUUGCACACCCUUUCCACACUCGGCCAUACACAUUUCCUCAGCCCGUCCCCCAUACACACACAAACGCACUCCCCCCACUCCCCCCCCCCACCCCACACACACACACACACAGGCCACAACGACCUGCUGGGUCUGGCCCCCGCCGCCUGGUCCGACCCCUCCGGCGGCGCCGUGGCGGCGGCCGUGGCCAACACCACCGCCUGCCGCACCGCCGCCCUGCAGCGCCUGCUGGCCGGGCUGACCACAACAACAUCAACAGCAACGACACCCGCCACAACGACGGCGGCGCACACAGCCGCGCCUGCUGGCGCCAUCAGUAGUGGGAACAGCAGCAACAGCAGCAACAGCGGCAACAGCGGCAAGAGCAAUGGUGCCGGCGGCGGCGACGCAGACGGACAGCAGCCGUACCGCCGGGACCGGGUAGUGGUUUGGAGCCUGGCGCCCGUGGAGUCGGCGCCGGCGGUGCCUGAUCAGGACCGGCCCGCGGUGGCGGCGGCGGUGGCGGCGGUGAACGCCGCCAUUAAGCCCAGCCUGGCGCCGCUGAGGGAGCGCUAUGGCGCAGCCGCAGGCAGCAGCGGCAGUAGCACCAAUAGCAGCGGCAGUGGCAGUAGCAGUGGCGCGGGAGCUGAAGGCGGGCAGCAGCAGGGCCAGCGGCGGGUGCUGAGCCUUGAGAGCUACGACCUGCAUGCCGGGGUGGCGGCCGCGCUGGCUCGGGCCGCUGAGCUGGGCUUCACACACCCGCAGGAGCCGUGCCUGCGCGAGGAUGAUUACAGCCCAGAGGUGAGAGGUGUGUGUGGUGGGUGGGUGUGGGAGGGAGGGAGGGAGGGAGGGAAGGUCCGGCAUCACCAUUGCUCCGUCAAGGCAGGAGGGAUGGUACGGUGUGGUGCGGUCGGGACACAUCGGCUCAUUGCCAUGCCGCGGGCCGCGCGCGGGCGCCCUGCUGCUGCUGACCCACUACUGCCGCUGCCCCCACUUGCCCCCACAGCAGCAGGCGCCCCCGCAGGCACAAGCCGGCGCCGCCGCCGGCGGCAGCAGUGCCACGAGCGGCGCCGCCCGCCGCCAGCAGCAGGCCGGCGCCCCAUUAAACCGCUCCUCCGCCGCACGCAGCAGCAGCUUCACUAAGGUCCUGAAGACCAACACCACCAGCAUCAACACCACCCAUGGCACCCAUAUUGAUGUCGACAACGGACCAGACGCGGACGCCGGCUCUGUGUCUGCCGUGCUGGCUGCGGAGGCGCUGACUGCGGCCCCCAGCUCCCGCUGCGCCGCCCCCGCCACACACGUGUUCUUUGACGGCGUGCACCCGACCAGCCGCGCGCACCUGCUGGGCAUUGCGAGGGGCUUUGCGGAGUGGGGCGGAUGGCAGCGGUGAGGCAUAAUGCAGCGGGGUAGGGCAGCGAUUGAUCGAGGGGUGAUGGGGUGCGUGGUGGACAGUCGUGUGUACAUGCCCGAUCUAUAUAUCCCAAAGCUGGUGGGGAUGGGAUGGCCGUAUGGAUGCGGCGUUUCAAGAAGGGAGUAGGCGUAGCGGAGGGGGAAGGCAAGGCCACGUGGAGGAGGAGAGCACGGCGCCGCCCGAGAAGCGGCGCUGGCGUGCAGGUUGGGACCUGCCGGUGUUGUGUCUACGGUAGGUCUUUGGUGGCGAGCAUAGCGUGGCAGGGUGUGUGGUACUGUUCGGGGACAUGUCAGGCUGGCGCUGCCUACCUGUACAAACCGACGCCGGCUAUAGGGGAAAGGUGGCGGGGUGCCCACUUUUUGCACGAGAGGCAAACAACCCACUUUCUUGUCAACGCUAGUAGCUUCGUCCAAGUAGCAGCACGCAUCGCACAUCACACUCGCACGCACAUGCGAGAGACUCGAGAGCCGGGCGCUGUGUGUGCAUCCAGGCGAGACCGCAUGCCAUACUUUAUGCGGCAGUAUGCGAGUGGCAUCAUGAUGCUGAAAGUAUGCGAGUGGCAUCAUGAUGCUGAAAUAUUCCACAGCGACUUGCCUGAGCGCUCCGGGUCGGGGCCUCGGUCAUGGCUGCAUGUGAUGAGGAUUGAGUGAAACGAGAACGGCAGCGUGCCAGAGACCCCUCAAAUGCUUUUGAUUUUCAAUGUUGAUGGGUUAUUGGUGGCAUUCUAAUUGCUUGCGGGGCCGUGGGGCAGGUCGGAGUUUCAUUGUGGAUGGACAGGUAGCCCAGUUCUACUGGUUGCCUGGCCGUUCGUGACGAGGCAGGCCCUCGUGCGCAAUAGGAUGAAGACUAUUUGUUUGUGUGCCAGCAGCGCUUUCCGGGUGUCUGAGCGCGGCUCCUAUUGCAGUAAGAGUUUGAGUCGAGCGUGUGGAUGGCUGUGUCGACGGUUGAUGUGGUGUGCGCUCAGUUUUGCGCCUAUGAUGUAAUCCUGGGUAGCUCGACACAUCUUGUUACCGAUUGUCCAAUUCGCACCAGGGCUUACUUCGCGCAAGAAGGGAGGUGUGAGCUUUGCAUGGUCCCACCUGCAUAUACUCACUCGAACAAAUUGCGAAGCUUGAACAUUGCCCGUUUUAAGACAUAUAACCGUGUUUGAGGAUGUAUCGCGCAAACAUAGUUGUCGCGGUGUGCGCAUUUGCACUGCUCUUGUCAGCAGCUCACGCAGCGGACAAGACGGUGUACCAGUAUGUUAUCUUUGGAGACAGCGUGACCGAUACAGGCGAGUUCUCGUUAGCUGGAGCGAGGAGUUGUUAGCUGGAGAUUUCAUCCGGUUCCGAGCUGAGCCACCGAUUCGGGAAUCUUGAGGCUCUCAUGCUUUUGCCAUGAUCUACAUCACGUAUGGCUCGGCUUGCUCCUGACCGCGCCACUAAGCGAUGGCGCGAAUGGCAUGCGUUAGUUGCAACCUGGCACAAAGCAUAAUGCUGCUUUGAUAAGUGCACAUCUGCGUCUGUCUCGCGACCUUAUCGAUGAGGUUGUCAGGAUGUGACCCCCGCCUUCGCCGGGGACACCCUCUCGCACACUGCGCCACCUUCGCUGCACCUCCGCGGCCUUCGCGUCCCCGGCCCGACCCUGCCCACGUACCCAUCAGCCCCGCUGCCCUUUCCGGUCCUCGCGUCUCCCCUGCGCAGGCAACGUCUUCCGCGAUGGCGGCGUGCCGGACCCGCUGAUCUACUACAAGGGCAGGUAGGAGGGACGGCGGGCAGCGGCGGGCUUCCUCUUCGGCGUGCGCGUGUACCUUACAUGCUGUGGCGGCACGGGGUCGCUACGGGGUUCGCAACACGUAUGUGCUCCAGUCGAGCUGCUUUGUGGGCAAGGCCAUGGCGGCUUUGUGCUUGCAAAGGUCUUGCCAGCCUGGCGCAGAUCCUUGCAGCGUCAGGCGUGCGGCACCCGCCUACCUGCUGCUGCUGGCUGCCUGGCGCGCUUGCGGCCGACCCCCUUCCCACCUCUCCCACUACCCGCCCCUACUCGCUCCCACCUCUACCGCUACCCGCCCCUACCUGCUCCCACCUCUCCCACUACCCACCCCUACUCGGUCCCACUGCCCGCCCCCACUCGCUCUCUCUCUCCCACCUAAUCGCUCCCACCUCUCCCACCGCACCGCAUGCCGGCCAACUCAACGGCCACGUCCCGCUCCACCCAGCCCACCCCUGUAUGCCGCGCGCCCGCUGCCUCCCCCUCCCACCCCCUCCACACCCUCAUCCCGUACAGGUUCACCAACGGGCCCAACUGGGUCGACUACUUGAACCAGUCGCUCAGCGCCAAGCACAAAGUGCAGGUGGGGGCGGGGGAGGGGCGCAGGGGCGCGGGCAGGGGGAAAGGAAUGCUGUGAGCCGUGCGUGACGAGCCUCAAGUGGGUACGGUGCGGCGAGGCUGGGUGCAUGGAUGGCCAGGGUCAGGGGCACGAGCAGUGGAGCGUGGAGGUGGCGGGAAGGCCGCGGCGGACUUGAAGCGCGCGUGUCGCGUGCCGCCCCCUUCGGAGCGCCUGACAGCCCGCCGCCCCGCCCCCUGUUUGCAACCACGUCGCAGAUCUUCAACUAUGCGACCGGAGGUGCGGAUCCGUGGCCUGGCCGUGCCUUGCAGGGGCGGCGGCGGCGCCGGCGGCGGCGCCGGCGAGGCGGGGGGUUACGCAGUAGUGCGGUCCUGGCGGUCCUGCGGUGCUGGCGGUGCUGGGGGUGUUGGUGGUGCUGGUGGUGUGGGUGUAUUGGGCUGCAUUGGGCUGGUGGCGCCGCUGGUGUCCAGCGGGGCGCCGCCCCCGUCAUGCGACACCCAGCCACAUUCCUGGUGUGCGUGUGUGUGCGUGUGUGCGUGCAGGCGGUGUUGCUUGCAGCUUCAACCUGAACAACACCCGCUACCCGUGAGUACGCAGCGGUGGCACCCCUGCCUCCUUGCACCCCUGCCUUGCACCGCUGCCUCCUUGCGCCCACGCCUCCUUGCACCCCGGCCUGCCUUGCACCGCUGCCUCCUUGCGCUCCUGCCUCCUUGCACCCCGGCCUGCCUUGCACCGCUGGCAACCGUGCAGUAUGUGUUGCUUUGCACGUCCGGCGCCUGUGUAUGUUUGGUGACCCCAUGCUGCUGCCGGUGCGGAUGUGCUGAUGUGGUGGCGGCGCAGGUAUGCCCGGGACGCCGUCAACCAGACUGGGAGUGAGUUUGCGUGUGUGUGUGUGUGUGUGUGUGUGUGUGUGUGUGUGUGUGUGUGUGUGUGUUAAAAAACGAAAGCCCGUGUGUGUGUGUGUGUGUGUGUGUGUGUGUGUGUGUGUGUGUGUGUGUGGGCUUGGCCCCAGCUCCGCAAGUGCAUUCUGCGGAGGGUUUCCAAUGGGUGGAACCCGCGUUACCGACCAUUCCCACGAUGCACCCAAGCCCACACGACCCAGGCAGCCACCCAACACACACCUCCUGAAUCCCGCACUACCGUACUCCCACGGCCCCGCAGACUUCCUCGCUGACCUGGCUCGCGGCAAGGUGCCCACCACAAAGUACACCCGCCGCAUCUCCGUCAGCUGGUUCGCCGCCAACGACAUCACCGUGAGCCGUUGCGGUGCUGCGACUUUGACAUUGGCAUUGGCAUUGGCAUUGGCAUAGACAUAGACAUUGGUAUUGACCUUGGCAUUGACAUUGAUAUUGGCGCGUUGUGUGGAGAUGGGGUUUCUUACCAUCCAAACCGCUACCACACCUCGCUUGAUUGCAAAAGCACACAAUCUCGAUCACGACCACGCACACAGGUGGCGCUGUCGCGCGCGCUGACGUCGGGUGUUGACGCUGCCACCGCGGUGAGUGAGGCGGUGUGUGUGUGUGUGUGUGUGUGUGUGUGUGUGUAUGUGUGUGUGUGUAUGUGUGUGUGGUGGUGGUGGUGAUGGUGGGGUUGGCUGCUCAAGGCGCCGUGUCCACCGUAUCCUGACAGGCUCGUGCUGGGCUUGGGGGACCGUCCGUAGCAUGCCUGGCGCACGCUCGCACGACCACCCCCAGACGCUCGCAGCCAUGCGUGUCAGUCGCCCCCACACCCUCACCCCCACACGUGUGUUUACCCGCUCACCGCAACACGCCCACUCCCACACUCCCCACCCCUCUUACAAUCGUUUCCGCGCCCACUCCCAACCCUCACACGCCCCCUGCCUUCCCUGGCUACGCCUUCACUUAUGAAAUAAUCAUGACUGUAACUCUCACACACACCAUCACGUACACACGCACACAGGGCCGGCAGAUCGUGUCCAGCCUGGCCACCUGCCUGUCGCAGCACGUGGGAGCGCUGGCGGCCUCCGGCGUGCGCGAGGUGGUGUUGCUGCCGCAGUCGCCAGUGCAGGUGGCGCCGCUGGUGCCCGACUUCCUGCGGCCCAGCGUGAGUGCGUGCGUGUGUGUGUAGCCCAUGUGUGUGUGUGUGCAUGUGUGUGUGCAUGCGUGUGUGUAUGUGUAUGCCUGUGUGUGUAUGUGUAGGCCAGUGUGCGUGUGUGUCGAGGCCCCUCCGCCUGGUGCUUUCCUUGAGGGACUGGUGCUUUCCGCCGCCACCGCCACGGCCAUCGCCACUUGAUGGCUCGUGCCAGCGGGCAGCACACUUGCCGCGAACGUGCCGCGCAUCACUGACACUGGCACUGACACACAUGGUCCCGACGGACACCCGCGCGUCGCCCGCAUGCGCACCACCACCUCCACCACCACCACAACCACAAUCACCACCACCGCACACACACACACACACACACACACACACACACACACACACACACACACACAGGUGGCCCAGCUGGUGGACGCGGUGGACGCCGCUCUGGUGCAGGCGAUGGCGGCGGUGAACGCGCAGCUGGAUGCGGCGCCGGCGGGCAGCCCCGCCGCGGGGGCGCACGUGUACCUGCUGGGGGACAGGUGGGGGCGGGAUGGGGGCGGGGGAUGGGGGGCCGAUGGAGGGAGGGUGGUGGUCUCGCCGUACUCACUGAGCAACAGGAGACGCCACCAGAACAAGCAAGACUGCAUAGCCGCUACGUAGCUGGUGACCGUGCAUCGCCCUUCACCCCGACUUAGCCUGCUGGAUCCUGCAACCCCACACGCCACGCCCCCUCAAACCCGACCCCCCUCCCCCCACACACACACCCUCCUACCCCCCCCCCACACACACACACGCACGCACUGCAGCAAGUGGAUCGGCCGCAUCGCGCCCGCCGUCCGCCCGGCCUUCAAAUACAUGGGCGACAGUGAGUGGCAGAGGAGGGGGGCAGGGAGGGGAGGGAGGGGAGCGGAGGGGUUUAGCAUUGUACAAUGCCGAGUAGAGGGGACUGGGGGUUGCUCCGCAAACGCCGAGUCUGACCCUGUUGCGUCCUGGGGUCGCAACCAGGUGCAUGGAACUGAGAACUGAUGAUUGCCGCACCGCGCAAAGCAGCAUGCUCAUUCCUGCUCUCUCUCACACACACACACACACACGCACACACACACGAACACACACACACACACAUGUGAACAUACGCACAUCUGCUUGCGCAGUCGCAUGCUGCAGUGCCUACCCUUCCCUUGUCCUUUCCAAACGCGCUGCUGCUGUGCCGCACCGCACCGCUGUGCCUGCGCACGCGGGUGUGUGCAGGGUCUUGCUUCACCAACCCGGACUCCUCCAUGCGCAUCACGCCCGGCCUGGCCGACCGCAUCUGCACCGACCCCAACGACUACGCCUUCUACGACGAGGUGGGGGGGAGAGAGCGAGAGAGAGAGAGAGUGUGUAGGGUUGUGUGGCUGUGUGUGUGUGUAGAGGGUUGUCUUAUGGAGCACAAGGAAACCAAAGCGCAAAGACAGUGUAUGCGAUGCCGCCCGCGUGAAUGUAACAACCCCCCCCCCCCACACACACACACACACACACACACGCGUGCGCCACCCCGCAGAUCCACCCGACCACCAACUUCCACAAAGCGUGAGUCCGCCGGGGGCUUGUGUGUCGGUGUUGGGGUUGGGAUUGGAAUUGGUGUGAGUGUUGGUGUUGUGGUGCUUUGCUUGCCACGUAGGGGGGGUUGGCCACUAGAUGGCGCAGAGCGCCCCGCUGCCCCCCGCUGCCCCGCCGGCUCUACUUCAUACCGUACGUGCGGCCGCACCAACACUGCUGAUAAGGCACCCUGUGCCCCCCGCCGGCACCCCAUACCCCUCGCCGGCACCGGAAGCCUCAUCCCAAGCCACACACACACACCCACGUCCACACACACACACACACACACACACACUCCCACGUCCACACACACUCUCCCACGUCCACACACACACACACACACACACACACACACACACACAGUCCCAAGUCCACACACACACACACACACACACACAUACACACUGCCAAGUCCACACACUCCCAAGUCCACACACACACACACACACACACACACGUCCACACACGCCCGCAGGUACGCGCUGGACGCGCUGCUGCCGCGGCUGCAGCUGUUCCGCCUGGCGCCGCGGGACGUGUAGGUGCAGGUGUAGGGGCAGGUGUAGGGGCACGUGUGGGGCCGGCGGGGUGUCGACAGCGGCAGUCUGGCAGAUGGAGAUGGAGUGCUGGACAAGAGAAGGCGGCCGCCCACCUGUGAUUACCGGGAUGCCGUCUGCAUGCGUGCGUGUGCUGAGUGUGCGGGCUGCACAGCAAUUAGUGCGGGUGCGCCGCGGCGUGCGAAGAAAUCUUUUGAGGGACGAAGAUUUUGAGAUGUCAUGCAUCACGAAGAUGGCCAAGCCAGCGGUGUGCGGCUGCGUUGACAUGCAGUCAUGCGAAUUGACCACUGGGCACUUGGGCAGGCGGAGGGUGGUUGGGGGAGGAGUAAGGUAGGGGGGGACAUGGCAGGCACAAGGUGUCUGAUGGGCACGUGCAGGGUUGGGGCUGGGUGGCUUCUCGGAUGGGCGGCGAAGAUGCCGCGGAGAUGUGAGACGCGCGUGCGACACCCGGGUGCAUGCGUGUGUGAUUGUGUAGGCUGCUGAGGUGCUGCCCACAGGCUGGCUGUGCGCAGUGGUGGUGUGGGCAGUGGUGCUGUGGCCCAGUGGCAAGCGGCGUGUCCGUGUCCCCGCCGGCUGUGUCCGUGUCGGCACGUGUGUGUCGGUGUGUGUCGGUGUGCGGCGCAUCUACGUGAAUACGCUUACAGACACGGUACCCGCACAACCUGCCGGCAGCUUGGCCGACACUCAAGUCCCGCCCACCCCCAUUCCCUGUAAAGCGACCCAGGAGCACAGCUCGGUCUGCUCUCCAUCCUGAGCACAGCUCUUCAUCCUCCAAGCAUAAGCGCACAGCACCCCAGAGCAACACGUUCACAGGUGCUGCACAGCCCACCUCACCCCCGCCACCCACCACCACCGGGCCCUCUGGCACUCCUGCCGCCUUCCUCCCUCUCCUUCCCCCUCCUCCCUCUCCUUCUCCCCCUCCCCCCUCUCCCUACUGGUCCUGCUGCUGCCCCGCCCGCCGCCGCCCCUCCCGCCCCUCCCGCCCCUCCCGCCGCUGCUGCUGCUCCCACAGCUCCGCCUCCACCACCACCAGCGGCUCGCCGUCACUGCCCACGUCACUGCCACCACCCGCGUCAUCAGCGCCAUCCAGCCGCCGCGACCUGGCCCGCACCCGCCCGCCGUCGCCGCCCGCGCCGCCGCCACCGCCGCCGCCGUAGAUGUUGUUGUAGCUGCCGUAACCGUACGAACCGUUGCUGCUGUGGGAUCCAGAUCCGAAACCGCCGCCGCCGCCGCCGGUUCCGGCGGGCGCGUCGCGGUAUGCGUAGCUGCGGCUGCUGCGCAUGGUCGCCUCCACCUCCGUCACCACACCGUCCUGAAUAAGACAUGGGGGGCAGGAGGCAGGCGACACAGCGGCCCAGGUCGCAAUGUGUUGUUUGGGGACUUUCGGGGGCUGUCAGAUGGGGUGUGUCACACCUCAAGGGAGAUGAUGCCACACAUUCCAGCCUUCUACGCCUGCCCGCCGGAGGUACCCGGCACGAGCCCCGCACCCCAUCCCGCCGUGCCCCUGCAAAACCCCCCACCCCGCCAACCCAGACCCCCCGCCCUCCCGCACGUGCCUUGUCCCGGUCAACGUGGUCAAACAGGAAGUCCAGCUGCGCGUUGGUCAACGCCACGUGGCGCGGCAGGUGCCGCCGCAUGCCGCGACGGAACGCGUCGCGGCCCACACCCGCCGCCACACCCGCCGCCGCCGCGUCAGCGCCCGUACCGCUGCCGGGCCCACCGCCCAGCAGAAACCCAACGGCCCCGCCGCCGCCGCUGCCACCACCGUGCUGACUGCUGCCGUGUCCGUGUGUAUGCCCGUGUCCGUGACCGUGCGUGUGUGCCGCCUCGGCGAACACGGCCUUCAUGGCGUGGGCGAUGGGCUCCAGGUCGUCGCUGUGCUGCAUCAGGAACGUGCUGCGUGUGUGGGGGGGGAGGAGGGAGGAGGAGGGAGAGGAGGGGGUAAGCUCUGAACCAAUCCCGUAAGGAAACAGUCGCGCAGUCGGGGAGGGGGGAGGAAGAGGGGGAACGGGGCAGACGGGGGAGGUAUUGUUUUCAGUUUUCACCAUGCCCAACAAGGAACCAGGGACACGCGGACGCACGACCACACUAGGCAAGCGGUGUGGCGGUGAUGGUUGGAGGGGGCGGGCAGGAGUGCAGGACAAGAGGGAGGGGCAGCGGGAUGAGGGGGGAGGCAAUACUUCAUUCCGGAGCCCAUGAACCGGAAAAGCAGUACAGGAGCUCAUCAACCCAAGCCCGGGCCCGUCGAGCACGCAGGAGGGGAGCAAGCGAAGAGGUGUGAGUACAGUAGUAGGUUAUGGUUGAAGGGGUUGGCAGAGAAUCCUUUUAUGCUUGGCUUGUACCUGGGUUGCGCCUGGGUUGUACCCACCUGUCAUGCUACAGCGCCCGGCCGCUGGCAGUGUUCAAGCCCCACCCCCACCCCUCCACCAACCCCCCUCCCUCUCCCCCUCCUCCCUCUCCCCCAUCUCCUCCCCGCCUCCAAUCCGGCCGCUCACCGCAGUGCCGCGAUGUUGGCUGCGUCACGGCGGCUCUGCCUCAUGGCGCGACUGGUGAAUGCCCACAUGAACACCGGGUAGGAGGCAGCGGCCAGGAACACGGAGCCGGUCAGGAUGGAGCGGAAGGCGCCGGGGGCCUCCUGGGGGGGGGGGGGCGGCGGGGGUUGAGGUUGGGGCGUGUGUGAGUUUGUGGGCGGGGGUUGAGGCUGGAGUGGGGUGGGGUGACAUGGGAGGAGCAGGCAUGCGUGAGAGCAUGAAACGACCCUUGGUGAAUCCGGAUCCUCUGACCCGCUCCCGCCCCCGCCCCCUUCUCCCUUUUCCCCGCCCCCGCCCCUGGCCCUGCCCCCGCCCCGGCCCCCGCCCCCGGCUCCCUUCCUCUCCCCCUCCCCUUCAUCUCCCCCUCCGCCUCACCUCCCAGCCGGUCUGCACGUUCAUUCCGAAGAAUGACGAGGGCAUGGUUGCCAUCUGCAUGUGCAGGUUGUAAGACAGUGUUUGGGUGUGGGUGAACAAAGACAAGUAUGUGAAUGUGUGUAUGCGCAUUGAUGCGUGGAAUGGGGUGAGCAGGAGGCCGCCCCCCCCCCCCCCGCGCCCCUAUCCCCCCUCAUCCUCCCAUCCCCUCCCCCCAUUCGGGGAUGGGGACUAUUGUCGCGUGUCUCCGUUGUCAAGCAUCGGCCACGCUCUCCUCCUCGCUCUAUUGCAUUGGAUUGUGUUUAGUUUGGGCUGGUAUCUACACCCCCCACCCAAAGUCCGCCCCCCCCCGCCCACCAUCAUGGACAGGCUUGCCACGCUGAUCCACAGGUUGACCAGUAUGAUGUGGUUGCGGCUCGAGUCCAGCUGCAUGCGGUACGUCUCGCUGGCGGGGAAGGGGGGAGAGGGGGAGGAGGGCAGGGGGUUACAUUCAUGAUCAUUCAAGAAGUGAAGGCGUGGGGGGAGGAGGGAGAGGAGGGGGAGAGAUUGAAGGACAAGAAGCUGAUCUGGGGAUUCAUUACUGAUUACCCCCCCCCCCCCAUACUUUCCACCCCUCCCCUCCCCCCCUUGUCCCCUCCCCCCCCCCCCCUGCCCCCCCCCCCCCCCGGCCCCCCACCGUGUGCUCUCCAGGUAGUCCUCCGUCUCCAGCAGGGCUCCCACGAUGGACUCCACCUCGCGCAGGUAAGCCUCAAGGAUGCGGCCCGCGUUCUCAAGAGCCUGAGCAGGAGGCAGGGGGUGGAGAGGUUGUGGGUGAGAUGGGAGUGGGUGAUGGGAAUGGGUGAGGAGAGGUAGGGGUGUUGGAGCGGCGUCAAAUUACAUGUAUGGGGUGGUGCAAAUCCCGCCCCCAACCCCUUAGUCCAGUUAAGUUUGGGCUGGUAUCUACAAUCCCUCCCGUGCCGGACGCACCUCCUUACGCGCCGCCUCCCUCCUCGCCACAGGGUCCUGGCUGCCAAUGGGCGGCACCGUAACGCCCACGACCCGCCGUACGCCGCCGCCACCAGCCGCCGCCGCCGCCGCGGCGCCGCCGCCGCCACCGACCAUGGAGGGGGGGAAGGACGCGGCCGCGGCGGUUGUCGACGAUGUAGACGCAGGCGACGACGAAGCGGGCGAGUAGGAAAAGGGGUAGGAGACAGAAGCGGCCGCGCCGGCUGCGGGCGUGGCCACCGUCUGCUGCUGCGCCUUGCCCACACCCGCCCCACUCCCGCCACUGCCACUCCCGCUGCUACUGCCGCCGCUACUGCUACUGCCGCCGCUACUGCUACUGCCACCGCCGCUACUACUGCCGGGCACGCGGUACUGGUCUGACGUGGCGAAGUCGCAGGUGCCCAGUGUGAACUCCUGGGGCUGACCAGUGGGGCACAGCAGCGGCGUGUAAUACCCGCCGCCGCCCCCCGGACCGCCGCCGCCGUACAGCCCCCCCGGGCCGCCGCCGUACAGGGGCGCGGGGAGGGACAGCAGCAGCGAGCCCAGGGCCUCCGAGUCGUCCUCCAGGAACUGUGCGUGUGUGUGUAGGGGGGUUGCGCGCGCGUGUGUGUGUGUGUGUGUGUGUGUGUUGGGGGCUUGUGUUUGUGUGUGAGCGCGCGUGUGUGUGUGUGUGUGUGUGUGUGUGUGUGUGUGUGCGUGUGUGUGUGAGCGUGUGUUGUGUUGUGUGUGUGGGUGUGUGUCGGGGAGGGGGGCUAGACAGGCAAGUACCGGUAAGGCAGGCACACAGGCAGACGCGUGUAAGCUCUGUGGGGGAGCCACUGCCCAGCUCGCGCGCACCUUUUUGAGCGCGUCGCACGUCUCCCGCGCGUCAUUGAGCACAGACGUCAGCACCUGCGUGUCAUGGGGUGUGUGGGUGGGGGUGUGUGUGAGGGGGGGGUACAGCCGCCGCGUGUGGGACCCCGUGGAGCCAGGUACACACGUGCCCAUGUGACGCCGGCCUUUGGUUGCCGGCCCCACAUCCCCGGAAUGAUGUCCCUACUAUCCAACUACCCCACUGCCCUAGUGCGGUAUUGCCGCCUCCCUGAACACACACGCACCCUAAACACACACACACACACACACACACACACACACACACAAAACGCACACACACACAAAACGCACACGCGCAAAGACACGGCUUCCACCACACAAACAAAUGUUCACACUCGCCUUCUCCAGCGGCGCGAACUGCUGCACGGUGGACUCGCCAAUGCCGCCGAAUGGGUCGCCCGCACCCAGCGUGCCCUGCGCCCGAGCCUGCCACCACCCCAGCAGCCGCCGCAAACCCCCCGGCCGAAUCAGGUUGCCCACGCUGCCAACCGCCGCGCCCAACGGCCCGUAACCGUAACCAUAGCCGUUUCCGUUGCCGCCGCCGUCGCUGCUGCUGCCCGGCCCGUCGUCACCGCCGCCGCCGGGGCCGCCGCCGCCGCCGGCGCCGUCGUCUGCGCCGCCGUGCGCCGCCACCUCCCAGGCCGGAGAGGCCCGCGAGCCGCCCACAAUGCGCUCCACCAUCCACUGUUGCAGUGCCGCACACACAUGUUUUCCUUGUGCUCUUUAACACACACACACGCAUUGGAGGGGUGGAUGUACACGAUAGUCAACGAGGGUGGGAGUCAUGGGAAUCCGUGCCACCGGUGUACACGUUGCCGCUGCCGCCGUCGGCAUACGGGGGAGCCAACGGCUUAUGGGGAAGCCACUCACACAGCCGCGUAUGUCCCCCUGUUGACACACACACGCACACACGCAGACACGCACACGCAGACACGCACACGCACACACAUACACACACGCAACCUCCCUACACACGCACACACACGCCCUUCACUCAAGCGCACAAAUGCACACACACACACACACACACACACACACACACACGCACAUACACCACACACACGCACACCUCGAUGUGGGCCCGGCGGCGCUCGAAGUACAGCAGUGUCACGUGCAGCAGCACCUGUCGGCGUGAAAGGGUGAAGGUGUGUGCGUGUGUGUAUUUCGCAGGCACAUGCGAAGGCGUGUGAGGCAGCUCUGCACAUAUCCCACCCACCCCUCGUGCCCACCCCUCCAACAAUCCUCUCCCUCGCCCUCUCCCCCACCUCCCUCCCUCCCUCCCUCCCCCCCCCACCUCCCCGCUGCCCCACCUCCAGCACGGACUGCUCGAAGGGCACGUGCGGCUGCGCCUCAAUGACCAGCGUCAUGGGCUUGAUGAUGUCGUGGAAGUCACGGUCACGCCUGGGGGGGGGAGGAGAUGGGGGAGGAGAUGGGGGAGGAGGGGGGGGGGGAUUGCGGCGGGGUUAUGUGGUUUGUGUGUUGAUGGGUGCAACAUCGGGCCGUGACAAGGCCUGGACCGCACUGCGCCCAUUGCCCGUCUCCCACCACCUCGCACCCACCACCCCGCUCCCACCACCCCGCCGGCCCGCCCCGCCCCGCCUUGACUGCCCUCCACCCUCCACUUGCCCCCUCGCGUCUCUGGCUUCUCGGAAAGUUACCCCCCCCCCCCUUCCCCCCACACACCUGUUCUCUGGGAACGGUGUCAAACACCCCCCACACGCACACACAUACACACCUGUUCUUUAUGAGUGUGACGCGGUCCCUCUCGAUGACGGCCUUUAUGGCCUCGGUGCGGAACAGGAUGCGGUCGCCGCGGGCCUGUGUGGAGAGAGGGAGACAGAGAGAGUGUGUGGAUGAGGGCGUGUGUGUCUGUGGGUAUAUGUGUGUGUGUCUGUGGAUGAGGGCAUGUGUACGCGCGUGUGUGUGUGUGUGUGUGUAUGAGGGCGAGAGUGAGGUGUGUGUGUGUGCACAACCGCGUUGCGGCUGCAGCUUAGGGCGAGCCCCAUGAGGCAUGAGAGCCGAACUCACACUCAAACGCUGAAAACAACCUCCCCUCUGCCCCCUCUCCCCUCUGCCCCCCCUCUCCCCUCUGCACCACCUCUCCCCUCUCCCCGUUGCCCCCUACUGCAUUAGGUUCGGUUUCGUUUGGUAUCUACAAACCCUCCCCCUCCCUCCCCUCCCUCCUCCCCACCGCUAUGGUGGCUCUCUGCGGGCUGAGCCGGCUGUCCGCCGCGAACAGCGACAGGUCGCGGCUGUGCAGCUGCAGCUCGGCGGCAGUCACGCCGCCGUUGGGCUCCAGCGUGCGCCCGUCGGACAGGAUCACAAUCACCUGCAGGGGUGUGUGUGUGCGGGUGUGUGUGCGGGUGGCGUGGGAGGCGUGUGUGCGGGGGGGGAGUGCGGGUGGGGCGAUGUGCGGUUGUGGUGCAUGUGUGUGUGUGGGAGGUAACAAGGCUGCACACACACACACACACACACACACACACACACACACACACACACACACACACACACACACACACACACACACACACACACACACACACAAACCGUCGCUUUGCUGCAUCGCAUACACUGUCUUUGCGCAACGUUUUCCUUGUGCUCUUUAACACACACACACACACACACACGCACACACACACACAUGGACACACACGGACGUAAUGCCCCCACCACGCGCACCUCGAACACGGUGCUCAUGCGCGCCCGGCCCAGGAUCUCCUGCACACACAGGUGCUGCAGCUGCAGACCGCUGCCCGAGCGCGGCGAGCCCCGUGGCGGCACGUGCCGCUGGGCGCCGCCGCCGCCGCCGCCGCCGCCGCCGCCGCCGCCUCGGCCCCGCCAGCCGCCGCCGACAUGAUUGCUACCACCUCCUCCACCUCCCCCACCACCACUGCCACCACUACCGCUACCGAGACUGCUACUGCCGAGGCCGCUACUGCCGUGGCCGCUGCUGUGGCCGUUGUCUUGUGCUGAUGACGCGGCGGCGGCGGAGGUGGCGGCGGCGACCAUGGAAGCUGUGGGGGCGGCGGUGACGGUGGCGAAGUGGGCGAAGCCGGAGGGCGGGGAGUAACCCGGAGGCCUGCGGUCAUAGCUGCUACUGCUGCUGGGGGUGCUGGGGGUGCUAGUGGAGCUGGUGCUACUGCCGCCAGUGGAGCUGGUUCUACUGCCGCCGCGGUGAAGGUGGCGGUGGUGGUGUAGGUCGUGGAGGCUAGUCAGGUGCGGGUGGUGCGGGUGGUGCUGGCGGAAGAGGUGCGGGCUACUGCCACGCACGGCCGUGCCCCGCCGUCGCCCCUGCUCCCCCUGCUCCCCCUGGUCCUGCAGCUGCUGCCACCCACUGCCCACCCCUCCGCCCUCCGUGCCAGUGGCCCCGCCGCUGCGCCCCGGGCCAAACGGGUACGGCACACUGCCGCUGCUGCUGGCAUGGCUGCUGCCGCCAGCACCGGCCAGGCUCAGCAGCCGAAGCUCAACGCUAGCUGAGCUGAGAGAUUCAGGGCCGCAGCCAACAGUUCUGGGGACCUGAGCUCCGGUGGGGGCCGGGGUGCUGGUGACAGCAUCAGCGCUGGCGGAGGCCACGACGGCCUGGGCGCAGGCAUCAUCCCGCGCAAACGCUCGCCGAAAGGCCGAGAGGCCCGUCUGUUGUGAAAGUCGCCCAGGGGCUGAUGUUGACGCCCCUGCGCUGCACUCGCACGCCGCAAGCUGCAGCAGCGCCGUUCCGAGCGUCUGCGAGCGAGGCAUCGCUUGCGUAAGUCGACUGAGCAGGGGACGGGCGCGAUGUAGAUACUUAUAAAGACAGAGUCAUUCUCGUCCUAUUUAGCUCGGCUUGCAAGCAGUAUAGCUGUCCUACGCGACGUUGGGGUUCUGGUUCUUGGGCGCGAUUCCGCGCUCGUUUGAAGAAGAGGUUGCAAUCAGGCCACAGUGCCAGUAUUGGUGAGUGUAACUAUCUAUUGACAUCCGAGGCUUCAAGUUGGCAGCCAUACAUCAGCGGCGGGCACGAAACCCUGCGCCGUGCCCUGCGCGUUCGUGCCUCUCGCCUUGCCUCUCGCGGGCGCGUCCUGCGCCGCUGCGGGCAACACCGGUUCCAGCGCGUUAUCGCGAGCGAAUCCAGACCCUUACAAUGUCUCACAUACACACAGAGCCUCUGUAUGGUCAAGGCCACCACAGCGCCACCAUGGUCAAAAGGUGACAAGCCAUCGAGAGUUUUAGAGGCCUUCCGUUGCGCCCCUCUCGGCAUCCCGAAUCCUGUUCCGCAACCCUGGCCUCCUCUGCACUCCCCUAUGUUUGACGACAUAAUGGUAUCUGAAUCAGUCUGUGCACAGCUCACGGGGUCGCCACGCUUGCUUGCGGCGGGACCAAUCAAGGCUUGCUCCCGCCGCAGCCCAUCUUGUUGCAGCACUGAACACACGCCCAUCGCAGCCCUGAGCACGUAUUUUAAUUUCACACCCUGAAGGGCAGUCGGCCAUGGGCCCAUGGCCUUUGACUCCACGUGUUCUAUGACCGGCUGCCGCCCCAGCCCCCAGGUUCACCCGCCGCUACUCCGCCAUAUCCAUUUAGUUGGGAGCGAGGCUAGCUAGCUAGGCGGGCAGCAGCCCUGCCAGCCGCAGGCUGGGCAGCACGCCGGUCAGGCCGAUGGCGGCGUGGAAGCGGGUGCUGGGGUGCAGCUGGUCUGUGUGGGUGGGUAUGCAUUGGGGGGGGGGCGGUUGCGGGGGUGGGGUGGGCCGGUAGGUGACGGUGGGGACAGGUGGGGGAGGGCGGGUUUGCGGCGGCAAUGGGAUGCGGCAUGGAUAGAUGCGUGAGGAUGCCACCGGCAGCAGGCAGCGCAGUGCAGUGCAGUGCAGCGGUCACGCACGGGCGUAUGAGGCGUGCAUGCAGGUGGUCGUCACGCACCGUAGAAGGCGCGGGUGUUGGGGUCGGGGCAGGGCACAAUGCCGGGCACCACCUCCAGCGCCACCUUCGGCUGGAUGAAGCACGGAGCUGCAUGCGGGGUGGCGGUGUGGGUGAGAGUAGAGGGGCGUGUGAGAAGUGGUGCGGGGAGAACGGAGCCUCAAAAGCCACAGCAGCACUGCCAGCUGCACCUAGCUACCCGCAUCGCUGCCGCGCCCGCAUCGCUGUACCACCCACAGCAAUACACAUACACACACACACACACAUGCUGUCACACACACAUUGUUUUCCUUGUGCUCUUUAACACACACCAGGGGUCGUAUCUUGUUUGCGGGGGAAUGUCUUGACCCAGACAUUCCUGGCCUCUGGAGCGGAAAUUUUUGUCAAGGGGGUAGACAAACAGGCCCCCAAAUCCACGAUUUUUUUGUCUAGACAAAGUGCCUUUGUGGAAGCCAUGUAAAAUGUCUAGACAUCUUGACAUGUUGCAAUUUCGCUUUUUCGCAACUGUAAACGGCGGCUUUUGUAUCUGUUUCACGCAGUGCAACACUAAUGAACAAGUCCAAAUGCGAUCAUAUGCACAGGCAUGUCGCAGCGCGUUUCCCCAAGCAACUCUGAGCCUUCGCUUGCCUGCGCGGCGUACAUGCUAUACCUGCUAACUGCUUGCUGUCACCGAAGUGCCGGGGCCAAAGCCAUGACCAGUCACAGUUCUACCGCACAUACACACAGGCAGAGCGCCAUCGCGGCCUAACCGCUUCCAGUUUAGUCAUCUUCACACGUCGGCACACACCCUCGUGCAUCGAAUCCCCAAUACACUAUCGUCCCUUCUUUCAACGUUUCAAUCAUACACAAUCGUAUCGGGUAUGUAUUUGCUAGAUGGACCGCUUUCAAAGAAUUCAAACGUUCGUAUGCCAAAUUAUUAGCACGAGACAUCCACAUUCUGAACGGCCUCCUCCUCAGCCUCCUUCAGAAGUGCCUUGACAUCAAUCUCACACACACGAUGCUUCACACGGGACGGGCGGGCGUUGUGGCUGCUGCGCUGGGGCACGCGGCCAAGCUUUGCAGCGAACUUCUGAACUGCAGGCCCCAGCAGCGUUGCAUCAAACUCAGCAUACGGGGCAAGGGAGACACCAGCCACAGGCCGCUGCUGGUACGCAAUUGGUGGGCCCACAAGGCGCACACGCAUCAGUACGUCAAGGGUGCCAAGCUUCAUGCUUGCCCGGCCAGGCGUCUUGAUGUCAUUCAUCGCGCUGAAGCCACGCUCAACUUCUGCCGUAGAUGGCUGCAGCACAAGCAUAAUCUGCACCAGGACAGUGAGCUCACGGCCCAUGCCAGACAGCCACGACAAGAGCCUCUCAUAGAACGGCCUCGCCUUCAUAACAUCACCACUCUUCUUCUGCUCCUUUGCCACUGCAAUCAGGCGCGCCCGAGCCAUCACCCACUGGUCAACUGCCAACAGGCAAUCAUCACCCAAGACGGGCUUAAAGUGCUGUGCCAAAGCGGCCACCUCUUCCUCGCCAUACUUCGGCACACCGGAAUCAGCAGCCAAUGCACGGGGGCCCAGCACCCCAAACUUUGCAGCCACUGAGACAUCAGCGGGGAAUCGCAUUUUGAUGUUCUCAACCAGCUUCUUGACCAUACUGCUGAGAGCAAGCUUGCUGCGGAAUAGAGUCUGAGGGAAAGCCGCCCAGCUCGGUGCCGUAGGUGCCGUGUCAUCAUCGUCGCUGCCAGACUCCGCUGUCGUGUCAGUGUUGGUGUCAGAGCCGUCAUUGUCGCUGUCAGACUCCGCUGUCGUGGUGGCGGUGGUGGUGGUGGCAGGCGCGAUCGUCGUGGGAGGGGUUGUCAGCACCAUCUGGUGGCCGUGGAACACGCCAUCCUUCGCUGCAAGGUCCUUGAUCAGGGCCUGGAUACCACUGCCGCAUGCCUUGGACGCAUCGCAUUUUCGGCACGUAUGCGCCUUGCAGUCAUGCUUGCAGUCAGCGCAGUUCGCAGCCUGGAGUUUGACCAUCUUCACAUAGUGGGUCAGGGGCUGCGAGCAAGCAGGAAGGGUGCACGUUGUAACGUGUCAGCCGAUAAAGAUGCAGCCGAACGCCAUGCCUGUUGUACAUGCCGUAUGCAUACACUACAGCACACUACGCCCACUAGUACCGCUUACCAAAUGUGCCACAAACGUUGCUACACCACCACACACCAACACACCACAAACGUUGCUACACCACCACACACCAACACACCAAACGAACACACACCAGCACGCACGCGCGCCGCGCCCACAUGUGCGCCAUGCACAAUUGCCCACGCGCCGCGCUCACAAACGCACCAUGGCAUCCUUGCCGCAGGCGUAGGCCGAACGGAUUAGGCUGCACAGCGUUGGGUUGAGCUUGACCUUCUGCUUCUCGACAAUGUUGGACAUCUUCGUGUGGUUCUUAGCCGCGCCUAUAACGUCCAGAUGGUUCUUGGAGAGAAGGUGCUUGUUGAACAAAGUCAUGUUCAUGACCUGCAGCAGAACACAAGGGAUUUGCAAGCUUACGCAAGCAUGCGGGGAGGCGGCUGGGUAGCAGGUCCUGUCUUAGCUGUCAGGCUGCAGCUGUAAAUGGGUACCCCAGACGGUGCGCCGCAGUGCAUGCGCUUGCUUGCGUGCAGUAUGCGCACACCCCUAGUCUCUCCUAAUCCGGCUCACACGCUGCAUUGCCAGGCUACAUGGUUGCAAGCACACUCACUUUGUUGCCGCCCUUGGUCCAAACAGAGGCCUUCGCACCGGGGUGCUUCAUGCAGGCAAGGCACAAGAACGUGCACUCAGGAGUCCUGACGAAAUUGUGCCCGAUCCCAUUCCAACGGCUGGUGUUCUUGAUGUUGACGAACUUCGCAAUACGCACUGAUUCAUUAUUCCAAUCUGCAAGCAGGUGGAGUGUCUCGGUUAGUAGCAGGUGACCAGUAUGCCCUAUGCGUAAAAAAGAAGCCCGCACGCUCGUGCAUCGAAGCUUACCGAUGGCGCCAUGGCCGCAGGCAUUGCGGCCACGCUUCGUGCCCAUGUCUGCAACCUUGUCGUUUCCAUCGUCUUCGCUAGCCUCAACUGCAUAUCAAUGCGACAUGGUGUUCAGAAGCCAGUAAGGGCAUGCACGAAUACGUAGCACGUAGGAAGGCACGAAGAGCAGGCAAGAAGCAGGAAGGAGACAGGAACUGGCAGUAGGCCAUGAGGCUAACUCACCGUCAUCCAUGUCGCUUUCGUUGUCAACAUCAACAAUUGGCGGGGUAGCAGGAAUCGACGACCCAGGGCCACCGGCGGCGGCCGCGAGCGACUCCUUUACGGUGGCGGGCUUGGCAGGGGGUGUGGCGCUGGUCUCGGCAGCGGGCGCGGCGCUCUUGGCAGCAGGCGCGGGAGCGGGCGCGGCGCUCUUGGCAGCGGGCGCGGCGCUCUUGGCAGCGGGCGCGGCCGCGGGCACGGCGCUCUUGGCAGCGGGCGCGGCGGUCUUUGCGGCCUUGGCGGUGGGCGCCACAGUGCGAGUGCCAGCGCCUGAGAGGUGAGAGGGAGAAGGCAAGGGAGGCACAGGUUGAGACCAGGCCACCCAGAACGGACAGGGCCUUCCAGUUGAUGAUCACAUUAUUUCUGCACCCAGCCACCAGCUUACCGCGCGCGGCCGACAUCAGCAUGGCACUGAUGGUGCGCGCCUUUGCCACGGCCUUGGGAACCGGCGCCGUCUUCACGGGGCCCGCCUCAUCGUCACUGUUCGUCAGGUCCAUGACGAUCUGUGACUCAGCGGGCUGAGCAGCCUGCUCCGUGCGCUUUUGAGCCCCGUCCUUCAGGGGGGAUCCCGCAGUUGCGAAAGCCACAGUGCCGGUCACUGCAGUUUCAAUCCUAGCCUUCUUAGUGACCUUGGUAGAAGGUGAAGGCGACAGCGACGCCGCUAAGACAGCGGCGUAGGUGCGCGCCGUAGGCGCCAUGGCGGUCUUGCCCGGAGUGUUAGAGGUGGACAUGCUGUGUAGAGUUGCGUAAGAAAAGAUAAAUACUGUAUACAACUGUGAUAGUAACGAGAACAUGCAAAUAUAAUGGAAGUUUGGAUUCUUGAUUGCGAAGCCCGAUCAUGCAGCAUGAUACGCAAAUUAUCGGGCAGUAAAUGUGCUCAUUCCUUUCACGUACUUCACAAUGUGCUUUAAGCAGCUCCAUACUUGAGAUUUCUCAUACUGGACAUGGACAUGCCCAGGACAUGCAAGCGUGCGCGUAGUACACCUCGCAAUGAACACGAUGUGACUGAUCCAUUCGGCUACAUGGGGGCAGUGCAGCAAGGCGGACACGGGGCGGAGUUGGCAAGGCAACCGACCGCAUCGACACGGACGGAGCCAACUGCGCUUGUCAGCAACCCGGAUGAGAGCAGGAUUGGUGCAACGGCGUCACCCAUUAUGGCCCAUUGUGCUGUUGAAGAUGUCGGCCAGGUAAUGUCUGGCAACUGUACGAUACGCCAGGAUGCCUUAAAUGUAGUCUUGCGUGUAGUCUUGCGUGUAGUCCCCUCCCUUCACUCCGUCUGCGUCUGCGUGUAUAUCGUUUGCUGCGCGCAUUCAUGGACGCUUGCGUGUGCAACACAUGCUAUGCGUCACGUGUGUUCAAAUGUCAAGGUGUGGUGCGUGUCAUGCCUCCAACUUCCUGCCCCGCCAUUGCGCCUUGACUUGCCAUACACCUCGCGUACCGUGCGCAGGAAGAAUGGCGGCCAUACGACAACAAGUAUGAAUGCAGCAGGACUGGUAUUGUGCGGAGGAGACAAGACGGAGGGGCAAUUGCAGUGCGCAUGCUCAGGGGAAAGCCAUGGGUUUACAUAAAUAGAAAGUCCGUUCAGUUGAGCACUGUUAUGGAGGCCUGUUGGAAUGACGCAUAGGCCGCUCAGAGUUUCAGGACCUGCUUGUUGUAGGAACUUCAAGGAGUGAAAGGGGCUGCAAUAGCCUUUGCUGCUGGCUGCAACACGCAUGGUGUGAGCGUUAUGCAGCCUCUGCUGCUGGGAGGGGCACUGGGUGCGCAGGCGGUGUCAGGAGCCGUAAGCAGGGACCGGGCCGCGACGCGCCCAUCCGCACGGGGCCUGUAGGUUGAUGCGGUAUGCCUGGCGUGUAGAACGCGCGCGCAAACACAUGGUACCAUGUGAUUACAGCGCUGGAAGCUUGGGGAGUCGCUGGUGGGGGCCGUAUGCAGCCUCUGCUGCUGGCAGCCGUAAGCAGGGACCGGGCCGCGGCGCGCCCAUCCGCACGGGGCCUGUCGGUUGAUGCGGUAUGCCUGGCGUGUAGAACGCGUGCCCCAACACAUUGUACCAUGUGAUUACAGCGCUGAAAGCUUGGGGAGUCACUGGUGGGGGCGGAAUGCAGCCUCUGCCGCCGGCAGGGGCACUGGGUGCUCAGGCAAUGUCAGGAACCGUAAGCAGGGACAGGGCAGUGGCGCGCCCAUCCGCACGGGGCCUGUCGGUUGAUGCGGUAUGCCUGGCGUGUAGAACGCGUGCCCCAACACAUUGUACCAUGUGAUUACAGCACUGGAAGCUUCGGAGUCGCUGGUGGGGGCGGUAUGCAGCCUCUGCCGCCGGCAGGGGCACUGGGUGCUCAGGCGAUGUCAGGAACCGUAAACAGGGACAGGGCAGUGGCGCGCCCAUCCGCACGGGGCCUGUAGGUUGAUGCGGUAUGCCUGGCGUGUAGAACGCGCGCGCAAACACAUGGUACCAUGUGAUUACAGCGCUGGAAGCUUGGGGAGUCACUGGUGGGGGCGGUAUGCAGCCUCUGCCGCCGGCAGGGGCACUGGGUGCUCAGCCGAUGUCAGGAACCGUAAGCAGGGACAGGGCAGUGGCGCGCCCAUCCGCACGGGGCCUGUAGGUUGAUGCGGUAUGCCUGGCGUGUAGAACGCGUGCCCCAACACAUUGUACCAUGUGAUUACAGCACUGGAAGCUUCGGAGUCGCUGGUGGGGGCGGUAUGCAGCCUCUGCCGCCGGCAGGGGCACUGGGUGCUCAGGCGAUGUCAGGAACCGUAAACAGGGACAGGGCAGUGGCGCGCCCAUCCGCACGGGGCCUGUAGGUUGAUGCGGUAUGCCUGGCGUGUAGAACGCGCGCGCAAACGCAUGGUACCAUGUGAUUACAGCGCUGGAAGCUUGGGGAGUCGCUGGUGUGGGCCGUAUGCAGCCACUGCUGCUGGCAGCCGUAAGCAGGGACAGGGCAGCGGCGCGCCCAUCCGCACGGGGCCUGUCGGUUGAUGCGGUAUGCCUGGCGUGUAGAACGCGUGCCCCAACACAUUGUACCAUGUGAUUACAGCACUGGAAGCUUCGGAGUCGCUGGUGGGGGCGGAAUGCAGCCUCUGCCGCCGGCAGGGGCACUGGGUGCUCAGGCA
rnacentral:lncRNA from 1 species